rnacentral:lncRNA from 1 species
UGCAUAUAUAUGUAUAUAUAUGCACAAAACACAGACAGAACUUGACAGCUUUUGCUAAAUAAUUACAUUACAUAUCAGAAAUUCAGAAUCAAAUUACAUGGAGCAUCAGAUGUUUUCAAUAUUUUAUUUUCCAGGUAUAUACCCUUUGGUAGGUCUCUCUAAUUGUCAACUUCAUUCCAUAAAUAUUCUAAACUUCCAAUUUCAUAAAACUCUAGAUUUUUUAAUGUAGAUGAUAUUUUUUCUCAGAUUUUUCAAAAAAAUAAUUAUUAGUUAUGCAAUAUUUGAGAAUUUAACACGAAUACGAUAUAAUUUUUUGGAAUAUUCAAGUAACACGUAGCUUUUUACCUUUCGUUAACAAAUUGUAUAUGUAUUAUAUUAUAACGGUGUAGUGUCUUUUGCGUUACAAUAUAAUGUCCUAUACAAUUAACAUUUUACUAUCAAAGGUUCAAUAUAAUAGGUGGAUCGAAUCAAAAUAUUAAUACAAAAAAAAUUAAAAGUUUGCUUUCAAAAACUUUACUGUAAACAAAGGGGGAACUGCCCAUGUCAAAACCUAGAGUUAGCUAUUUUUAACUUAGUGCCCAUCCUUAGCUAGAAUAUCUGUAACUUGAUUUACUUUCGCGAUAUUUGUGUUACGUUUUAUUAAUACAUUACUAGAAAAUCAUGAUAUUUGUGUUGCGUUUUAUUAAUACAUGACUAGAAAAUCAUGAUAUUGUUGUGUUCAAUGCUUGUAUUAACAUGGUUAAAGAUGCAAUGGUUUUUUUGAAAAAAAUUCACAUCUUUUCCAUCGUAUUUAUGAAAGAUAUGUUGUCUGAAAAAAUAAUUCAUGCAUUAGCUUGUUUACUACUAAUACUUAAAAUUAUGCAACAUAUGUAAUUUUUAAUAAACCAAUUUAAACACUGAAUAUAGUCUCAUCAUAACUAGUAUAACAAACAUUCUAAUGUCAACAUUACUUAAUUAAUUAACACUAUUUUUAUACACUCUAUCACAUCAGUAGUUGAAGCCAGAAAUUAGCGAAAAAUAUGUAAAUAUUCUUUUCAAUUGUCAUAUGUACUCAUAUACACCAAAUAAUUUUUGACGAUUAGACUAUCCUUCGCUUAAAGUGGCUCCGCCCAUAUACCAAAAGACACUUAAAAGUAUAUAACUAAAAUCAUUAUUCCACCAUGAUCUCCAUACCCAAGCUUUGGUUCUUAGGAAAUUUCCUUUAUUGUCUUGGAGGGGUAAAGACAAGUUAAUCAUUUCACACACAAAUAGUGUGUGUUCAUUUCACAGCCAAAUUAGUAGACAAGUUUUAUAUAUAUAUACAUAUAACAUAACAAAUAAAGAUAUGCUGGAGUCUUGGAGAUAUUCAUUAAGAUGCUAUGAUUAUAUAUUAUUUCUAAUUUUACAUUUGAAGGCCUACAAUAUUUGGAGGAUAAGUUUUAAUUUUUAAAGAAUAUAAGACAAUGGAUGAAGAUAUAAUCCCCCCACCCCAACCCCAUAGCAAUAUACUUCUUUUAUUUUAAUUCACUUAUCAGAUUUUAACUUGAUAUAAAAUUUAAAAAAAUAAUUAAUAGUAUUACUUUUUGAGUGUUAUUUAUCUAUAACAUGUAUUAAAAUAUUUUUUAAUCUUAUGAUAGUUUUUUAAAUCAAAGAAUAUAUAUAUCAUCUAAUUAUUCACAUUAACCUCUAUAGGUCAUAAAAUCUCAAUCUUGUCGUCGUUAAGGCUUAAUUAGAACAAACUAUAAUUUGAGCAUCUAAGUAAAAUUUAGUGACUAGUUUAAGAGCUAUAACGCAUUACUAAUAUCAUCUUAUUCUUUUAUACUCAAAUUUUAUUAUGUCAUAUUGUUUAAGUCUAACAUUAGGUAACGACAAAAAGUACCAUUAUAUAUAACAAUUCGACAUAAUCAUGUUGUUACCUUAAUAUUUGUUUUUCAUUAUCUUUAUUCAUUAUUUAAUAAUUCUAUUUUAUACUUUACCCUACAUUUUUAUGGUAUGCCCUAUUUUUCUUGUAAGUUUAUCACUUAUGUAACGACAUAAACUAAUACAAUCUAUCCAAUUAUGUCAUAUGAUCAUUAAAAUAAUACGAUAUAAUAUAACAUAAUAUAUAUAUAUAUAUAUUUAUUUUUUUUUCUGCUUUGUUUUCUAAAUGCUAAGAUAAGUAUGAAAAUUUAGCGGUUAUAAAGUUCAAAUGCAAACAAGUGCAUGCAGAAUGUCUAUGUCAAGUAAUGUGUAGGGACUACAAAUCUGUUGUAAUGUAAUUUCCAGGAAAUUUCUCCCCACAAAACCCCAAAAGAACUCAUAACAAAAUACCAAAUAAAUGAGGAAAAAAGAGAAAGAUGCGAUACUUUGUCCUUUUUGUUUGUGAAAAAUUAUUUAGAUUCAACAAAAAUAAUUUUUAGCUAUAAUAAAUAUAAAUAUACAUAUUAACUAUUUAUUUUUUAUGAUCCAAUGUCGUUAUAAGUUUUAGAAACACUUACAAAGAAAACUAUUUAUUGUUAAUUAAUUGCUUUUAAAGAUCAUUUUGUGAUAUAAUACUUAUGUCUACAUCAAAUAUUAGUAUAGUGAAUAUGAUUUUUCUCGGGAAAAGGAUCUGAAAAAUACUUUAACUUUAGCCGAAAUUGUUGUUGCGAUGUCAAACUUUAUGGAUGACCUUUUUACCUCCAAACUAUUUAAUAGUCAAUUUUUUACCCUGAACUAUCUAAUAGUGUAUUUUAACGAUAUAUAUGUGCUCACAAAGACACAUUACAAUUUACAAUUAUGCAAUAUUUUUUUAUGUCCACGUGGAAACAUAUAUACCUUAAACUACAUUAUUAAAGGACAAAAAAUCAUUUCCAAAGUUUGAUAUCAUAACAGCAAUUACAAUCAAAGUUAAAAUAUAUUUCAAAACCCUUUUCUUCUUUGUCUUGGUAAAUCUUUACUCAUAUCCGAUAUUUUGUUAAAUACAUACUAUAUUAUUUGUUUAUCACUCAUCUAUUAAUUGAGAAGAGAUCAAUUAGCUAUGAUUUGAACUCAUACUAUCCACCUUGACAUGAUGAUUUUCUUUGCAGCCAUUGUCUGGAAAAUAUGGUGAGGAAAGAUAAAAGUAUCAAUUUCAGCCAAGAGAUCCAGGGACAAUAGUAUAGUCGAUCCACAAUAUAUCUAAAGAAGAGAUAGAAAAUUAUGAAAUGAAUAGUUUAGCAAAGUUGCUUACACUACAACAGAAAUAACUCUUAGCGUCAUUAAAUAUUGACACUAAUAAAGAGUGCUAAAGUCUUUACCGGUAUUAUUAAGUGCCAUUAGAACCAAUGACGCUAAAGGUGAGUGACAAUUGCCGCUUAGCAAUAGUGUUAAAGAGCAACUCAAAGAACAACUAUUGCUUGCUAUUUUGAGCCAACAAUAAUAUUUAUUUGUAUUCUUGAUUAUGUUCAUUUAUAGAUUAAAUAGAAAAAUCUUAAAAAAUAUAUCCUCCAACAUACAUUAUAUUUAGGGAAAUGUUGUAAAGGUAGUUGUUGAUGACAUAAACAAGGUGGAAAAAAGCUUGUGUAUGCAUGAUUUUAAUGCUUGUGCCAACUUUUAAUAUUGCUAUAUAUGUGUCCAAACUCCUAAUAGACUAUCUUUAUCAUAUAUAGGUGGAAACUCUUACACAACUUCAAGAGUAAGCAACUGAAUAAGGAGGAGACGGCCAAAUACAAAGCAGCAUAAGAAAUGAUCAAGUCAUCACUUAAUUCUAAGGUAAGUUAGAGUCAUUUUUAUGAGCUAUACAAUGUUCACAAAGCACUGUAAGUGUGGAUAUAUUGAGACAUGCAAAGUACCAUUUGUACAUGAGUUUGGUCCUAACUCAAGUUUAUGGCCCACAAUGAUUCACAUCAUAUAGGUUUAGUGUUUACAAAUUUAUAGGGAGGAAUAAAGGGUUGGCAAUAGUCUUGCUCUUUACAUAUAUACCUGGAUUUUGUUGGUGGCUGCACCCACACAUCACGCGCUACGCUCUUACCGUUGGACCAAAGCCUUGUGGGCUUUCUAUUAUAUAUAUAUUCCAAUGGCUUGACCACUCUAUUUGUUUUUCUCCUUCCUAAUUGCUAUGUAGGAGAAUGGAGAUGUAGUUUUAUAGGUUACUUGCCCUUCUUGGGAGAUACUUCCUUGUAAAUUUAUUCAAUUUAAUGCAUAUUUGAAUUUCAAAUCCAUACUAUGUUCCCGUUUAUCUUUCUAAUCAAUUUUCCCUUUUGUAUAUGAUUUAUCUAUGAUGUAAAUAAAGAAUAUAUUGAUUAAAAUGUCAGUUGAUUACAGGAACAAUGAUAUAAAUUUUAAUUAAGGUCAUAAAUGUCGCCGCUAAAAUUUAUGAAUAUCGUCGCUAAAGGUCACUUUAAUGGCAACAAUCACCGCUGCUAAAAGAAAGUAUUAAUAUUGAUAAAAGUGACUUUUAGUGGCGACAAAAAUUGCCGCUAAAGGUUAUGAAGGGUCGUUGCUAAAAGUCAGGAAGAUCGUCGCUAAAAGUCAUGAAAGUCGUCGCUAAAAGUUAUGAAGGUCGUCGCAAAAAGUUAUGAAGGUCGUCGCUGAAAGUUAUGAAGAUCGUCGCUAAAAGUCAUGAAGGUCGUCGCUAAAAGUUAUGAAGGCCGUCACUAAAAGUCAUGAAGGUCGUCGCUAAAAGUUAUGAAGGUCGUCGCAAAAAGUCAUGAAGGUCGUCGCUAAAAGUCAUGAAGGUCGUCGCUAAAAGUUAUGAAGAUCGUCGCUAAAAGUCAUGAAGGUCGUCGCUAAAAGUUAUGAAGAUCGUCGCUAAAAAUCAUGAAGGUCGUCGCUAAAAGUUAUGAAGGUCGUCGCUAAAAGUGACUUUUUGUGGCGACUGAACUGCUGCUAAAAGUGAUGAAUGUCGUCGCUAAAACAGGCUUUUAGUGGCGACUUACCCGUCGCUAAAAGUUAUGAAUGUCGUCACUAAAAGUUCCUUUUAGUAGUGACUUUUAUGAGCAUUAGCAGCGACUAGAGUUGCCACUGAAACCUAAUUUAGUGGUGACCUUUAAAGCCUUAUGGUGACUAUAACAUACUAUUCGUGGCAAUUAAGUUUAGGCAUUUGCAGCGACUAUAACAAUCUUUUAGCGGCAAGUAUUAUACUUAUUCUUAGCUGCUGAUGUUGCCUCUAAAACUUACAUUUAGUGGCUAUUAAUGUAGGUAGUAGCAACGUUUAAUGUUGCUACUAAAACAUUCUUUUAGUGGCCACUAUUAUACUUAUUCACAACGACUAAAAGCUAUGAAACUAGACGCUAAAAGUCAGUUUUUGCAGCAACUAAAACCGCUAGUAAAAGCUAAGAAUGCCGUUAGGCAUCUUUCAUUUUUACCGUCGCUAAAAGUUAUGAAUGUCGCUAGAAAAAGCUAAGAAUGCCGUUAGACAUCUUUCAUUUUUACCGUCGCUAAAAGUUAUGAAUGUCGUCGCUAAAUGUUACUUUUUGUGGCGUCUAAAACCACCGUUGAAAGUAAUAAAUAUCGUCGCUAAAAGUAAUGAAUAUGUUUUAAUAUUUGUUUUUUAGUUUUAUAUAUAUUUCGACAAUUAAAAUAAAUAAUCUAAUUUUAAUUUCUUUUAAUAUUUAGUCAUGUAACUAAUACGCACUAAACUUAUUUUACCAUGAUUUAGUACUUUAAAUUAUGAUUGAUCUAUUUCAUUAUGACUUAUUAAUUUGCAGCAUUUAUUUUAUGCGAUUUUAUUUUAUUUUUUAAUUUCGAUUAAUAUCAUUAAUCAUAUCAUAUUUUUUGUUAUUUUCUUGAGAAAACUUAAAUAGUUGCAUUUUAGUAGGACUAAAGAAAUAUUUGAAAUACAAGUAAAUUAUAUGUUUGUAUGAACACUUAAUCGAAAAAACCUAAAAUUCGAAAAAACUCAAAGUUGAAAAACAUGAGUUUGAUUUGGUUUAUAAAUUCAAAAAUUCGACAUAAAUGGUUUGGUUUGAUAUUUGAAAAACCUGAAUCAACCCGGUCAUAUACACCCCUACUUGCUAAUUAACAACUUCAUAUAUUACGCAGAUAAAAACAUAGGUGUAGUUAAUUCCAAACUAAGGUGGAAUUGAAAACUCCUAUUCAGGUAUUUUCAAAUUCAAAUUAUAAAGACUGGUUGUCAUCAGAACAACUAUCGUCAAUUUCCAAUUCAAGAUCCAACAUAUUAGAUUUGCUUGCUGAAUAGUUCUCCUCACCUAUCUCAGCAUUUCGUUUUCCUCUUGUGCUUCUUGAAUCAUCAAGGAUGGAGUAAGCACUUCGGUUACUUGGGUCACCAUAUAGAGCGACAUGUCGGUAGUAGAGUUCAAGUUCCUUUUCAGCAAUCGCAAUGAAACGUCUCACAGACUCUAGCGACUGCUCAUAUUUGGAUUUUUCCAAUGCCUGGAGAAUUGACCAGUAAUUCUUAUCAUGAUUGAAACAAAUUUGAUAAAACAAAGAUACAGGUAAAUGAGACAGAGUCAAAAUAUUAAAAGUAAAAUCUUUAUGCCAUAAAUAUAGUGAACUGAUUCCAAAGGAGCAGUAAACAUGUGAGGAUGAAAUUACAAACAGUAAGGGGUAUCUGUGGUGCAAUGAAGGGUAUGGUUCUUUUGUGAUGUACAGUGAAUAAUACAAGUCACAAAAGGGUUGGAGUUUGGCUGUUGAGGUGGAUUUCAGAUGAUCUACCCUGAUAUAUUAACCCAGCUGCAUCUAUAAGCCAGGUCAACAAUAAGCUGUUUAACAUGGAUUCAGCUACAGGUAUGUAUAGGAUAUACAUAUGUUACGGGUACGUGAAAUCUUUGAUGAUUUUUAGAAAUAUUUUAAAUCAUCCACAAAAGUACCCACACCUAUUGCAUACCUGUUUCGCAUAAGAAGAUCGAGAAAAUGAAGGAUUCACGCAUCAAUCGAAAGAGAAUUACAGUGAAAGCUGGUGGGAAUGACUAGAGGUUGAUGGUAGAAGGACUAUGCACAGUAAGACUUGAAAGAGCGAACUUGCGCAUAAAUGCAUGAUGAGAAGCAAUUACUUGGUAAUUAAAGAAAUUUAGCUCUAACAAACUUACCUUCUUCUUUGACAGUGUAUCAAUAGGAGACAUAAUUUCGGGUUGCACAUAAUCCCUUCCUCUGUAAAAAACUAUUGUAUCAUCUGCAAUUAUCUGAAUUGGGAUGCCGCCACUCAGUCUUGCAAUUUCAUCGGCAUAUUCUUGGACUUGACCAGGUUUGCAUAUGACUUUGACUGUUUCAUGUUUUUUCCAAUGUAAAUGCAUAUUAAGAAUAACACCACCAAAGACUCCCCUUCUGCCAAUUGGCACAUAAUUAGACCUUUUUUGCCCCAUCUUUUUUAUAUAGAAUCGUUCUUCGCCAGUGAGGAAGUGUGGCUUAACCUCAGGACCUUGAACUUUGGUAACCUCAUAUCGCUUUAGUCUCUCAAUCAACAGCGCUUCUUUGACUUUUGCCUGACCCAAGCCAAAACAUGUCAGCUUUUGUUAAAAUAAAAAACUCCAUUAUUUCGUAUAUAAGUCAUAUGGAAAUGGGAAUAAAACAAAUCUUAGCUUCAAUAAACACAAACAUAAGGUGACCACACAAUUCUUCACAUACUAAACCAGGAAAAAGGUAAGAUAGAUAUAAAACUUAACUACGAAAUGUCUUCCAUGCUUCAGUGAGGUAGCAACCACGAAACAGGCACACUUGCUGUAACUUGGUUUUCAGUAGAUGACACAAAAGUUAAAAGUAACUGAAAAGUAAAGAGAUUCUUUUCUUUCUCCAGUUUCAAGAAAAUAACUGUACUCACUAAGUAUUUCCACGCUGAAAUCAUAGAGAAAAUAGAUCUUUGCAAUUACUAUUAAAAAACAUAGCCAAGAAGAUAAGGGAAAGAGACAAAUCCAGGUUCAAUAAUGCUUCUACAACCUCGCUCUAAUAUGAGUAUCAAAUGAGAAUAAGUAAUAUAAAAGAUUACUCAAGAAGUUUAACAAUACCAACAAAGAACACAUGUAUAGAUCUACUUGUCAUUUUCCUCUAUAUCUUCCUUCCAACUUCCCCUUCUAAUUUAUUUUUUUGUCAACCAAAUUGAAGAAAAUAGGUUGAAGCUCAUUUCCAAAAUUCUUAUAAAUCAUUACCCUGCCCAAGUUCUACAAUUCAGUUCAUUCUUUAUGCUAUUACAGAUUAUUAAGCUAAUAUAAAGAUUAACUAUCAUACUGGUCCAAAUGGAAUGGGAUGGAUUCGAGAAGACAUACAGUCGAGACCAAAUAGUUCGGCAUUGAGCCAUAGUAGUAGUGGUAAUAGCUAAACAGACAAGAAUUACAUCUCAAUUCCAAACAAGUUGGGGUGGGUGAUAUAAAUCCUCAGCAGGAGAACUAAUGGCAAAAUCAAUCAUUGGCUUUUAAGUAAAAAAGGAAAAUCAUUAGCUCACAUUUUCUAUCUUCUGCUUAAUUCUUUCUUCAGCAGUGUCAAACUUCUGCUUCUUCUUCUUCCCCUUUAGACCAAGCCUUCUUGGAUCCCUCUUAUUUGCAGCAUUUCUCUUCUUCUUCUCUCUCUUCCUUUGCAGCUUCAGCCUCUUCUUUGUCUUCCAUUUUUCUUUCUUUGGUGCUUCCACUUCAUGUGUCUCAAACUUGGGUUUCCCAUCUUUUGUUAUAACAAAAUUCACACUUCCAUGACUAAAGUUCCUCAAGUCCCAACAUGAGCCUUGUCGGGUUAAGCUAUUUUGAGGCACAAACCUUGACAAGUGCAAAAAGCUUUCUCGGUUUCCAAGAAUUGGCCUGAAUAUAGAGACAAUAGAGGGAGAUAAUCAAAACUAAAUCAGACAUACUCCAUUUAAUCAAAAUUAACUAGAGAAACAAGUGAAGAAAUUUUUAAAAAGACAUUAGCUUUACGUGUACGAGGUAGAGGAAGAGGAUAGAGGCCUGCGAUGUGAAAGUAACAGAAGUCUUCGAAAACUUCUAAAUAGAGGAAUAGCCAUAUAAUGUUGUUGUUUGCCUUCAACGGGGCUGGCGAGCUACUUCACCGUGAAGACUCUCGAAAUUAGGCUAUUUAUCACUGGAUACAAAAUAAAAGGGAAAUUCACCAUGUAGACUGGAGCUGACAAAUGAGCGGGUCGAAUUGAAUAUGGACAAGUUAAACAAAAAUGGAUGAAUAUCCAACUUACUAUAUUUUUAUGGAUAAAUAAUGGGUUGAGUGAUGAAUAAUAUGUGUAUCCAUCUUAUCCGGCACCAGUUUCAGCAAACUUAAUCCAUUUCUAGCAUAUAGAAGAAAAAACUACUAAUCCGUUGAAGAGAAAUAAGUAUAACCUAAGGAAAGAUUGUUAAAAAGAUGUUCAAACAGGCCAAAUUUAGCAUCUGCAGUUCUUGAGAAAAUGAAAAUAAAAAAAAAUUUCUUAUGCUCGAGGGUAGGUGCAAAAUAGUACCUAUGCACUGAACAAUUUUGGUGCUAUAAGUUUGCCAAAAGUUAAACACUUCUCCUCUCCGUAAAAUGCUUAACAAUCUAUGUUCGUUAUAUUUAACACAAAUUAUGGGGAAAAGGUCAUUCACACUAUAUUUUGGUAAGUUCAAGUAUGAAAGUUCAAAGAACCAUCAUGAGGUACAUUCGUCCAUAAGAGCACUCCAAGCUUCUUCUGACGGUUUAGAAGUUGAGUUCUUAUAGGAUAACAAUAUUGGAGGAAAGUUAAUGGUUACUCCGAAUGUUUGUAAGGUACUUCUGCAGAAAUAUUAACAUUUCCAUGUUCGGUUAGUACCCAUAGGAAGAAAUAUUAACAUUUCCAUGUUCGGUUAGUACCCGUAGGAACCAAGCCUACCGUAUUAAAGUUGUCAAGUGAGUUAAAAAAGAAAUCCCCUUUGUUCUUUCUAUGUUUUUCUCCUCUAGAAUUUUUAACUUAAAAUAACUUUAGUCCAAAUUUUAUAGUUCCUAAUAGAAACAUUAUGACUCAUAGUUCCCAGGGUAUACUUAAAAACCCAAACUGGAUUACUUUAUAAAUAAGGAAAUGAAUCAGCAACUUGAUUAACCUGACAGAUAGGAUCCACAUUGUGAGAAUUUUAGUGUGACAAUUCGUCGAGCACUUCAUGUGCACAACAUAUUCAGUGAUCAUGCACCAUUCCAAGUUUCGGGAUUCAUAGUUGGGUAGCAGUUAAUCAUUGAGAAUCCUAACAUAAGGAAGCAAAUCAAAAGAGGAGCUCAACAUUUUCACCGAUUCACACAUCCUAUUUUCGAAUUACCAUGGACCUAGGGGAACAUGGAUGGAGGGCAUCUAGAUGCAGGGAAAGAGACGAUAUAUGAAGAAGAAGAAGGAAGAGAGAGAAAGAGAAAACUCACCGGAGUUAUGGUGGUGAUUGAUGGAGAGAGAAAGAGAAAACUCACCGGAGUUAUGGUGGUGAUCGAUGGAGUCUCAGGCGCGAUGGUGGUGGCAGUUGUGUUUAUGCGUGUGGUUUAUAUUAUUCUAAUUUAUUUUUUUAAUAUGUUCGUUUAUUUGUUUCAUUAACAUAAUUUUGUUUGUAUUCACAUUUUUCAAAAUUAAAAUAGAAUUUAUUUAUCGAGUACGAUUACAGAUUUAUAUUUUUCUUUUUUUAAAUAAUAUUUAUGUAUGUUACUUGAAAUUUGUCAUAAAAGUAUAUGUUAAAUUUUUUGUUUUGAAUUUAAAACUUAUGCUAUAGUUUUAGAUUUAUUUGUUUUAGUUGUAUUGGCAUAAGAAAUUAGGUAUGUCCCUGAAAUUGCGGUCAUAAUUUAGGGAGACAAUAGGACCCUAAUUAAUUUAGUUGUAUCGAUGAAAUUUAUCAGAUAUUUUAGUAACUUCCAAAAACUAAUACUCCUAAAUAUAUACUUUUAUUUUUACUUACAGAAAGAACAAAAGGAUAUAAACAUUCUAAUUUCAAGAGUAGUCUCGACUUCACCGAGUAAUGAGAAACUUAGGACCUAGGUACGUAAACUUGCUAGUCGAAAAGAGAUCUUCGCCUUUAGAUAUUCGUAAGGUAAAGCGCCGCGAAUCUCUCCAUCCGAUCGAUAGUAAGAGCCAAUUCCUUCAUGUGCCUUUACUGUUCGUCCCGGAGGAGCACCAAAGAACUUUCUUUCAUCCCAGCGCAUCAACUGAAGAAUAUUUUCUUGCAAUGGGUUGUGCAUUACAUGAACCAUAUUGUCAGCAACAAUGUUUGAUCAUCCUACAAAUAAAAGAUAAAUAAAAUUAUAAGUUAUAAAGUACAUAUUUAAAGAGCAAAAGGAGGGUGGAACCACAUAAUCUUACUGGUUUUUGCAACUAAUGGCAUCACUAGAAGUUCACAUUCUAUAGAAUGGUUGGGGUAGAAACAUUCAGCUAACAAUAAAAUUGCAAAAAACAAGAGAAGUAUUUCGAAACUGAAAUGGAUAAGGUGAAGGUGAAAAACAUUAAAAACUUCCUCACAAACUAAGUAUUUGCUCAUACAAAGCUGUACCAAAUACCACACGAGAUACUCCUAGUAGAGAACUUUACUCGAUAGAAAAGAAAAAAAAAACUCCCAGUGGAGAAUGUAUCAAUUCUCCGUUUGUCUUAAAUCUAAUUAAGUACUCUAAAUAAUAGUAUCUAGUUUACAGUUUAGGGUAUGUUUGGGCUGUCCAACUACGAGUUUUCAGCCAAAAUUGUCCCGUAUCUUUGAGGGCAGGCUUAACUUGUUGGACGAACAUUUAUGCAUAAAUCAAGAUAAGAAUGACUUCCAGACAUACGACUACAAAAUAACAAUGACUUGAAACUUUGCUACAGAAUGUACCAAGACUUAAUCAAGCAAUUAAAGACUCAUUUUUGCAUACAACCAAGGAAGAUAAUUUUACAUGAGUUAGAUAAAGUUUACUUACCUAGUUUUUAUCCAUAAGACUUGUAGGACGUGCCUCGUCUGAACCAGUUGAGUUAUUAAUGAUGUUGAAAAUUGCAGCAGGAAGUCCAUUCUGUUAAACAUGGCACAACUAAAGAAUUUAGUUUGUCGUAUAAAGGAAGGAUAUGAGAAUGAGGAAGAAGCAGAGAUAGUGAGAGUGACUAUAGUAGUAAUGUAGCAUUUAUUAGUUUAGCAGUUUAUACUAAAUAAAUACCAUGGAACUUUGCAUAUGGGAUACUAAUGCCAUUACACCCUCUUUUAACAAUUUUUGCUCACGCACUAUACGAGUUUCCAUGACUUCUCGACUUCUCCGCUCCUCUUCAAGCUGAUAUUUUACUUCCAUUAGCUUGCUUUCUAAACUUUCUCGUUUACGUCGUUCUUCUUCUAUCUCCUUUUGUUGUGCUUCCAGUUGCUCUUGAAUUUCAUCUCUGGAUCUCCUACUCGCUGGCUUAACUCCCGAUCCUUGACCACGAACAUACCCUGCUUUUUCUCUCAUAAUAUGCAUAAAUGCAGCAUUAGCAAUAAGGUCCACAUCGGCACCCUCUUCAAUUUCUUGAAUUUGUUCAGCAACAACUUCUUUCACCUUAUCCUACAAGCAAGGUAUACCAGCUUUAACUUUCAAGAUUUAAUUAGACAAGACUCAUCUAAGAAUAAAGAUAAGAUUUUUCUAUGUACAUUCACUUCAGCAGAAGCAUCAUUAACCCAAUGCCCAUUUGAGUUCACGUGAGUCAUUUCCCAAAAUUUCUGAGAGUUUGGCUCUUUUCCGGUGUUUGUGUCUCUCUACCAAAAACAAAUCAAAUUACGUUACUGAUAAAAGGAAAAAUCAAAAUCCACAAAAUAAAAUAAAAGAAAGACAUAUCUCACUGCUUCAAAUGAUACUGCUUGGAAGGAUUUUCUGCCGCAAAUAUGAUUCACUUCUUGUUUUGCCUUAUUACUUUUAUUUCUUUCACUCAUUUUCUGCAUUGAUUUUGAGUCCAUGAAAUCAAUUUUAAAUAUACGAAGUAGAAAAAGAAAACAAAACAAUAUCAUAAAGUUAAAUCCAUUGUACUAUUUAAUUACCUUAAAAUCGUCAGAGAUGAAAUAUUCCACCAAGAAUUUCCAUUCAGCUUCAUUAACCUGUGAUGGCAUGUUUUGCAACCUUAACUCUUUUGUAGCAAAUUUCUUGAAAUGAUCAUGUAGCCUACUACGGCGAUAUCGAUAUAAAUUUUUAGCUGUUUGAAGGAUAGUAUCCCGAUUAUGUUGUAUGUCUGGAAGCUGGAAGGUAUCCUGCACUCAAAAUAAAAUUUAAGUGAGCUUAAUUAAAAUAGAACUUUGAUUGUCUGUCAUAAACUGAGGGAUGCUUGAGAGUCUAAUGCUCUAAAGUUAGUUUAUCAGUAUACAUUUUUGUAUACUUAUCCUUGUUCUGAUGUAUUAUUUAGUUCCCUAUCUAAAACCAUAAUUCUGAACUGACUGUGUAUUGAAACAAAAACGUUUCGAACAAAAUCGACUUCAUGCGCGCUACAGUAAAAGCAAAGAAACAAGAAAAUUAACCAACUAAAUCCAAAUCAAGAAGUUGAAAUCUGCAGCGGGAAUUCAAGAUUCUGAAAUGUAUGUUGCUUUGAUGAUCUGAGUAGCCUAUGGUUUUUUUAGUCUCAUUUUCAUUCUCUUGUUUCAAGGGAGGCGUUCUCUAUUUUGGUUUUCCAAGUAUUUUGAUUGAAUUUUAUAUUUUUUUGCAUUCAAGGAACAAAGAGUUUUUAAAACUUAAUCGAAAGAAAGAGAGUUACCAGCAUAUGAGCAACAAUCCUAUCUUUUGCAAGAUCAGAAACUCCCUUCCAAUUCUUGACAUCAUGCCUAGCAUUAUGGAGAACUGUCACUGAGAGCUCAGUAACAAAAUCUUUAGCUCCAGGACCUACUGCUACUGUUCGAUCCGGUGGGAUAAUUACCUUCAACUUUCCAUUGACACUUUCCUUGAGUUUCUUUUGGAUUGAAAGUCCAGUUGUCUUCCCCCUUCCCUUUCUUUUUUUCCCUUUAGCAAUAUAUGGAAAUUUUUAAGUCUGUCUAUACAAACACAAGAUAUACAAGCUAGAAACUUUGACAGGAAUGGUUUAAUGAAUGAAUCAACUUACCUGGUGGUGGGGUUGCAAUUACAUCGGCAGUUCCAGCAUUAUUAGCAUGCACAUCUGUCAUAAUAAUGAGCUGCAACAUAUUAAAAAAAAUUAUAUAACAGGCAGAUAAUAGAAAUUAACAAAUAAAAAUGAUGCUCAGAAAUUGGGAUAAACAAAUAAAGUUACAAAGCAAGAAAAUAACGAUAUAAAUGGAAACGUAGAAAACAGAAAUUAAUCAUUUCAGCAAUGUGACGGAAAACGGAACUCCAAUGAAGAAAGAGAAUAAAAGCAAAAUUGGGCUUAAGACUAGUUGAAAAAUCACAACCAACCAUCAUCCUCGUUUUCAUCAUACUCGACAGUAUUUCAUCUGUUGCAGAAAUCACUGAAGUCAUCCACAUUUUCAAGAUCAGACUCAUUACAACUUCCAAGUCUACUUCUUAUUGAGAGGUGUUUCAACACUCGCUCCAUAAAUAUCUUCUCACUGUAUUAUGAUAACAUAAUCGAAUCUACUCAAGGGAUUGCUUCUCCCCUUUCAACUUAGUCAAUCAGUUGUUGUGGUUUUCAUCUUUUUGUUUGAGAAGAUCAUGCAAAAUUUUGUGGUCUUACCCUUAACAUUGCAUUGGCAUUUCUCAUUUUGACCAUGUUUAACAUAAUACAUUGACUGCUUGCUAGCGCCUAGAAUGGAUGGAUCAUUAGACUAAUGAGGUCAUUUACAUCUACACAAACGAAUCAAUAUUCAUCCCUUUUGUAACAUCUACGUUAGAAUAAUAGAAUUUACUGCUCAACUAUUACUACUACAACAAUAUACGCAGUGUAAUACCACAAGUGAGGUUUGGGGAGGGUAGGUGCACUUUGUGAGGAUGCCUAUAUAUAGAAGAAGAUAUACUUUGUUAGGGUUAUGGUAUGAAGUUUUCUCUUCAUUUUCUUAGUUGCUUUUCAGACCAACUCUGGACCUCCCUCCUUUCUUUCUUUUGUUUAUAUUUCUAUGAUGAACUCCUAUAUCAAUGAAUCUGAUUACCGUAUUCCAUGUCAAUUCGAGAAUCCUCUUUGUUACAAACAGUCACUAGUACCAGUAAAUGGAAAGCAGGCCUACUACAUUGAUCUAUCCUGUAAUCAGUAGCUAACUCUCCUAACAAUUAAUAUUUUGGAUUAUUAAACAGUACAAAAUUUGUAUCUUUGCACAGCUUUAAUUUGGGCUUAACUUGGAUUAUAGUUUCUUUCAUAUUAUAACUGAACUGCUCCAAUACCCAAUUCUCUGCUCUUGCCGACAGGAUUUCCUCCUUGUAGGUGUUUAGGUUGGCAUUUUAGUUCUAUAACUGACUCUCAAACUCGGUUCGUUGAAAUUAUUACUCGAUCGAUAUUGUAGAGAAUAAAUCGUACAGCCAUAUGUAUCUUUAGGGCACAUAAGAUUCUCAAUAACACUGGCCUUUACGUUUAAAGAUUUAACCUAUAAGAACAAGUCUUAGAACUGUUGAAUCUGGUUCUUUGGUUUUAUUUCUUAUCCAUGCCAUAUGUUUCUCUUGAACAGGUAAGACUGAUUGAACAGAAGAAUGAAAACCUUCUCAUUUCAGAACCGUCUUUUCAGUAAAACUAACAACACAACACAGUGGAAUAGGUAAAAACUAUCCAAACAAGCUGUAAGAUUCUCAAAACAAUCACCUCCUAAAAAACAACUAUCAAGACAAUCAAAAUUCUCAAUCCAUCAGGUUUUAAAAUAAGAAAUCAAAAGCAAAGGCAAUUUCAUCAAAACUUUUAUGUCAAUCAAUGGUUCCCCAUUGACUUAUUUCUUUUCAAAUCCUAGUAAUAUUUACAAAAAUUAAAAGAAAAAAAAAAGAUAUAUUGAAACCAAUACAUUACAAAAACAUUUUAAGCAGUAUCAGCAUCAGUGACUUCUACUUAAUAGCUCAGUUGAUUGGCCACCUGAACUUUCAUCGUAUUGCUGAGGUUCUAUUCCUCAUGUUAUAAUCCCCAACCCCAAAUUUACAUCAAAAAGAAAAACAUACCGGCAAUUAGCAAAAACCCACUCCAGGGUCAAGGUUCACCCUCCAAAUUUUCAUUCACCAGUGAUUUCAUGAAGUUGGAUACACAAAAAAUUGUUCUCUUUUCACAGUAUUGCUUUCUGAUACAAAAUGUACUAAUGAAUUCAUGAAGACUGACAACAAAUUUCUCUCAAUAAACUAAUUCUACCAAACCCAGAUUCAAAUACCUUAAAAACUAAAACAAAAUUAACCCUUUUCCUGCCCGAAAGUUUCGAGCUUGAAUCAAAAAGGACCUUAACAGAGUCAUUGAAGGAUCCACAAAUUUUAAAAAUAACCAAAUCAUAGCAAGGAGACUAAACCAUGAGUGAUAACUCACCGGAAUUUGGGCAAUACACGGCAGAAGCAGUCGAGUAGAGAUCAGUGGAACAACGAAAAGAGAAAAUCCAAAUAUUUCGAUAGCAACAAUUCAUUCAAUCAAGUUGUUGUCAUUUGGUAAAUAUUAGGUAAUGAAUAAUAUUAUGGUUGUUGCAAAGGAGUUGUUGCCAUUUGUAAAAGCCUAUUCAGGAUUUCGAAAAAAUGGGUGCAUGGUUACGAAUAUAAAUUUAAUUAAUUUGAUGUGUUGUUAAUACUGAAUGAAUUAAAAAGUCAAUGAUUAAAUGUAUAAUAGAUUUUUUUAAAAAAAUUAUACUUUUUUGAUUGGACAAGUAAAAAAGAAAAAAUUAACAAGUAAUUAGGAACAGUGAGUAUAAUACCAUUCCCUCUAUCCCUACUUACUUUUUAACUUUUGAAUUGAUGCACCUACUAAGAAAAUAAUAAUUGACGUAAUGAGUUCACCAUUUUACUCUUAUUAUUGAUUAUAAAGUGAAUGAUUUAAAAACUUAAAGAUUUUCAAGAAUUUUAACUUCUUUCAAAAUAAUUAAUUGAAAUAAUACGUAAGAAAACUAUACUUUUUUAUUUGUCAAAAUGAACAAGUAAUUAGGGAUGACUAAAAAAAAAUUGACAAGUAACUAGAGACAAUGAGAGUACUAGUUUUACAUUUUAAUACACAUAUUUGAUUUAAUGAUAUAAAUUUUUUACCGUGCUAAUUUUUUUUAGGAACUUCUAACGUUACACACUUGAAAGUUUUGAACGAUUAAAGAAAAAAUAAUUGAUUGAAAAACCAAAAAUGUUAUCGAUAACCGCUUGGAUGGUAUUACUAUAUAACAAAAAUAAGAUAGAUAUAAGAUUUAAAUUUCUAUCAUCACUUUGAGCCGUGUGUAAUCAUUGUUGUAUUAUUAUAUGCUACUUUUAACGUGGGUUCAAACCUCUAUAUUUAAAUAUUUUUUAAAAAUACAACACUACUAUUUAUAAUCUAGAGAGGAGAGUAUGCAUUCACUUGAACUCACGUAACCCCUCUAGAUACGUCUCUAUCCAUUUGUUUAUAUUCAAAAUAUCUCAAGUAUCGGUGUUUUCUUAGUUUUCUAUCUGAAUCGUCAUGUUUAGUGUUUUGGCAAAAUAUAUAAAUAUAUCAUUUAACAUGGUUUUAUCUAGGACAUAUGUCUUCUAAUUUUGGAAAUCUAGAGUCGAAACUAUUUGGUAAUAAAUUUUUUGAUUUUUAAGUAGGUUUUAUAGUAAAAGUUAAUUUUUAAUAAUGGUGAGAUAUUUUGAAGAAUAUUUUUGAUUCCCAAAAUGACAACUUUUUUUUUUUUUACAUAUAAAGCACAAUAUAACUUUAGACAUCUAAAGUAUUCCUUGAGUGAAUUAUUUGUUCAUCUUUGAUUCCCUUAUUGAUAUACUUUUCUUUUAUUACUAACAAAAGUGCAUGGCAAUAGAAUCAUGAGUUCUUUAUAUUAGUUGCUUUUUGUCAAACUUAAUUUAUAUUACUUGCUACAAUUUUAUACAAAUAUUUUUUUGCUCAAUUUGGGAUUAAAUAUUUCUAUUAAAAUAUAUUUAAUUUAGAUUCAUACUAUAUGAUAUAAUUUAAAUUACGUAAAUUGAGACCAAAAGAGUCGAAGUUAGACUCAAAUAAAUGUAAGUCACCUAACAAAUGGAGAAAGAAGGAAAAAAAGGUUAGAGUGGACUUGGCAACAUGUACGCUACGCGUUAAUGAGAAAAGGGGAAAAAAGAAGAAUCAUUAUAUCUUUAGUGAUUCACCAGUUAUAAUAAAGAUAAUUUUAUAUUCGAAAACAUAUUAAUUUAAAUGUCAUGAUUAAGAAUGAAAAAAAUAUUUACUGUAACCUGGUUGUUUAUCACAUAUUCCUUGUUUCUCUUUUUUUAGUGGACUAACUUUUUUUAACUCCAAAAACAAAAAGAAUUUUCAAAAUAUAAAAUUUAUUACUUCUUUAAUCUUUCAUUAAUAAUUUGAUCUAAAAUUGUUCGUUUAUCAAACGUUUAAUACAAAUAUAUCCAUAUGAUUACUUAAUUGGACAAAAACAUCUUAUUUCCUAAUAAAUAAUACUAUACUCAUUUGCCCAAAAAAAAAAAGGAACUUUGAUCUAUUAAGUAAUAUGAAAGGGCAUUGAUAAUGUGAUAUUUAAAGACUAAAUUAUAUUUUUGUUCAAUAUAAAUCUAUUAAAUUUGAAUUCGCCUUGAAAAACUUCAAAUUAAAAGAGUUUCUAACAAAAAUGAUUUCUACGACUCAAACUCAAAAUCUUUAGAUAAAAAAUAUUUACCACUCCACGAAACUUGGUUAUUUAUAGACUAGAUCAAUUCUAUUCAUUGAGUUGAUGGUAUAAUAGACUAGAUUAAAUACUUUGUAUGGUAUAAUAGACUAGAUCAAUUCUAUUCAUUGACUUGAAAGACAAGAUUAUUUAUGCUAUUAGUUUAUAUAUUUCCACAUACUUGGUUAUUUCAACAAAAUCUUAUUCAAUUUCUGUUUUUGUUUCAUAAACAAACCAAUCAAGAAACAGUCAUGGCUGAAGUACUUGUCUCCAUUGUGGUUGAACAAUUGGGCAAUUUCGUUGUGGAACAAGUUAAGGAACAAGUAGAGGAGCUAAAAAUGGCUAUUGGGAUCAAGGAAGAGAUUCAAAGUCUAUCAUUGAAGUUGAAAAUGAUAAGGGAAGCAUUGGAUGAUGCAGAGAGAAAAAGGGUCAAAGAUGAAAAUGUUAAACAUUGGUUAGAAGUUCUUGAAAUUUUUUCUUAUGAUGCAGACAAUGUGUUAGAUGAAUGGCGCACAAGAAUACUCCAGAAAGAAAUUGAAAGACAUGACUCUCUUCUUGUUGCUGGUGCUGGUGCUGGUGCUGGUGCUGCUGUUUCCAUUCCUAAGAAGAAAGUUAGCUGCUUUUCACUGUCUUGUUGUUUUACUUUCAAGAAACUUGAGAUUAAUCGCGAUAUUGUUCGUAAAAUAAAGGAAUUAGAUGUUAAGUUAGAAGAGAUUGUGAGGGGAAAAGAUCAGUUCAAUUUUGUAGUUAAUGCAACUGGUGGUGGUGUUUCUGAUCAAGAUGUGUUUAGGAGAGUUAUGACUACGGGUAUUGUUGAUGAAUCAGAAGUACAUGGUAGGGAUUCUGAUAAAGAAGUUGUAAUGAGGAAGUUGGUUGAGAGUAGUGAUCUAGAAAAUGUACCUGUUGUUGUUUCUGUUGUGGGUACAGGUGGGAUUGGAAAAACAACACUUGCCCAACUAGCUUAUGGUGAUGAGGAAUUGAAGGGUCAUUUCGAUAAAAGAAUUUGGAUUUGUGUUUCUAAUCCUUUCGAUGAAGUCAAAGUUGCAAAAGCUAUUCUUGAAGGGCUAACUAAAAGCUCUCCGAAUCUGUCUCAGUUUCAUAUGUUGUUAGAAAGAAUUCAAGAAUGUGUCUCUAAGAUAAGGUUCUUUCUUGUGCUAGAUGAUGUGUGGUCUGAAGAUUAUUCUAGAUGGGAACCAUUAAAGAACUCCCUCAAGAAUGGAGCUCCUGGAAGUAGAAUCUUGGUUACAUCCCGGAGUGAGAGGGUUGUGGGGAUGAUGGGAAGUUCUUACAUGCAUAGGUUGGGACAGAUAUCAGAUUCAGAUUGCUGGGCAUUGUUUAGUCGGAUAGCAUUUUCAGGAAGGAGUAACGAGGAUCGUGAGAAUUUAGAAGAUAUUGGAAGGAGAGUUGUUCGAAAAUGCAAAGGAUUGCCACUUGCUGCAAAGACUAUGGGAAGUCUCCUGCGUUUUAAAGUUACAGAACAAGAGUGGCAAACUGUUUUGGACAAUCCAAUAUGGGAACAGAAAGAAGUGACAGUAGACCUUUUUCCUCAUUUGUACUUGAGUUACGACGACUUGCCCCCAAUCUUGAAGCGUUGUUUCUCAUACUGUGCCAUUUUUCCUAAAGAUACUGUCAUAAAUGUAGACAAGUUGGUCAGAAUUUGGAUGGCACAAGGUUUUCUCAGCACAGUUGAAAAUAACCAGCAGGAAGUUAGAGGACGCGAGUACUUCGUGAACUUAGCUAUGCGCUCUUUCUUUCACGAGUUGGAGACAGAUGAUAAAAACACAAGUGUGAUAAUAUCUUGCAAAAUGCAUGAUGUAGUGCAUGAUUUUGCUCAGUUUCUUUCAAGAAAUGACUGCUAUAGCAUCUCAGGGACCGAAAGCACAGAAAAAGUUCUUAAUGUUCAUCAUUUAUGCUGGGAGAGAACUGACACUGCAGUAACUCCUGUUUCUAUCUGUGAUGUUGGAAAGAUCCGCAGUCUUUUUGCUGAACACUUGCUCGCGAAAGAGCUUACUCUCGAUCUGGUCAAAGGUCUUAAAUGUCUGAGAGUUCUAAAUUUACAUGGCUGUGGAAUACAAGAACUCCCUCAAGAAAUCGGCAAUCUGUUCCAUCUGAGGUACAUUGAUUUAAGCAGUAGCCGAGUACAGAACUUACCUGAAGCCAUUUGCCGGUUGUGUAAUCUGCAAACGUUAGAUCUUCAAGGAUGUAAGCGUCUUUCAGGACUUCCUCAACAUAUAGGAAAACUGAUCAACUUGAGACACCUCAUUACAACUGACACUCCCAAGUUGGAAUCUUUUCCUCAAGAUAUCGGAAAUCUAACUCAUCUCAGGACUUUGAGUGACUUUGCAGUUGGGAAAGGAUCAAGCAAGCUAGGAUAUAUCGGAAAAUUGAACCAGCUUCAAGGGUAUGUGUCUAUCCAUGUGAUCGACAGUUUGAACUCUGCAGAAGACGUAGUUGAAGCACAAAAUGCAGCAUUAAGAAUGAAGCCACACAUUAAAGAACUACGUUUGAGUUUCUACUGGGCAAGUGAGGUAAGUAUGGAUGUGAUGGAAGCUCUAGUACCACCUCCAAACCUUAGAUUCUUGACGAUCAACGGAUACAGAGGCACUCAAUUCCCAACAUGGAUUACACUGUCCCUUAAUAAUCUUAGAGUUCUUACACUAAGUGAGUGCUUUAAUUGCACCUUUUUGCCACCUUUAGGUAAGUUGCCAUUUCUUGAAAUUCUUUGGAUAAGGCUUAUGGAUGAAUUGAAACAUGUAGGAAAUGAAUUCUUGGGCUUGCCAGGAACCAUUAACACAUUUCCAAAGUUAAAGAAAUUGAGAUUUUCAUAUUGUUCAGAGUGGGAAGAAUGGACAGACAUAAAACCAGAAGUUGGUUUUUCAGUAAUGCCUAGUCUGAAGGAGUUGGAAUUAAAUUGUUGUGAAAAGCUAAAUAGCCUUCCAUAUUGUCUCCUGCAAAGAGUGUCAUCACUAGAGUCUUUGAAGAUCAAGAUGUGCCCUUGUCUUGAGCUUGAUUGGACUGAGAUAACUCAUAUUCAGAGUAUAGAAACUGAUGAUGGGAUGUGAGGAAUGUUGAGUUCUUUUGUGAGAAGCCUGAAGCCGGAAUCACUGAUAAUCACCGGCCUUGUACAAACGGCUCAUCACACUAUGUGAGUUGGCCAUGCACAAAGUCGUUACCUUAACUGCAAGGGACUUAUUUAUCUCCUACAUGAGAAUGAGAAAGAUAUGUAUGAUAAUAAACUUUAUUUAGUUUUCUUCAUUUUUCUCUUUUGUUACCUGAAUUAUCCUUAACAUAGAGUAUGAACUUGUAUCCACGUUUUGAUGACAUGUACAUCAAGAUUUUUGAAUUUUAGAUGUUGAACAUAUAUAGCUUGAAUAUUCUUUGAACUAAAAGAGUUGUCUACUACCAUACUGCUCAAUCCUACUUUGUCUUUAUAUAUAAAUCUUGUAUGGUUCAAAGUAACUUGGUGAGUCCCAAAAAAUCAAUCAAUAAGUUGGUUCAAUUGGAAUUGUUGAUGCAAGAACUUUGAAAUGGAAUACUAGAUAAGUUUGCGAGAGGAAACUGCUCGGAUGGUAAAUAUCCAUCACUUCCAACUCAAAGGUUACGAGUUCGAGUAACCAAGGGACCAAAAAGGGUCUGGGUAAAAAAAAAGAACAUAAGAAUACCUGAUAAGGUACACUCAACUGUGCUUUAACAGCAUAAGUAAACAAACAACAUAUAUUUGAUCUUGACAUCAGUCACUCAGUGUUCAAUUGUCUUAGAUCUCUAAAACAUUUUUAUCUUAAUAUCCCAGAUUGAUAUUUUUGGCUAUUUUCUCAUUCUCACUAUAAAUAUGUAAUGAUACAGAGAGUUACAUGGAAAGUUGCAAGUGGACAAACGAACAUAGCACUGGUGACUAGUAUCAUUAGAACCAGCCACCUUUGCCCACAUCAACUUUUUUAUGUUGUAGUACAACAGUGAGUUGAUGAUGUAACAAAUGAUAAAGGCGAAAAUUAGUCUUUGUUCUGCAAAAUUGAUUAGCAGCUGGAUUUAUCGAGUUGAAGAGGGGACUGUGUUUAUUGUUCCUCUUCAUUUCAGAUACUUCCUCAUGUCCCAUAACAGUCGUUUCGGCACUACACUGCACCGUUAACAUUCUCAAUAUCGUCUUUUGUCAGUUGCAUCUUGCCUUUGUCUCGUCUAGGGUUUCUUCGUGUUUGAUCCGGUUGCCCUCGCUGCAAAAUAAACAAGAUUUCACCAAGAUCACAAUCACAAGAAUCAAUGCCAUCAUCCAUGCAAAGGCCUGCUUUGCAUAAGUAAUUUUUGAACAAGGUUAAGGGAAGCAUUCUAUCAACAAAGAAUAUGCUGUCGGAUGCUAGUCAUGCCCCCCCACCCCACCCCCCACCCCCAAAGUUUGGGUCGUGGAUUACUGUUUAACAAUAACAGGUAAUAUUAAAACAUGAAUUAGGUACGUUCAUACCUUCCUUAGAACAAAUGCCAAAUAAAGGUAGGCUACCUCCCAUUCGUCCGGUGAUAAAGUACCUGUAAUUAGCAAAAUAUGUCAUAACACAAGUUUUGGGUAGGCAUAUGUAACAAGCAUCAAAUAUCAAAAAUACUUGGAUGAAAGAGCACAGCACUAAUAUUCAGCAUCUAAGAUGACCAAAACUUACUUUGGUCUUGGUUCCCAUCACCUAAUGCACCAAGCCUCCUCAUUAGCUCAAUAAACUCGGGUUUCUUCAUGUAUUCAUCCACAAACUCAUGGUUGUUCUUCACAAAAACUAGCUCGAAGUCAUACUGCAAUAAAAAAAAAAAUAGUAACACUGUCAGAACAAACGAGAAGGCAAGAAACAACUGCAUUAUAUUCUUGAAUGCUAAUUAUUAUGCCUUCUGCAGUGUAAUCCUUGAAAUAUCAGUAAUUAUGCCUCGUAUACCAUACAGAAAUUAUCUCUGACUACCUAUAAGGAUUUUGAAUAAUGUCUAAGAUACUCCCUUAUUUUGUCUCAUAACUAUUAUCGGGGAGCACUCUCAAUCAGUGUUAUCAAGGCGCACUUAACACGUGCUUGAGCCCUGAAAAGAGGCUCAAAAUGUGUUGAGCGUUUCGCGUAGCUUAAUGUGUGCUUUGGUGUCGUCAUCGAGGUUCUAGGACAUACUUUUCCUUGUCAAUGAGCCUCUUCUGAAGAGAUGACACUAAACAAUUGAUAUUUCACUUUAUCGUGAUUGUUUUUCGAUUUCUUUAUUCAUAUAUUUGUCAUUCAUGCUAACAAAUUAUUAGUCUUGGACUAAACAUGUAUAUUUUGUAUUUUUUUUCUCCCUUUUCGCCUUUUUUCAUUAAAGUCCACACUUUAUUUGCGCUUUACGCUAAAAGCCCCAGCAGACCUUAGAGCUUUUUUGCUUUUGAUAACACUGCUCUCAAUCAAGAAAACUGCCCUCUCUAUAUAAAAGAGAACCCACCAUGCUCUUGAUUUAAAAUAAAAAAUAUUAUAAGAUCAAACAAGAGCACAUAUAUACACCUAGAAUUUCUCGUAUUCACAGAAAAGGGAUAUAUAAAGUAAAAAAAAACAAAUGACCUGCAGUACAGAAUAUGUCAACAACUAAAAGUGGGAGGCACACAUGAUAAUACCUCUUCAGCCAUUGCCUUGAAAACAGGGAAAGGAACAAUCCACUCAGGACAGUCAACAGCAUCCUACAAUCCCAAUAUUGACAGUCAAUUUGUUUUGAGAAAAAAAAAAGCAGAUAAAUCAUAUAUAUCCACACAGAUGCAAUCAAAGGAUUUUCAAUAUCAGAACCGUAGCUUGGUUUUCAAGAUUUGAUUGGAGGAUAACCCUACGUUGAUUUUCAGGAUUUAAUAAGAGGAUAACCCUAUGUUGAUUUUCAGGAUUUAAUAAGAGGAUAACCUAUGUUGAUUUUCAGGAUUUAAUAAGAGGACAACCCUAUGUUGAUUUACAGGAUUUAAUAGGAGGAGGAUAACAUUCCAAGCAUAUAAUACACAGAUAAUCUUUUGUAAGUCGUGUUAAGAUGGGAAUUCUCCACCUGUUGAUAUAUGUACAUAAACUAUGUCUGAUCAAAACUUAAUAAAUGAGUUUUGAGCCCCAAAGUAGUGUUUGGUUUCAUUCACAGCACAUGCAAAAUCCAUAAAUAAUAGAGUAAGAACAGUUGUUCAGUCUGCUAGAACUUGCAAAUCAUGGAGGCUAAAAGACAAAUAAAAAUCCUUCAAUGUGCAUGAUUCUAAACAAGUAAAGCAAAAACUGAAAACCAUACAUGCCUACUAGCUAUAAAACAAAUAAAUUAUUCAAAUGGAAGCGCUGAGAUUUGUACUUUGAAACUAAAAUCGACAAAGGAGCGCAUACACACUUUAAUCAAUAACAAUAAUACUGAAGGACACAGCUAAGAUAUAUAGGAAGGCAUAAAUCUGUACACACCUCCAGAUGGAACUUGUAUUUGAUGCCAAAAGGAUUUGAAGAUUUGAAUUUCUGCAACAAUGGAAAAUCUUAAUAUACAACUACUUAUAGUAGUAACAACAGAAAUCAGAAAAUUGCUAGAAAAUGAUAACACAAGUUACCUUCUCUGAAAAUUCUUCAUCAAAACGUAUCCAAUAGACACUAUUACCAAAGGCUAGCCCCUCAGCUGCACUUCCAAAGACAAACAGGAACCAUAUAUCAACAAAUCUUUAAUCUGGACUUGUAUAGAAAGAGACUAGAUAAUACAUUUUAAAAAAUUGCAAUGACACCAUCACUCCACUAGUCUUGAGUGAUGGCCACACGAUCAUAAAAAUGUGGACAAUAUUAGAAAUAAUCAGAUGCCUUAAAUAAAACACAUAGAAGAUAAAAUGAGAAAAGGUACACUAAGAUAGUUUGGCUAUAUCCUACAUAGACCGCUAAAUGCACCAUGCUUGUAGGUGUGAUACUUUUAUGAUGAUUAAAAAACGGAACGAAGUAGACCUAAAACCACAUGAAGGAAAAUUGUCUCAAAUGACUUAAAAUCUCAAAAUCGGUGCAUGCUAAACAAAGUAAUGAGUACAAUAGAAGCAAAAGACCUAUAUGUACCACAAGGUUAGGGUUGAAGUUUUCUUGCCGAUGUAACUUGCAUAAGAUCUCAUGUUUGGUUAGAAGUCAUUUUGUGUAGUUAGAUACCUUUAGAAGUCAUUUUGUGUAGUUAGAUACCUUCUAAGUUUAGAAGGAACUCUUAUGUGCCUUACAAGCUAUUAUUAGUCAUCACUGGAAGGAAAGAGAUCCAAACAGAGGAUAUAAAGGAUUCACAUAGCCAACCUAACUAAUUUAAAUUUGAUGCAUAGUUUAAUGGUUGAUGAUUCAGGCAAAAAUCUAAGCAUUUGAGCACAAACCCCCCCCCCCCCUCCCCCAAAAUAAAAAAGGAGAAAAGAUAAAACAAAUGAAGAGCAAGUUUCUAGAUAAAACAAAUGAAGAGCAAGUUUCUAGUUGCAGUUCAGCUCCUUGACCUUUUAACUGAAAAGCUAGUGAUGAGAGUAAGGACAUAACAAAAAGACAUCAGAGUCAUAACAUUUAUAGAUUCAACAGGGACAAACAGGGCAGAAUUGAGUAAAGUUGAACCUUCUCUAUACUUCUUGACGAUGACAUUGGCAUCUGGCAUUGUUCCAAUAAAUAUUCCUCCGGGUCGGAGUAAAACUGAGAUGUUGGCCAGUGCACGUCGUGCACGUGCCUCAGUAGACCACGAAUAAUGCAUAGCAAACUGCAAAUUUCAAUUUUUCAUAGCUUAGAAUCUGUAAGAGGCCACCCAGGACAAACAUAAAUUCUGGAUAAAGGGCUGUCGCUUCUCCAGAUACUAGGCAGAGGCAUCCAAUUAGGAGGACACUGUACAAACAUCUUUCAUAAACCUCUACUUCAGUUUUUACAGUUUUUUUCAAAAUUUAAGAAAGAUGUGGAUUAUACACCUUUUUCAGUGAGCUAGUUUGGAGAAGCUUCUGAACACACUAAUGAAUUUUCAAGUUUUCAUUGGCAAAAUAGAAAGUAAAAGCUGGACAAAAACUAAAAUAGGACAAAUGACACAUUUAACAUAGCCAGGAACCAAAAACACGAAAGCUUGAGAUGAGAUAUUUUACGAGGGCAUCAACAUAUCCAAAACACCUCAUAAUGCUCAUAGAAAGAGAUGCAGUUAUAUAAAAGUGAUUCAAUUCAUAUAAGCAUGUACCUCUAUAGGCUAGACACAUUUAACAUAGCCAGGAACCAAAAACACGAAAGCUUGAGAUGAGAUAUUUUACGAGGGCAUCAACAUAUCCAAAACACCUCAUAAUGCUCAUAGAAAGAGAUGCAGUUAUAUAAAAGUGAUUCAAUUCAUAUAAGCAUGUACCUCUAUAGGCCAAGAAAUAGCAGAAAAUAGUUCAAUUAAGCCAUAAAUAACUACUCCUUUUGAUAAUGGAGUAGUUACUUUAUGGCUUAAUUGAACUACUUUUCUGAUAGACACGAAAUAUUUUUGAAGGAGAAUGAUAUAUGGCUCCUUGAGAACAAAGUCUUGGACUAUUUUUUCACCUAACUCCCAAAAGAACAAUGCUAGCUACACCAUAGGAACUGUAGGAGACUGACAUACCUGACAGCUACAAACAUCAAAAGGUGCAUCAUCUGCUAAAACCCUAUCCAAGCGAACCUGAAAUUCCCACACAAGAUAUCAGUAGAAUCAUCCGCCUUGAUGUUUCAAUAAAAGCAUGCAGCUGUUUGGAUUAUCAGUGGAUUUAACCAUAUAUUGAUCAUCACUACACAUCCAGCUAAUGACAUGAUAUCUAAGGUCAUUGUACGUCUAGUAAAUGAUUCAUCAUACAUCCAUAAUAAUCUUUACAACACGAAAAAAAAAAAGCAACAAAAAGAUAAAAAAAUUUCAGUUCCAUCUGAAAGAAUGAGAAAACUUGAUCAAUCAUGUGACUGAUUUACCUCAUAACAAUCUCCACACAGGAGUCUGGCAGGAAAUGAGAACUUUUUGCGCCGCUGAUGAUGAUCUGCCUCACCAUUGUAACGAGUCCGGCAGUCUUCUAUCUUUACAUAAUUUAAGAAUAAUAUCAAAAGUCAGGGUAGCACUCAAAUACAAUAGAAAAUAAAAAUAGACCUCAAAAACUAGAAUUUAACAUAAAUAUAGAGAGGAAUAUAAUUAUUUUACUUGGUCAAAAGAAAAAUAGAGUAAUAUAACAUUCUAUGAGAUGGAUAUUCAUUCCCGCAAAUAAAGGAAGAAACCUAGCAUGUAAAUCUACAGAAUGGAGGACUCAAUUAAGAAAUGCCAGCAUCUCCUAUGCCUGAAUCAUUUAGUAUUGAUGUCAACAAGUUAGAAUUCAAGAAAGCUUUUGUGGCCUUCUCUUUGAGUUAAUAUCCAGAUUAACCUCCAAUUAAAAGACAGACAAAAAUUUGAUCAACAUUCCCCUGAAGUUAAAUAGCAACUCAAUAACUUUGUUAUAGUGUAUUAAACUUUUGUUAUAAACUUCAACUUAUCCAGUAAGAUACUAUAAAAAAAAUUGGGGUAGUUUUGAAAGUUUUUUAUGUUUUAACCACAACCAAGUUGCAUGUCCAAACAAAACUUCAACUUCAUCACAUAUGAUUUCAUCUCACAUGGCCAAACGGCCCCCUAGAAUACUUGUUAUAGUAUACUUCACUGCAAGCACCACUCUAACAGCUGAAUCGCAUAGUAAACCUUCAGAUGUUCGGUUAAUAACAUUUAAUAAUGUUUAACUGCAAAAUAUCUAAGUACUGAUAAAAAGCAUCUUCUAGAAAGCCAUACAAAUUGCUAAGCAUGUAAAUAUCUUGCUGAAAGGGAGAUCUGACUUGCAGUGGCAAGCACAAAAACACCAAAAAAUGUAUUCAUCCAGCAGGAACUUACUGAACCAUCGGCGAUAUCAAUACCAACGUAAUAUCCAAUCUUUGCUUUAUCCCAUUUGAUGAGAUCGCCACCCUGGUUCAAACAGAAAGUGAGAAUAAGAUGCAUGGCUACUUGGUUAAUUACCACCUAGAAAUUCUAACAGCUCGCUGCUGCCAGAUAAUUGGGGUGUAAAAUAAGGAAAAAGUACCUUCCCACAAGCAAGAUCAAGAACUGCAUCCCCUCUUUUCGUAUAAAGCUGAAUCAAGACACUCUUGAUCUAACAAGCCAGAAAGCCUCAUUAGCAAUGGACUACGCAGAAUAACCCCGCCUAUGAAUAAAAAAGACAUACCCAAUUAUUAAGUUUCUUUAAAUGGAUGAUAGGACUUGCUUCGCGCUCUUCAAGAGUUUGAUUGGUCCUCGCACUGUAAUGAUCAGCCACUUUCCUGGCAAAGAUUUUUGUACUCUCAUCUUCCAGAAAAUGAGUGUCGCCUGACACCAGUUCAAACUUUUAAUCAAACCGCAAUAGAAAACCAACUUCUGGCUUCUUUAUCCAAAAAGGUUACAACUUCCUAAAGUUUAGCAUCAGAAGUUCAAUUAUUUAUGGGAUAAUACAUCGCCCCUAGCAGUUAAAAAACUACCCUGCAUCGUAAAUAAAAUUCAGACAUUACAAUAAUUGUAGCAGAACACUUAAGCAGCGAAAAUAACAGUAUCCUUCUUAUUACUAACUAAUGCAACAAUGAACAAAUAUGUUAUAUCUAUUUCUAUACCGGUGACAGAUAAUGAAAAUCAAAAGCAGUUACUAUUAAAUAAAAACAUGAGAAAAAUCUCUUCUAGGUUAUGCUUUAAAAAAAGCAGUAGUUCUCUAACUUCACGGGCAUCCGACAGUGUGGCCUAGUUGUCAAUGAAGUGAAACUGAAAGGUCUCAAUCUCAUUACAGAUAAAAAAAAACACUAGGUGAUUUCUUUCCAUCUGUCCUAGCAACGGAGUCACCUGAUACCUGUUACACGUUACUGGUAGCCGGUGGCUAGUAUCACAUGGAAUUUCCCGAUACCUAUUACACGUGCUGGUAGCCAGUGACUAGUAUCACGUCAAUUUACGCCCAAGCUAACCCCGACACCACAGUUAAUAAAACAAGAACAAACACAGCAAUGAACAAAUAUGUUGUAUUCAUAUCUAUCUAUACAAAGAAAUGCGUGAAUUUGUCUUACAAGUAAAUAUUACAAAAUUCCCUUCUGGGUUGUGCUUAUGCACAAGUAAAGUUUCUAAUUUUACAUGUACUCAUUCAAUAAACAAAACGAAUAUGCAUAUAUCCAUCUACACCAAAUUAGGUAAAUCCCAAAUGGGGUCUUUUGAAAACAAAAAAUUACCAUCUGGAUUUAGCUAAAAUACAAGUAAAGUCUCUAACUUCAGCAUGCUCUAUCCAUAUAAUUCCAAGAAAAGAUAAUAAAAACAAAGAAGAUGACAAUAUACCUUCUGGGUUAUGCUUAAAUUUGGAUUGUGGAGGUCCAUAAGAACUCGAAGAUGGAGAUCCUGAGUAACUUCUCUUCAUAAUUUGAAGCACAAUCAGUAUAGAUUAUGAACAAAUCUGCAACACUAAGCUAUAAAACAGUGAGAGAAGAAGAAGGAAUUAGUGAAGGGAAAGUAUUUGAUUUGUCAAAGACACCUUUCUUCUCGACCUUAACCCUUAUGGAUUCGUUGUACGGAAAAUAUUUUUGGAAAAAAAUUAAAUAUACUACUAAUAAUUUUUAACUUUUUAUUAUUAUUUUAUAGUAGUUAAGAAUUUUUAUGGAAGGAAAAGGUGUAAAUAUGGUAAACAAAAAUUUAAUAAUUUAUAUAAAAAUUGAAAAAUUCAUUAAUUUAAACUAUGAAAAAUGUUUCAAUUAAUUGCAACCUAUUUUAAUUCUUUCAAUGAUUUACAUCUUGUUAUGAAAUAUAUUAUGUAAAUGUCUAUUAAAUGUAUUAUCUUUAUUACUAUUUAUGGUGAUUAUUGAUUAGAAGUAAACUUCUUAAUACAAUGGGCAUCCACAUGAUACUAUUUUAUAACACAUAACUUUUUUUACAUAAAAUUUAAAAAAUGAAAUGUGAAUGGUAAUACUCUAAUCCGAAAUGAUAAAUAUUUUAAAAUAAUAUUUUGUGCUUAUGAAAUCAUUGAAAAAUAUACCAAAACACACCCUUAAGCAAGUAGACAGUUGUAAUCUAUUUUUUUUUUUUUGAGUCUCAUGCAGAAGUCAUAAUAGUGCUGUUUUGAAAGUUAUGAUUAGAUUACUAAUGAAAAGAAAUGUUGUAUUGAAAGUUAUAAUAAUGGAAGAAUUGUUAUUGUGUAAAUAAAUUUUACCCUUCAUGCUUUAAUCUGCGUGCAUAGAUUCCUGGAUAAGUUAUUAUUCAUAAGAGUGCGCAAAACUCAUGAAUUCAAGUAGCCGGUGCUCAUGUGCGAGGAAGAUUGCAAUUCCUCUGAAGGUAACAAUUCUAUAAUUGAGUUGCACUUGGUGAAUACAAAUUCCAAUGUGGUUUCGCUCACAACAGCCUGCAUAGGCAACCGUAAUCUGUUGCUGCACUACCAGAGCCUCUCUCAGAAGUAUUUGGGUAAUCAACGCAUGGUUUGUUGAAUUUCUUAUUGCUAUACUAGUCUCAUUACUGCACAGUAAUGAUCAAAUGAAUCCUGUUCAGAUGCUUGUGCAAAGAGUUAUAGAAAGCACGGAUGAUUGGUUGACUGCUUGCUUUACGUAAGUUUUUUUCUUUAUACGAAAUCACUUUUUGUGUGAAAUUUGUGAUACAUCUUUUUUCCUUUUGGCUAGUAAUCAACUAAAAUGCUACCAUAUCUUCUCGGAAAGGACUGUAUCGCUGUCAAAAAACUUGAGGGUUAGAUACUACAGGUCCUAAGUAUUGGGCUAGCAAUCAUCAUGUCCUUUUGCUAAUCACCAUCUUCAUGUAUAACUUUCUUGAUUUGUUUCCUGAAGAGAUGGAAUACAUUUAUCAUGCGAAAUUGUGAUGAAGGAAAUCUUCAAAGUUACAAAGAGGCAGACUGGGAACCCCCCAAAAGGGUUCCACAGCUAUAAAAGUUUCACAUAUGGAUUUUGAAUGGCACUCUCAUUCAAAACAUUGGGUAUAUAUUAAUCAAGUAUUUAUGUUUUCUAUAUGUCACUAUUUAUCUAUCACAUUACAAUCUUAGAACAAUAAGUGGAAACAAUACUAUUUUUAAGAGGCAAAAACAUUCUAUUAUUAAGAAAAAGGAAGGAAAGGGAUCCUCAAAAGCGUUAAAUGAUUCUUAAAAUAUGUUUGUGAAUGAUUGGUAGAGACAUGUGCAACAAAACAUUAUUAUAAAACACAUCUAAGAAUGAAAUAGUUGUUGUAAACACAUAAUUGACCUUACUAAUUAGGAAGAUGCAAUUCACCGGAAAAUGCUGAAAAAGAUCGUCCACUGCAUUCAUAUGCAACUCCAACCAGCUACAUCAAAUAAUCUGAACGAAAUCCAAGGAAAAGCCAACAAGAAUCUCCUAGGCUCGAAACGUAUAUAAAAGAGUUCACAGUAAAUAUACAAGCAUCCAAGAAAUUUUGGUAUAUAAUGACUAUAUGAUACAUCAAGGACAAAUCUCAAACCAAGCAUUUAGAUGACGACAUGCCCAAACAAAUGAUUAAACAUUACCAAACAAAUGAUACAUACAGAAGGUGGAAUUAAGGAAAAAACUAAAUUAACAGCAGCAGGAACAGUGGCAAGCAGCAGCAGCAGUAGUACAGAGUCGCCAACAUCCAACUUCCACUGUAGAAAUCAAAUUUAGUGGUGUUGCCUCCUCCAAUAAUAUGAAACAAAACUAGGCAACAUACACCACAGUUCAAAGCCUCAACAUUAGUGAUAGACCAGAGUAAGUCUCAAAUACGGUCAGAUACGUGCACUGCUAUCCAAUCAAAACCUUUAACUGGAGAGCUGGAACCUCCCACUAGGCUUUUUCCUUCUCCACCCCUGCAAAGUUGAAAAUUGUUUAAUUUCUCCUCCAUCUUAAAGGCAAGGAUUUAAGAUGUCAAGACAGUAACAGAGACUUACAAAGGCAGCAUAGUAAACAAAUGUCAGACCAGCUAAAACAAUGAAUCCAAUUUGAAACACGUUGUACCUGCAAAGACAUCUUUCCCCGUUCAUAACAUGAUUCUUGCAGCCAGAAAAUCAGUUCUUGGUGAAUAUCUACAAACAACAGGAACUUACUUGUAUAGAUACUUAAUUCCACGAAGAGAUUGCAGAUUGUGACCAAAUAUUUCUUGAGCUGCAGUGGCUUGAGCAUAGUAUGCAAAGGCCGUGGCGCAGAACUGAAUGACACUGCAAGCGCAGAAAACAAAAGCUCAUACUACCGAACUUUUACACCAGGUGGAAGCAGAAGAAAGGUGGUUAUCAACCCAAAUACUGCAGAUUGGUCAUCCUCGAAUUUCAUGUUCUAUAUACCACCUAUCACCUCAGCAAAGUAUUUAAUACAUGGAACCAUUAUCCAACAAAGUAGAUGAAGCUAUCUGUUUUUUAUUUAGAAAUAAUAAGGGGGCAAGCACGUCCUUAUAACAAAUGCCUCAUAAAUUCAGCAAGGAAGUUCAGGAUAUCCUGUCGGCUGUCAGUGGAAUCCUUGCUUUCCUUUCCGUAGUUGCCUACAUAUGGUUUAACUAGUAAAUGGUCUAGAACCACAAUACCCCCAAGUAAGAUCAAAGCUACAACAAUAAUUGCCCAGUGAGAUCAAGACCGUAUAAGAAGCAGGCUGCUUCUUUUGUAGUAUCAGGCCAUAACCUGGAGGAACUGAUUUAGCAUGUUGCUUCAUGCCUCACUUCAGCCAAACAUCACCACUCAACUACCCAAUAAAUUGAAUCCUAGCUGGUACAUUAAAUACUUCACUAUUUGCAUGGACAACCCAAAGUGUCCCAAUAUCAGUGGUCUAAGCAUUUGUCCUUCAGAUAUUCAUCAUUAAGAAAAAUAGAACAGUGUAGAGUUAAUCCUACCUGAUGGAGCAAAGAAGAAUAAGGCCCACAUUGAAAAGAAAGGAGUUCAUGAGCGUAGCUCCCCACCUGUAAAUAGUGGUGUAGCACAGCAGUGAGUCAGGGGAGACAGAGGAGCAAAGCAGGUGGCAAACAAAUUCAAUAAAGUAUAAUUUCAAACAGCAGAAGAAAUUUACUUCAUUGGGUGAAUCGUAACAAAAACUAAUCUCAAGCCAAUCAUCAUAGCUCCGGCAAUCACAGCAAGCAGAAGGUAGAAGCAAAAAAAUGCAAAAGCUGCAGUGCCCAAGAGACCUGGAGAAAAAAAGGGAAAAAAUACCAUCACAUUUCAUGUAUCAGUCACCAUACAUCGCAAAUAAGGCAGGAGAGAGAGAGGUUGAAGGUACCCCAAAUAUCAUCUAGUUUGAUGAAAACCUCAUUAAGGAAAGAAGAAAGUGGAGGAUCAAUCAGAAGAUAUAUCACGAUAUGGGCAACCCAAGCUACAGAGACAAUCAGCCUGUUUACAUGAACCAAAAAAAUACAGAUUCACUAUUUGCCAUCUAUUUAUGUCAAAUUAUUCCAAAAAACUAGUGGAAAUUAAAAUAUCUUCACAUUCCCACAUACCCUAAAACACCUAGGAUGAGUUUUGCCAAAUAACCUAGAACUGUCAUUGCCCAAGCAGUCUCAGCCUGCCAAAAAGAGGCCAUCAAACAAGUUUGCUCAACAAAAUUACUUUGGCAAGGUGUGAAAAAUAAGAUUUUAGGCGGCCAAGUAUAAAAGCACAUCUCAUUACCUUUUCACCUUGAGGAUACAUUUCCUCUAGCGCCUUGACAUCGUCUUCAAGAAGAAGCACCUCCUGCAAGGUAAAACAAAAAAUUAUUUUAUCACACUAACAUAAAAACAAACCAGUACUUUUCAGUUUAUUCAUUUCUUGAUAUAUUAAUCUGACAAGAAAACAGAAUCUUCAUCCAACAUCCUAAGAUAAGAGAGAUAAAAUUGACAUGAGGUCUGAGAUAAAAUCAUCAAUAACUUCAAUGUAGAAUUUCGAGGACAAUGGAUCAUGCAUAUCAAGAGGAGUUUCACUUGCAUACACAGGUUAUGAACAUCAAUUGAUCAUAUUAAAAUAGCAUAGCAUGGUUUAUUCAUGCCUUUGCAGGAGAAGCAUCAAGCUGAACUUAUAAAAAGUUCUAUUUAUUUGUUUUUAUUUUCAAAUUUCAUAAAAUGUAUAAUGGCCACUUGAACAAUGAUUAUCACCUUACAUCCCACCUCUUUUUCCUACUUAACAUAACAGAUGAUAUUUAUAGCAUGUUUCAUUUACUAAAAAAGACACAAGUAUCUUUUUUGGACGACCAUGGUGGUCUGGGCAACAUGUGCACACCUCGACUAAUUCUACGGGGUAGCAGGUACCUCUAUCCAUCAAGAGGACUUGGACAAAUAGAAAAAAUUGCCUAGUGAUUUUGCCUCCGUUGGGAUUUGAACAUUGAACUCAGACCUCAUGAUUCUAACCAACUUCAUUGACCACUAGGCCACAUUGUUGGGUGCAAAGACAAAUGUACCUUUACUUCUAGAUAUUCUACAAUAAUAAUUAUGCAAUGAAAUGCAAUGAUCAACAUGACAGUGCGAUUUGCUUAUAUAUUUUUGUUUAUUGUCUAAAACAUUCCUUCUGUUGGGAUGAAGAUAUCCCAGCCAACUUGCUUGCAUGUUGACUAUUCCACCAGGUACCUUUUACCUCCCACCAGCCUUGGUAAUUCUAUCCACCAAGGCUUACGCAUAAGAGACAAUUGCCUAUUCUUUUGCCAAGAAUUUAGACCUAAGACCUUAGGUUCUCCUCCACUUCAUUGACCACUAACCACACCCUCGAGUGGCUCUAAAACAUUCCAUUUUUAAGUUCACCUUAUAUGUAACAUAGUGCUAAAAUGAAAAAAACAUUCAAAGAAACCAUGAUGAGAAACAAGAUAUACCUUUUCGACUGCCUUCACAUUCUUCCGCCAUUUUCUUCCCUUACUCCCGCUCCUUUCUUCUUGAUGAAGUGCAUCAGUUGCUUUCUUCAAUUCUUUCGCUCUUUUACCAAGCUCGGUAGCUUCCUAUACAAAAUCAAAGUUAAGCAUCAUGAGCCAUGACACCAGCGUAUAUACCUUUAUUUUAUUUUAAACAUCUGAUCAGGAUCAUAUGCAAAGAGCUUCUAACAGAAGAAAAUACCUUGAUAUACUGUGACCGUGUAAUAACAGCCUUUGGACGCCUGAUGAACGAAAAUAUAAGUCCCAACGGGAGACAAGCAAUGCCAACACCACCAAAAAUCUGGAGAUAAUAUGUGAAGCAGAUAAGUCAGUACCAAACAUGCAUAUUAGGGUGACGGGUUCUCUCUUUUGGCCUCCAAUGCUGCUCCCCAACCUUAAAAGAACCGAUCACCCUAACCCCCUCAACUAUAAUCAGAAGACACAACAAAACAUUCAUAGUCAAGUGGCCACCCUUACACAAAUUUAUUUUAUUUUCAACUGCAAACCACAGAAAAAUUACUCACAUUGAUUUCUAAAGUUCUACACUCAAAAACCAGAAAAGUGAUAUCUAAGAAGUUCUCCAUAUUAAGAGGCAUUUUGCCAAGACAGAAAUGACUGAAGAAUUGAACAUUAAGUCUCUUCAUCACAACAAUAACAAUAUUCAAGUGUCUAGAAUUAGGAAUUGUCAUACCGUGAAAAGUACAGAUCCAACAAUAGUAGCCAGAGCAACGACAUAUUCAGGAAAAGUAGCACGCAUAGUCCAGGUUGUCUCAGAGGAAGCACUAGCAGAGUAUGCAGAACACUGGUAACAAUUGAAGGCAAGGAUUAGAAUGGCGACUUUGGAAUAAGACAUUAAACUACUUAUUGAUGCUUAUAUAAGCUCAACUAACUAAGAAACAAGAAAGUUUAAAUUUGCACCAACCUGACGGGCACCGUUUCCAAUACAUUGUUGACCAUUGUUAAAAUCAAAUGAAUUUGGAAAUGAAGUGGUGGCUGAUGACAGGUGUCUUACAGUGAAGUCUGCCUUUCCGGCGAGCCCUGAAAUACCCAAAAGAGGGGUAGAUAAAGAUCAAAAAAGAAGUGUGAUGAACAACAAAACCAAAACAACUUACCCGAACUUAAGCAAUUCAAUAUAACUAGACACUUCAGUAUACUUAUCAGGGAAAAAAAGUGGUAAAAUGUGCAAAGGAGAUCCACAAAGUUAAAAGCAAUGAAGGUAACAAAUUGCAAUUGAAAACUACAUAAACCCUGAGGAAAGGGAUGAAUGUAACUAUGUACAUAAGUAUGUUCCCCAUUGCAUAAUUAAUCGAAGAGCAAGGUGCAGUUAGCAACAGUUUUGGGGUCCCAAAAGUUCAUAACUACUUGCCAUUGCAGUAAAAUUCUUGAUAACAUGCGGCGGACAAGAUCACCUCCCCUUCUCUUUUGGUUCUUCAGUAUCCACACGUAAAAAAUGCAUAAUGUUUUGAAAUAUGUCCCAAUAAUCACACAUUCGUAUCUGGUCAAAACUAGACCCAGGUAGCACUACAACAACUAGAGUGGCAAAGAUGGGAAAAUCUGUGGGAAGCUUGUAAUUGAGCCACAAACCAGAUGAGACAUUCUUGACACCAUCUUGGGUAUAAUCAAGAGUAUUCAACUUAUAAUAAGAAAUCUAGAAGGGCAAAAUACAACUCCUAACACUAGGCAUAAUUUUCCCAUAAACAGCAUCCAGAUAUUCUUUUUUCUUAUGACAAGGGUAACCCCCAGCCGCUACCCUUUGGGUGCCAAUAUCCAGAUAUUCUUCUUUUCGUAAUUGUCCCAUCAUCUAUGGGGGGGGGGGGGGGGGAAUUCAUGAGAAAAAACUACCAACCGAAGAAACUGUAAUAACUUCCAAAGCUAGACACAUAAUAGUGAAGUCCAAAUAAGAAACACAGCAACUACACAUGAUAGUGAAGUCCAAAUAAGAAACACAACAACCACACAUGAUAGAGAAUCUCAAAUAAGAGAGACACGACAACUCCCUCAAUAAGCUCGUAAUUUGAACCAUUAAGUAUGUGAUCUUUAUACCAAUUCACUCCAUAUCCAAGACUCAGGCUUUUAACUCUGCCUAUGAAAACAUCUCAAUGCAAUCCUCAGUUCAGACCACAAUAAAGGUAGAGAAUGUAGGUAAACUGCUUACAGUAGCCAAAAGAUACUCUUAACUCUUGCAUUUAAUGGAUACAGAUAAUUCAUUGAAUCAACCCAACUAAUUUUGGUUAUGGCAUAGUUGGCUGUCAUCUAAAUUACCCAACUCCGUACCCAGAUUCUGACAUUUCCUGAUCGAAACUAACUAGUCCCGAAGCUCACCCUACAUCACAUUAGCAUCCAAAGCUAGAAAUGCACAGCAUAUUAUACAUGUCAACAAGUCUCAUCAACACACAAAGUUACUCGAAGCUUACCAUAUAAAAUUCCAAGCAACAAAGCACACACGAUUGCUGUGACCAACACCCAACACAUUGCACUUUUAAGCCUUUUGGCAAUAGUCCUACAGAAAACAGAAAAUAAAAACAUCAGAACAGCAAUACCAUACCAUACACAUCACAUCCAAAAUUGUUCAAAUUCACGUACUUAUCCUGGUCGCCUUCGUAAUAAAACAUAGCAAAAGGAAUGACGAAGAAAACGAGAAUAGCAUCAACAAUGUAGAUAGCAAGCCAUAGUUGCUUCAUUGGGAGCGUGAGAUUACACGCUCCAUUAUAAAUCGCGUGUUGACAUGCCUGCCGAUUAGCAACAUCGGCCGGUAACAUGAGAAUAGAAAUGGCAGCGACUGAUAAGCCAAAAACGACAACAAAUUUGGGGAAAUAGGCUUGAUUUGCAUCAUCAGGGUGCUGAUAAUUGAUGAGAAGAUAGACAUUGACUACGAAAACGAGAAUACAUACUACAAUGGCUACAAUAACCAAGGCGAGAUUGAAAUCCCCCAUUGUUGUGUGAAGAUUUCUCGAUUCGGAUCAAUUUUGAAGGUUGAUUCGAAUCGGAAUAACGUGUGAAUGAGAAGAAUUUAGGGUUUGGGUUUGAAAUUUGAUGAACAGAGACCCUUUUUCAGAUCUGGGUUUUCGAAAAGAAAGGGGAAAAACAGGACGGGCGGAUUUGCUCCGGUCGCGGUUUGAUGUGCUGUUUCAGCUGGGGAGACAUGAAAUUACUAAUUUACCCUAUACCAUUAAACAACAUUGACUAAAUUGUCCUUUUUCUUUAAAUAGUAUAAAAAACACUUUUAAACUUUGACGUAAAUAUUUGUUUCAUCAUCGAAUUAUUGACAAUCUUAAAAGUACUCAUUUACUUUACCAAUUGAACCAAAAUACGUCCUGAUCUUGCAACAUCAGUUAAAUAUAUACCCCUAAAUUUCUUUAAAUCACUUUUAAACUUGACGCAAAUAUUCGUUUCACCAUCGAACUAUUGACAGUCUUAAAUUUAUUAUGCAAAUAUUCGUUUCACCAUCGAACUAAUGACAGUCUUAAAUUUAUUACGCAAAUAUUCGUUUCACCAUCGAACUAUUGACAGUCUUAAAUUUAUUACCAACUGAACCAAAAUACGCUCCGAUCUUGCAACAUUAGUUAAAUAUAUACCCUCAAAUUUCGUCAGGUUUAGGUGUGUUUUCAGCACUUUUCUCGAUUUUUAUUAAAAAUUUCAUGCUCAUAUAAGCGUUUGAGACCACUUGAUUGGUAUAUCGGGAGUGUGGGUGUAUUAAGUAGAGGGGUGUUUAUAAAUAGCUCGGAGAUGAAACUAAAAAGUUUUAUCAAAUUCAUGAUUGUUUUUAAUAUCUUCUCUUAAUAUAUAAAGCUAAAUAAGUAGACAUACUGAUAAUUAUAUACAUCGAAUUUGUAUUUCAUGAAUAUUGUAACACUCCUCCAAUGUUUUGGUAAAAAUUAUGUAAAUAGAAAAUGAUGAUAUAGACCAUUUAUAACAUCUAAAAUCAUACUAUAAAAUUUAGUUUUUUGAAUUUGGAACUUUUUAUGAUAAACAAAUAGAGGGCUUAAACGUAAUUUGAAAUAUUAGUAGAGGGAACAGGCUGGCAAAAGCAAGGAAUUAUUUGUUGUUUCCAACGGUUUUCGCUGGAUUUUAAAAUUUUAAAACAUGCACUCUAUGCCCUCCACUUAGACCAAUCACCCACAAUUUUCUAUUUUUUUAUUUUACGUCGAAAUUAUGUUUAAAAGGAAAAAGAAUAAUUUAUUUUGUGUUUCGUUCAAAUUUUUUUGGAUUUAGUUACUUUUUGAUUUAUUUUAAAGUUAUUUAACAAUUAUCAUAAUUGAUAAAAUUAAAUUUUCAUAUGUUAAUAUUCUACUACCAAUCAACAAAAGCAAUAUACUCAUAGUGUUUAUCAUAAUCAUACAAUGUAUCACUUUUUUUAUAAAGAGACGUGUGAAAAAUAGGAGUUAAUUUCGUAAUAUGAAAUAUAAUCUAUUAAUGAUUUUGUCAAAUAAUCAAGUUUGUAUACUUUUAACACUUUAUGUAUUAGAGAUAAUGUGUUUUGAUUGUACAAAGAGUCUAUUAAAAAGGAUUUAACACUUUUUGAAAUAUAAAUAAUGUGUUUUAGUUGUACAUGAUUCUAUUAAAAAGGAUUUUGUUCUAUGUAGUUGACCAUAAAAGAUUAAAAAAUAUUUAUAUUUUCUAAAGAUCUAUGAAUAUACAAAAUAAACAUUAUGAACACCUCGAAGUCUAGUACCUACAACUAACAAAUAUAUUUUUAUCUAAUGCUGGGUAUUAAUAUAUUUUUUUGAAAAAUUAAGGACUAGAAUGUUAUUUUUUAAAAUAUGAAUUAUAAUAUUGCUUGGAUUAUAAUUUAUUUUUAAAAAUAAAGAUGUGUUUUGAAUUCUAAAACGUGAAUUUAAUCAUUUUUUAAGAUAUAAUUUUUUUGUCACUUUUAAAAUUUUUACCUGUCCGACUUAAAUAAAUAGUUACUUUAGCUCAGAAAUAAUUAUCAUCUUAAAAAAUUAAGACUCAAAUUUACAAUUAUUUUCAACUAUAAUUUUAAUAUUAAAGAGUGAUCAUCAUAAAUUAUUAAUGUGUGCAUUCCAUGAUGAAUAAUAUUUAUAAGGAACUAAUCAAAUCUGCUUUCAUUAAAUAGAGAUAAUUUAGUAUAUUGUAUCUUGUAUAUUUAUUUUAAUUGGAGUAAAAAAAUUAACACUACAAUUAAAAUAGAAUGGAGGGAGUGUAGACAUUGAUUUAUUUAUUUUUUGAAUAAGUUCAUAUUGAAUUUUAGAUAAAUGAUAAGUUAAUAACAUGUCAAUCAAGUUAAUUGUUUGAUUAAAAAAUUGGAUCAAUGUUUAACUUACAAUUAUAUGAAUUAAUGAAGUCUAAUUAAUCGACAAGACAAGUCCAAAUCAUACUUUUUAAAAUCAAAAUCCACGAGAAUUACUUGAAGAUGAAACACUUCAAACCUUAACUCAUGCUUAUAUCUAGAGAUUUUUAAUAGGGCAGACUAAAAAAGAAAUACAAAGAGAAACUAUGCUCCUGAGUGGUGUUAUGCGAUUCUCGUGUAUACAAAGAAGUUUUAUUUUCAAGUGACGAGCUCCGAAUUUUCAUAUUUUAUCAAAGUUUGAUUUUGUAUUCGUACUGAAAUUUCAACAAGUAUUCCAUCGAUUUAAGAACAAAACAAAGUUUUGAAUUGAUAACCAUAAAAUAAAUUAAGAGGAUUACAUUUUUUUUUAUAAAGAUUGUAACCCUCAUAAGUUAUUGAAAAUAAUAAAAUAGUACUAUUUUACUUGUUUGAAAUGAGCCUAUGAAUUGUCUUGCAUCGAAGGAUAUGUGGAUUAUCGUGAUAUUUGAAUAUGAAAAUUUAAGUUCACUCACCUUCAUAUAUUUAAAGUUGAAUUAUGAUGGCAUUUUGUGAUACUAAUUAUUUGAACUGACACAAAAUUUUUGUGCAAUUGAAACAUUGAAAUGAGUUGAUUAACUUAUCUACAUUAUGUACAACAUGGAUAUGUAUAUGUAUAUGUUUCUGAAAUCGAUGUUACAAGAUUACGCAGCAUACAUUCACAUACAUAAAAAAAAAAACAAAUAUAUAUACAAAUAAGUCAAUAUAAUCUAUUAAAUUAAGAGUCCUAAUUAUUCAAUAAAGAAAGGAGGUGUAUAUACAACAUAUAGAUAAUAUUCAUAUCAUUAUUUUUAUAUAUUAAUUGUUGAAAUAUGUGAAAGUGAAUGAUAUGUAAAUCCUCUAUGAAAAUGAGCUUGGAAGUAAUUAAAUAAAGAAGAAGUAGAAGGAUAGAACAUAGAUUUUUGUCUCUAUAUUUUUUAUAAUCAUAAUAUUUAAGUUAACUUACACGUAUCUCAAUCAAUUCUAUAAAAUAUUUAUCAUCUCUAACCAACAUAGUUACAAGGUACCACAUAUAACUAUGUUUGAACAUUAAUACACUUCCAUUUUCCAAUGGAAAGACUAUGUGGGAAUUAAUUAUCUCUCCCCACGUACAAUAAACUUUAAUAACAAAUUAAAAGAAGACUAAAAGAAAAAUCUAACAAUAAUGAAGGAAGAAAAAUUUAUACCCUUAUGAAAGACUCCAUCAAAUUUUAGCCAAUAAUAAUUAUAAUAUGUCCCACUUUAGAAGUUAAACAUUUUCUCUUCAUUAAAUUCAUACGAAUUAAGCUUGCUUUCUAUCUUAUUUUUUUCGAUCGAAAGUCCAGCGUAUCAAAUUAUCUAAAAAAAUUUAAACUUAAAAAAAAUAUUCCUUUUUUGUUACUAAUUUAGAUAUUAAAACGACGACGAAAAUUAUACCAAUUUUUCUUGCAAAUCCCAACUAUUUUCCAAGUGUUUUUCUCAAAGCUAAUUGUCUCUUGUGGUCUCCCCUUCAUCAUCUUCUUCUCUUUAUUUACUUUCUCUCAAGACUCUCAAUGUCUUUUGUAAUAAGAAAAUAAUUAUAUAUUUUUUUUUCUCCAAUUUUUGGAUCCAUUUUAAAAUGUAGAAUUUCAAUUUGUUAAUAUAAUUUAGUUCUGUUGUUAAAUAUAGUAAGUUGAGUUUUUUCCGGUUAUAUAGUUUAUUCCUCACCAUUAGUAUAUUUAGCAUGGAAUUAUAUUUGAUUGGACAAAACUUUUUAUAAAUUCUAAUGGAUUUCAUUAGCUUGUAUUAAAAAGAAAAUUAAAAAACAAAGGGUUGGUAAUUAUUUAUUUGCUUAUCCAUUUCUUUUUUAAAAUGUGUGAUUGUGCAUUAUUUUAGCAUUUUUUUUCCUUUGUCACACACAAAAACCUUCUUUUGUUUAUUUUUGGCUAUAUAUUAUUCUUAAAGCCUAUUCAUUUCAUAAUUCAUUUGCAAACUGAACCAAUAAUUAACACAAGAGAGGGUUGGGGGUGGGGUGGGGGUGAAUGCUUGAUCACUUGUGAAUUUAUUUAAGAUAUUAAAUAUUGAAUAGUAUUUUAUUAUUCCGUUCAUAAUAAUUGAUUUUUAAGAUUUUGAUACGACUAUUAAAAAAAUUAUUAACAAUAUUUAAAGUACUAUUUGACUAAGUUACCGUAAUAUACUAAGAGGAAAAUGUAAAGAAAGAUCGAGAAUUUUUUUUUUUUGACAUUUUGACUCUUGAAUUUACAAGGAUUAGACAACAAAAAUGCAUGUCACUUUAGAACUACGAAAGGAAGGUAUUUUCAUUUCUAUAUAUGCAAAAAAUUAGAUAAAAAUUGACAAGAUGUAGACAUUUAUCGUUCUAAUAAUUUGAUUAGAUAAUAGUGUCACGAUUAAAGAUAAGUCAGUUUCAAUUUAGCGAAACAAAAAGAAAUGUGAAAUUAAAACAAAAAAUGAGAUAAGAGCGGAAAACUUAUUCAUUUUAGUAUAAUUCCAAAUUCUAAUUGUCACAUGUACAAACAACUAAUAUAAAAGUAUGGAAUUUAAAGAUAAUUUCAAGUCUUAGUGUCUUUGUUUCUUAAAAAGAACAAAACAUAAAAUAAGGAACAAGAAGGACUAUCGAGAUAACAAACAUAUACCUCUCAAAAGUCUUUUGACAAGCCCUGUAGGAGAACGAAAAGAGCAAUCACACGCUACCGAGCUCGCAAUUUAUACAAGUGUAGAUGUAAGAAGCGAGUGUCAACCAACACGGUACCCAACAAGUAACCAAUUAAACAAGACAAAACUAACUAAAAAAUGAGUACUCCUUUCAUCCUAUCUGAAUCUCCUUAAAUUACAAACUGCAUAGGAAUCAGCGUAACCUAACAAUUUCACAAAACACCGUUCAGAAGGCUUAAACAAUCACAGUUCAAUAGUCGCAGUUCAACAACCAACAAGCAUCAAGUAUGUCAAUCACAAGUUUCAAAUAUGUCUAGAUCUCUCUCAAGUGUCAUAUGCACCAAAUCACAAAAGCUGGAGCCGUUUUCAUGCGAAUUUACAUCACAUCACUAGUCGAAAUCAUAUAUAUAAAAAUGCACAAUUCAUAUUAUUUUAAUCACCUAACUGUCACACUUUUUUAAAUUUAACUCUAAUCGAAAUCUGAAUACGUAUAUCCCAAAAAAUAAUGAAAAAAAAAACAAAAAAAAUAAAAUGAUGACUGAUUGGUGAAGCCACGUUCAGUUCAAUCACGGACUCUUCGCAUCACUUUAAAAUUUUAAAUUUAUUUCUUUCCACAAUUUUCUCCAAAAUCACAAUUUUUACAUCUUCUUCAGAAUGGAGGAAUCAGAUUGGAAUCAGUCAUUUUCGUCGGAGAUUAGGGAUGAGCAAUUUACCGGUGAUGUAUCGAUAUCGCGACACGAGGAGGAGGUACCAGUGAUUGACGAUGAUGAUCGGCGGCCUCCGUUGCCGUUUCCUGAGAGGAAUAAUGUUUUUCACAAUGCACCUUAUUUUCCGGCGACUGACAAUGAGGAAGUUGUGCGGUUAGACAGAGAUGAUACAUGUUCUUACAUUGUAGUUAUUCUCACUUUCUGGCUCUUCGGUAAUUUUUUUUCUCCCAAAAUCUGUGGAUGUUGUUUGCCUUUCUUUUUCAUUUUUAUUUGAUUAUCGUUGCAGCUCUGAAAACUGAAAAUAAGAUAAAAUGAUGAUAUUUGGAUAUGUUCACUUGUGCUUUUUUUUUUCUUUCCAUCAUACAGUUGCGUCUCAACCAUUCAUUGUUCCGCUUUAGCUCCCUAAGUUAUGACUACCUUUUUAUUAAAAUAUAUCUCAGUCAUUAGUCAGCGAAAUGUUUAAUUCCAAUGGACAAUAGAUGUGUGGAGGCCAACUUAGCAUCGGAGUAUGUUUUAAUACAAAUAUACGAAACGAUGUAUAGUUGAGGUAUGAUACUUUUAUUCCUAUACUCAGGCAUUGAAGUGUGUUUUUAAUACUAAUGGAAUGAUGGUUAGGUAGUUAAAUGAAACAAUGGACUGUUGAGGUAUGAAACUCACAAAGAAAGUGAUAGUAUAAGUGUAUUUAACAACAACUAUUAUGGCUCAAUCUCAACUGAAACAUGGUAGCUGUAUGAAGUUUGCACUAUCCGUUUCGCUUCAUUAUUUUAUUCCGUGAAGUCUGACCUGUUUCAUUCCGACAUUUGAUUAUUUGGGGUUCUCUAAGACUAAUUUACAUAAUUUUUCUACUAUUAUAUAAAUCUAUAUACAGUCUAAAAAAGUUCUUGCAAAAACAGCUUCUCCUGUAAGUGUAGCUAUAUGACUAAGCUUUAAUACCUACCAGUCAGUGUUUUCUUUUUGCAUUCUGUUUUUUGUUAAGUCUCAUGGAUUCGAGAAUAUUUUAUUUGAUUUUAGGUCUAUCUCUUUCCUGUUAGAACUUUCAAUUAUUAUGGUUUCACACCUAUAAACUUGCACAUUUAGAGAUCUUAGUAGGACACAACCAAACCAUCUCAGACGAUCUUUCUCGUCAUGGAUACACAACUUGAUGAGUACACAUCAAGUAUUUAUUCUCGUAUGAGAUCAUUUUUUGUUUUGUUUAUUCUCGUAUGACUACAUAUCCAUCUUGCUAUUUGCAUUUAUGUGAUGCUCAUCUUGCGCAAGUGUUGAGGCUUAUAUGUAACAAAUUUACGGAUGUCUUUUGAAAGAAGGGGAAUCAAGAUAACAACUACAAUUGUCAUACUAAUUUGCUGGAGAGUGUAAAUUUUAUGCACAUGUGAAGUUGACUGGGACUAGGUCAGUGUGUAGGUUGAUGUGGAGUUUGGGGGGAAGAAUGUUGGCUGCUAAUGGUAGUGUGUUUCUCCAAAUGAUAAUGCAUAUCGUAGCUUUUGAUGACUUCACUCGUUGGGUUUACAUUGUGGGAUACUAAAAUUUUAUGAAUCACUCGACUAUCGUAAUUGAUCACUUAGCAUGCUCAUAUUAUUAGUAUUUACUUAAAAGGUUUAAUUCCUACGCAAAUAGAUCGUAAGAAUCAUUCGUAUUUAAAAUUUUUUUCUCUCUGACAUUUUUCCUGGUGAACACAAUAUUUAACACUUCAGAGCUUCCUUUGUGGAAAUAAUUUCUCUUUACUCCAGUAUCUAUGACUUUUAUAGAAAAUAUUCACGUUAAUAUGCUUGUGCAUUUCUGUUUUCUUGCUUAUUUUCUUUCACUAAAGACGUUUGAUACUUGAGAGCUUGCCUUGAUUAAUGCUUUCUCUUUUCUUCAGUCUAUAUGACUUUGAUACUCGGAGUUUAUGGGCCAGGUAAUUUGCAGCUUGGACCAAAUUCCUCAAUCCUGAUAAAACCUAAUUCCUUAUUUGUGAAAAAUAUAAAGGUAAAAUGUGUAAUGUCUUAGCUUGUUUUUUUUUUUGUAUAUUCUCUAAGCUCGUAGUUUGACAAAACAAUGUGUCCCUUCUACAAGGUGGAAGAGAUGGAUGAUGCUAACAAUAGACCAACGGUGUAUGGGUUCUAUGAAAAUCCAUCUCUUGAUGUUCUUGCAACUUCUUCUGAAGCUUACAUAACCUCUCUUCCUGCAAACACUAAUAAGGCACGACGUGACUUUAAAUUUCUUUCGAGUCUCUAAUGCCUAUAGAGGAUUGUUUAAUGAAUUAUCUUGUGUUUGAUUUUACAGCAAUGGAUAUAUUACUUGAAUCAAGGGUCUCAAAUAAACAUAUCAUAUAGUGUCAAGUCCUCAAGUUCGUUUGGUUUAGUCCUUAUUAUUGCUCAAGGUAAGUUUAUUUUCAUCAAGCCUAUUCCAAUUUUUGUUUCCCAGUAUUGCAUUUCUUGUUUAAGGGUCAAUUCGAAUAUAUACUAGAUUGUUACUUUGUAAGGUAGCAUCAAAACUUUGCAAAUCAAUCUAAAUUAAUGGGCCUUUCAACCUCAUGUUAACAAUAUGUAUUAUAUGAUAGCCCAUGUAGAGGACUGUAGAGUACUCAACAUGGUAGAAGUCUGGUCCACCUCGCUAUUACAGUAUAUCUUCUAUGGUUUUUGGGUUCAUUGUUAUCUUUGGUUUUUAUAUGCCGAUCCAGAGAAACAAAUAAUAUUUUUGUACUAUCAUUUAACUUAUAGUUGACAUAUUAUUUUGGGAAAAUUGUAUUUAAUGACAAACUAAUAAGUCAAAUUAAUUGCUAUAACCACCCUUUGAUUUAAUUUUGUCCCGUAGCAAACUGUUUGUCAGUCACCUCUCCCCCUCAAACUCUCUCGCUCCAUCUCUCGCUCGCUUCCUCUCACUUUUAUACAAACACAAGUGUAUAAAAUCUGUUUCUAUUUGUAUAAAGCAGAGGAAAUUGUAUAAAUACAUAUAUUUUUGUUCCCCUCUCUCCCCUUUCCUAGAUCUUGCUCUCCACUAUCCCUAAUCUCGUCACCACCGUCGCGUCUCUCGCUUAUACAAACAGAAGCAAAGUGUAUAAAUUGCGUUUCUGUUUGUAUAAAGCGAGAGAAAAUUGAAUAUACACAUGCAAAUACAUAUAUAUUCGUCCUAUACACUUAUAAUUAUACAACAAAAAUAUUCCCCUGCCCAGUUUCUUUUGCCUUUCUCUCUUUCUCGUUUUAUACAAAUUCAAAUUGUAUAUAAUUUCUCUCUUUCUCGUUUUAUACAAUCCGAUUUAAUUGUAUAUUCCCUGCCCAAGUCUCUUUUGCCUUUCUCUCUUUCUGAUUUUAUACAAAUUCAAAUUGUAUAUAAUCGUUCUAUACACUUAUAAUUGUACAAUUCGUUUUAUACACUUCGUUUUUAUGCAAUUCUCUGCCCAAGUCUCUUUCUCUUUCUUGUUUUAUACACUUCGUUUUAUACAAGUUGCUUCAAAUUGUUUAUGUAUAACGAAUUAUACAUAUAUAAAUUUGCUGUGGAGUGUGCAAACUUUGCUACAAUAUACAAAUAUGAAUUUUAUGUUUGUUGUAUGUAAAAUUUGCCCUAUUAUUUUUGACUAAGCUAGUCUCUUGACUCUCUUCUGAGUCCCAUUUUCCGCCUUUCAGGCAAACGGUAAAAAAGAAGUGUUCCCUGAAACUAUCCCUCUCCUCAUUUUCCUCUUUAAGUGGUCCAUCAGAGCGUGUAUUCUGGGCUCAACCCUUCAGUGGGGAAUUGUCUUUGUGGCUCACUCCCUUGGAAAGAGGUUACAUGUCUUGUUGAUCAGGUCUUCUUGGAUAUAGCCAGCCAAGUUCUGACAUACUAGCUCUAUUUCAAUUUUCUAACACAGAUAUUUUUCUCUAAAAGUCAAUGAACUGCAGGAAGCGAAGGUCUAGCUCAGUGGCUUGAAGACCCAUCUUAUCCAAAUACAACACUAUCAUGGAAUGUCAUUCAUGGUAAGAAAGAAGUCUAGCUUAAUUAUUUAUGAUCCCUGUAUAAAGGUCUUGCACAAAACAAUAUAUAAAAGUAAGCUUAUCACACCAGCUUCCUUUCUGCAGGGAAUGGCACAAUCAGCCAAGACAUAGGGAAGUCGUCUAGUUAUUACGUGGCAGUAGGAAACUUGAACUCUGGAGUUGUACAGGUCAAAUAAGUAUUACCAUGUCAAAUUUUCACUUAAGAUAGUACUAUUAAGAGAAAAUAUGGGUAUAACCUUUCUUCCCCAGGUGAACAAUUAUCUAAUCACAUCAGAAGAAAGAAAUAGUAAUUUCCCUUAUUUUUCAUUUUUUGGGGAUAGGGGGAUAUUUUCCUGCUUUGCACUAGAAUUGCAUCUUCUUUUUAUUAUGUAUCAUGUUUAGUUGUUUUGAAAAACAGGUUCAGUUGAAUAUUAGAAGUAAGGUGUUACUCUAUAAUACAACUGAUGCUUAUUACGAGUGCAACCUCAGACAAAAACCGUGUGGAAUUAGCUUCUUUCUGGACGGAGGAAAUGUUGCUCUUUUGACUUCUCCUCCUCAAAGGCCAGUAAGUCUCUAGAUUUUUCUAGAUCCCCUUGUUUAAUUCUCCCAACAGAGAAUAUGCCCAAUAUAAUUGCUUUAAUUUCGCUCUAUGCGUUUGCAAUUUUUAACAGUCUUUUUAUCAUUUCUAUUAACAAAUGUUUCUUUAAUCGGUGAAUCUUUGACCACACAUGGACACAAUAUCUUGAUAAUCUUUCUUCUAAAUAUCUCUGUUGGAAUAUUAUGUUCUAGUUUCCCAUUAUAUAACUUGUCGAAUGGAGACAACUUGAAUGUGUUAACACCAAGCAGUAGCUUUUCAGCUUCUGUCUUCACAAACAAACAGUCAUUUGAAGGCUGGAACUAGAUUUUUGAGAUGCACUAAACUAGUUAGUAUAGUCAUUGACACUACUAUGUUCUAGGAUUUUACAUGCAUUUGGUCAUGCAUCUCCGUCCUUAUUAGUUUUUGUUAUAAAUUGGCUUGUUAAUGGAGAUCCUUUUUUGUAUAUGUUCAUUCUCCAAGUCAUUUGGCAUCAUGACUACUGUUAAUCUUAAUGGAACCUAUACAGGUGUGGACUGGAAUAUGGAAUAUCUUUUUUGUCUCACAAAUUAAAAAGGACUUGUGUAAAUAUUCUUAGACACGCAUAUCAAAUUUGAACAACAACAUACCCGGUGUAAUUCCAUAGGUGGGGUCUGUGGAGGAUAAAGUGUUCCCAGACCUUAUACCACGAGGUGGAGAGGCAAACAUUCAAGUUUGAUAGAGUAGAUUUGAUAUGAAUGAAGUCAGAUUUUCUUCCAAUUCAUGUAGGGUAUAGCUGCUGGUGUGUGGAGCGUCAAACUUUCCUAUGGACCUCGGUGGAUCACAUAUCUUCUUGGAGUAGGUAUAUUUCUCUUUUCUACAUAACCCCUGAUGUUCCAAUUGAAAAAUCUUUAGUUUUUCAUCUUCAUCAUUCUUUCUAAAUACAGGUGGGAUGAGUUUUCUCAUUUGGUUGGUAUUCAGGUACUUGAAUAAUAUGCAAUCCAUUCAUCAGGAAGGUAGUAGAGAUCCGGUGGGGCUGAUGGAAUCUGACCAGACCCCUCUUCUUUCACGCAAAGAUAAUGAUAUUGGAAGUUGGGGUUCUUCUUACGAUGGUCUUUCACAAAAUGAUGAGUAUAAUGAAGAUGUACUGGACCUCACUGCAGCUCAAGGGAGACAACUUAAAGAUGGUGAAUGCAACGACAAUAUUUGUCGACUCUGCGCAAUUUGUUUUGAUACGCCAAGGGACUGCUUCUUUCUUCCAUGUGGACACCAUGCAUCCUGUUUUGAAUGUGGAACUAGGUAUGUCACUUCUCUCUUUAAAAAAUAAAAAUAUUUCCUUUAUGAGUUUAUACUCCAGAGGAAUGACUAAGUACUUGCAAAAGAAUAUGCUUAUAUUUAUUUAUGCAUAUGAGAGAAACCAGCAAGCCAUGAUAUUGAGAGUUGGUGUUGUUGUUCUUUUUCAUUAAGAAAAUGUGGUUGGGAGACUAUUCUAGUCACAUGGAUGGGCAGUAUGAUCAUAUAUAUGAGACACAACUUAGGACUAGUCACAGUUUUUCCCUCAUAGUAAAUUUUCACCUAUCUGCCUGUUUCCCCACAACCAAGAGAUCUUGUUAUGGUGUUCUUCCUCCUUACCCUUUCUUCUAUUUAAUCUACUAUGCUCCAACCUCUUUAGCCGGGGGCUCGUUCUUUCAAGAUUCAUUAUUUCCCCUUCCCGAGUUCCUCUUAUAGUUAAUAGUAGGAGGUUUUUACUAUGUCCCACCUAUACUUUCUUUUAUGGUGAUCCUGUUUCACCCAUCCCCCUCUUUUUGUUCUCUAUGUUACCAACACAACCAUAUUUAUAGAUCAUUUAUUGAACCGUCUUUCAUGCAAGUCUUUAAAGGGCAAAAUUAUGAUCAAUCAAAUUCGAUUGAAGAACUAUAGACUAAAGAAAAGGAAUCACAUUUCAAUGAUUUUAUUGUGUGAUCUAAGUUCACUGUUUUUGCAAAGGCAUUUCCAACCCUUUCAGUAUCAGUCGUAGCUAGUAUCUAAAAUGGACACGGGUAAAGAAAAAAUGAACAAAACAAGAGGAAAAAAUCCAUGUAUAACAAUUAACACCAUGAAAUUGACAUUUACAGGAUAGCAGAAGUUGCUGGUACUUGCCCAAUUUGUCGCAGGCCUAUAAAGAAAGUGAAAAAGAUAUAUACAGUUUGAGUAGUCGAGAGUAGAUAAAAUGUAAAUCAUGGAUACACCGAGUUCUUCUUCCAAUUUAUUAUCCUUUGAGAAUUGAUGUUGUAAAUGAAAUAGUUCGCGGUAUUGUCAGGCCAAUGCAUAUAUUUCUGUUUCCAUCUCUUCUGGUAUAGAGGACAUCACAUGUAUUCUAUGGAAGUUUGGUUCUUUACAUUGGUUUACUCUACCAAACAGCAACCAUAAUGCCAUGUACUUGAAACAUAUAGCUAGUGAAGUUCACACAUUUGAGGUGAUUGUUUUGAUAAAUAAACAAAAUAAUGAUCUCCGUAUUAUUUUUAUUUCAUGAUUGAAAAAUUAUUCAUCUACUAUUAUUUUAUUUACCUGAAUACAACCGUUCAGAGAAAGAAGACAACUUUCACAUUUAUCAUCCAAAAAAAAAUGCUAUAAAUUUUUAACAUCGUUAAAUUAUCGAAAUACUAGAAUAUGAUGUAAUUUUCAAAUAUUUUACGAUAUAAUAGAAAUUCAAUUUAUGCCCCUAAUUUUAAUGUUUAUUCUUUAAAAUUUGAAAAAUAAUAAACUUAUCAAAAACUUGAUCAGUUUAAAUAUUUAUACAUUUUCAUAAAUCAAUUUUUAGAACUAGAAAUUUAUCUUUAUCAUUAUGUUUGAAAAAAAGAGAGAGGAAAAAGAAGUAACAAAGAAAUUUAAAUGUCAGACUUAUUUAAUUUUAUAUAAAUUUAAGUAUUUAUUUUAUUUAGAUUUAAAAUUAAAAAAUUUAAAAAUAAGUUUAAUAACACAUUUAUAUUUAUGCUUUUAAGAUUUGCUUAUAACUUAUUAUUUCUUUGGACUACUAUACCAUGUUAUUUUUUAAAUUAAUUGAGUCGGACGAGUUAAACUAAAGUUAAACAUUUUAAAUUGGCAAUGAAUUUUUUUCCAAAGCAUAAUAAAAGAUAAUAUUAAAUUCAAAAAUAUAAUAAUGAACAUAUUUAAACUAUUUCUUUUGAUAAUAAUUUAUAUAUUUGGCCCUUUUUUUCUUUCAUAAAAAAUCUAGAGGUUAAAAAUGAAUUUUUCUAAUUUAUGUAUUUCUGUAAUUUAUUAAAAUCCUGCGCGGCUUUGAAUACACUUCGUAUCAGUUGCCGGCACAAAUCUCCCGGUAGAGGAAAAUCCCGGUGAGUGCCAUACAAAUUACAGAAGCAUCCGUUUCUCCGGCAACACUCGCUUUUUCAAUUUCAUUGCUUUUCACAAGCAUAUGAUAAAGCACAGCAAGUUGAAGCUCAGAGAAAACUAGGGUUCCACUUUUGCCUACAGCAAUGGUGGGAAUGAUGUCUCCGAUUUCCAGAGAAAGGAUAGCGAGUCUACUCAAUGCUGCGAAGUUCGCUUCCGAUGUUCCAUCGAAGCUUCAUAGCUUGCGACGGCUCAAAGAUGAGCUAUCCGGCGCUGGCGGUCCUUUGCUCAAAGAAUUCCUCCCUACUCUCAUCGACCUCGUUUCUGAUCGGUUCAGUCCAGUUCGUAAAUUAACCAUUCAGUACGUUUCCAUUACUCGCUGUCUUUCUCUGCAAUUCAAUUCAUGUGACUCUGAUUUGAUGUCCAUUUUACAGUCCUGCAACUAUUAGAUAAUGCGAAUAAUUAGAAAACUGCAAGUUAUUGAAUAAAUAAAUGAGCACAAAUAGAGUGAGGAUUUAUAUGCAGACCACAGCUAGUUUCGUUAGUUCAUGGAGAUUGGAGCAAUUGUUGAGUAUGUGAAAAAUAUAUGACCUUGUUGAUUCUUUUUUUUUUUUUUUUGAAAAUCAAACCCUUUGGAUUAUAAAAUGUGAAAAACCUAGGAAUAUGCCACAGUGGAAUGCUCAAAUAAAAGCUUUAUUACUUGAUGAAUAAGAAGAAGCUCCAACAAAAGCAAUCAAAGUAGAAAUGUUUUACUUUGCUGCUAGGGGAUUCAAAUGAAGGUGUCAUUCUUUAGCUGUUAGUUAUUGAGGCAAAGCAACACUCAGUGGAAUCUCUAUUGUCUUUUACUUGCUGCAUCGGGAUUUUGCUAAAUUCCGAGUCGAGUAACUUGUCGCAUUGGUGGCUUACCUACUGUAGAAUUUUAAAUUAAAUUUUGGUUAUUGGUCAUGUCUGUUAAGCCUUUUAAGACAUCAAGAGAUGUCUUUUAUACUGCCAGCAUAAUUGUUUCAUGAGCUUACCUUUAAAUCAUAUAAACACUCUUCCAUAGCAUGAAAUCCUGCCAAUUUGGUUCUUAUAUUUCAACUGCACUCCUUUUCAUUCUAUGUGUGGCAUGCUCUCUUGAAUGCUGUCCUACCCAUUACAGUUUCAGAACUGAAUACUGAAAUCAUCUGCCCUACAAGCAUAAGCAGGCUUCUAUCUUUAAAGCAUGUUUUGCGAUCCACUAGAUUUCUCAACUCCAUAUUAUGAGGAGGAAAAUUAAAAAGACGCGUUAUUUGUUCAGGAUGGUUGGUUGUAUUGGAUUCGAACAUGGAGAAUUGUUACCUGAUAUCAUACCCGUGUUGAUCUCUGCCUUGAAGGAUGAUACCCCAGCUGUUGCUCGACAAGCAAUCACUUGUGGAAUUGGUAUAUUUCGGUGUACACUAGUCAAAGUUGCAAUUCAGGUAGUUGACUAUUUCAGAUAUGAAAUUUGAACAUCAAAUAUGAGUCAUUUUCUUUUGACCAGGUUUCAGAUAGUUAUAGAUCAAUUAUCUGCAACUUUAGCUUAUUGUAUCCGCCAUUAUCAUGCUCACAUAAGCAAUUUAUCGUGUACUUCCACAGUUACAUCUCUAACCAAAGAACUUGAUUGUUAAUUGUCUGUCUUUCUGUUGGAAUAACAAUGGGACCUUAUCUUCCGUCCUGGAAUUCAAAUAUGCCAUGAUUGCUAUUACCCACUGUCUCAAAAGAAUGACAUGGUUGAUGUACAAACGUCGAGCUAAUCAAAUUUACACAUUUAUCAAUGCACUGACUUUUUCAGGAAUUAAGUUUGUAUAUUCAAGGAGUACUGCAUAUUAUUCUUUAGAAUCUAUCAAAAAGAACCUUGACAAUCUGCUAUAGAUCUCACUUUAUACAAAUUAGAAAUAUUAAGUUGUAAUACUUACCCUUUCAAAAAAAAAAAAGUUAUAUAAAAGAAAUUUAGUCCACCAAAAGCUGUUGAUUUUAUGAAUAGGAAUAAUGUUCAUUUAGAAUAAAAUUUGGGGAGUACAUCAUGUGUUAGAAUUUGUAAUGAAGCAGCAGGCUACAUUAUGAUCAUUAUGGCAUUAUCUUGACUAAAAAUGCAGUUUUGACAUUGUGAUUGCAUAUGCUUUUAUUUUUCUAUAGAUCAAACUUAGUUCUGUCCACUAUUUUUCUUCUUUUUUCAUUUAUAAAAUAUCUUAUCCAUAUAAAUAUUUAUAACAUUCAUCUUUAUAAAAAUGAUCUAUGAAUAGUUCUUUCAAUUGCAAACUGCAUCAUGAGAAUGAAACCAUUUCCCAAUGUUCUUCCAAGGAGUAUUGCUGUUAUAUUAUUACUGCAUACUUCAUUACAUUUUUGAUGAUUUUGAUAUUUUUUGGUUAACUGGAGUAGUAAAAAUGCAUAUUUUCUCUAGUCUCUAAUCUUGUGCUUCACUGAUAUAUUCUUGAACACUUGAAUUGCUAUCUCAAUAAUAGGGCUUGUUUUCAAGUCAAUUGGAUGGUUCUCUUGAAUCAGCAUGGGCCUUGAUGCUGAAAUUUAGGGAGGAGAUAUACACAAUGGCCUUUCUGGUAUGUAGUUUUGUUGAAACCAUUUCAUACAUUCAUCUACCUUCUCUUUGGAAUCUAACUCUCCAAACACGGCGAUAAGCCUGCAAGUGAUGGAAGAAAAUUACUUGCGCUGAAGUUUGUGGAAUCUGUCGUGCUACUUUACACACCUGAUCCUAAUGUCGGUUCGGAGCCACCACCUGCUUUGGACAUUAAAGGUAUCAAUUGCUUUUUGAAAGUGAAGCGAGUAAAUAACCUGUGAUAUAUUCUAAAGUAAAUUGUUUGUGCUUUAUGAUUGUUGUUUCUCCAAAUUGGUAUCUUAUUGUUUUUUAGGGAAGUUUGAACAAUUCAAUGUAUCGUGGCUUCGUGGAGGUCAUCCAGUUCUAGAUAUUGGGGAUUUGUCUGUUAAAGCAAGUCAAAGUUUGGGUUUAUUGCUUGAUCAGCUUAGAUCUCCUGCAGUGAAGUCAAUUACUAACUUGAUGAUCAUUGUGGUGAUUAAGUGGUGAUGAUCUAUCUUUCUUUCUAAUGGGCUUGCAUUGUGGAGACCCAUUAUUAAUUAUACUACAACUUCUAUAUAAUUUGUUGCUUUUACCUAUUCUGAUGAAGAAUCUUGUUCCAUUUAUCCACAGUCUUUCAGAAAUUGCGACUAAAAGGCCGGCUUUUUACGGUCGUAUUCUGCCAGUUCUACUUAGCCUGAGUCCUGCAAGAUCCGACGGCAAUAAGCUGCAUGUUUCUGGGGUAUACCGUGCUCUGAAGACAGCCUUCAUUUCUUGCUUGCAUUGUAAACACCCAGGAGCUGCACCGGUAAUUAGUUUCAUUUUUCCUAAUUAGAAUCCAAUAUUCUUUCUGUACUUAUUUUGAUUGGCCAAAUAGUGUGGCCCUUGCUGGGUUUGAUCACAGUGACUCUGUAUCACAGAAAUGUUCCUUUGGCUCAAACUUUGAAUACGAACUUUUCUCUCUCUCUUUUUUUUUUGGGUUUUGAAGUGGCGGGAUCGACUAGAAGUUGCACUCCGAGAAAAGAGAGCAGGAGUUCAGGCAGGACCAGUUGUAAGCCAAGAUUCCCAGAAUAAUGGAGAUACAGAGUUGAAGGAUGUUUCCUCGAUCUUAGAGGUUCCUAUUUUUUCAGUUUACCUCUUGUUUUAUCAUCAAUGGAAAGCAAUGCAUCAUACCAAUGCUUUUGAGCUCGUAGUCCUCAAAUAUAAGUUUUUUUUUUCUGGUGGAAGCUUUGAAGUUCAUAAUCCUCAAAACUGCUUAAUUUUUUUUAGGAUUCAAAGCCUUCAAUUAAAUCAUCUUCUGGGACAAAGAGAUCAGGGGUGGAGCACAAUGCUGAACUGAUAGAUGAUAAUCUCUCUAAGAAGCGCAUGCGAUCGACACCUAUUGUCUCCAAGGCACCAAAGCAAGAGCCGAGUGGGAUCCAGGAGAGAGUUUCGGCUGGGGGUUCCACAACAACCAGAUCUGAUGGAGAUAAUGUUAAUUUGCAACCACUUGUUGCAAUGUUUGGUACUUUAGUUGCCCAGGGUGAAAAGGCUGCAGCGUCUUUAGAUAUUUUAAUCUCUAGUAUAUCAGCUGACUUGCUAGCAGAUGUUGUGAUGGCUAAUAUGAGAAAUCUACCUUCAAAUCAGCCAAAAGCUGUUGAUGAUGAAGAGCCACCUCUGAAGCCAGAGAAUGUCUCUGAUUUUAGACGAUUAUUAUUACUGUUGAUAGACGCUAUUUCCCAGUCCACUAUGUUAGCAGAACAAGAUGAGAGAGCUGAUCAAAAUUUGGUCUCGAUCGAGCCGGAGGUCUAUAAUGCAUUUUCUAAUUCCUCAAUAUAUUUUCCUUAUCUUUUCCACUUUCAAGGGAGCACAUAAGUAAAAGCCCUUGUCGGACUUCUAAUUGGUUUAUGUAGCUCUCUGCUUAAGCUCUUAAUUUUGUUACUUAUGGGCUUCUUUUUUAAACAUUUUUCAGCUGCAAAAAACUAAAGUGGCAGAAGAGCACCUUGAUCCUGCCACUACUAAUGGUACAUUUGAUGCCCUAAAUUGUGCAAGUGAAGAAGCACCAGAAUAUGUAACUGAGCCUCUUUCUUCUACAAAGGGUACCCCUCAACUAAUCGAAAAUGAUGUCUCAUCCUUGCAAUGUGAUGUCGCUGACAUUGAGAAAACUGAGGAUUCCAUACCUGGUCUAGAUUCUGUAGCUCUCAAAGAUGAAGAAUCAGAUCUUGUAGCUGUUUCAGCAUUUGGUACAACUGAAGUUGAAGAUGGUACUCAAGAUCAAGGGUCUAGUGUAGUUAGGUCAUCUUUGGAAGUAGUUCCAUCAAAUUCAACUGAUAGGUCGGAGGAGCUUAGUCCAAAAGCAGCUGUAACAGAUGUAACCAGCAUGAACUCAUCAACAGCUACUUCUAUUGGGCUUUCUCCGCAGUUGCUUCUACCCAAGAUAUCUGCUCCAGUUAUCAACCUCUCUGAAGAAGAGAAGGACAAUUUACAGAAGUCAGCUUUCACUCGUGUCAUUGAUGCUUACAAGCAAAUCGCGAUUGCUGGAGGUUCUCAAGUCCGGUUUUCUCUUCUUGCCUAUUUAGGUGUUGAGGUAUUUGCUCAGGGAUUAUUACCAACGCCUAUAUAUAUAUAUAUUAUGAAUGCAAAAGACAUAUUUUAACUGUACUAUAAUUUUCUGUUCUUUUCUAAACUGCAGUUUCCUUCGGAGCUAAACCCUUGGAAAUUUCUACAAACACAUAUAUUGUCCGAUUAUAUGAAUCAUGAGGUAAUUGACUAUCAUGUUAUUUACUUUUUGAUAAGGAAUAUCCUGAUAUUUGCUUUGCAUAGUAUAGUGUUAAUUUGUAAAAUUAAUGUGGGAGUCAAUAGAAAGUUGAAAAGCAUGGUGAAAUUCUCCAGAGAUUAAUGACUUAUUGUAAGUUCGAAUUUCUAGGUACAAUGAUGCAGGAGAAUGAGAUAUAAUAUAUGCAGAUGUAACAUAGAUCUAAACUAUGACGAUUGAAAUGAAGGAAUAUGAGUGUUAUACGGCAGAAAGACACCUAAUAUAAAUAGCAUGUUGAUUGUUGUCUCAGUACAUGUGUGUCUCUAGGCAUAGCAUGUUGAUUGUUGUAUCCUGCGUAACCUUCUAAUUGUCUCUCUUUUGUGGAUCCUCUUCUGAUAUUUCAUGGCAAAAAUAUUCCAGCAGCAUAAGUUGAAAGUAAUUGUAGUAUUUUUCUUAGUUCAGUUCUGUACCUUUUGAUUAAGUCAUAUUUAUACCUUUUAAUUGUGUUAGUGUUGACUAAUCAUUGGAUGUCUUUAGGGGCACGAGUUGACAUUGCGUGUCCUCUACAGGUUGUAUGGGCAUGCAGAAGAAGACCAGGAUUUCUUUUCUUCAACAGCUGCAGCAUCCGUAUAUGAAACAUUUUUACUUGCAGUGGUAUGUAUAUGUUCCUCCUUCCUGGUGCACUUUUUUUGGAUUAGGUAAAUGCUUUGCAUUCUUUUGAUUUCCUCUAUAUUUUGUAGGCAGAAACACUUAGAGAUUCUUUUCCAGCUUCUGACAAAUCUCUAAGUAGAUUGCUGUGUGAAGCUCCUCACUUACCAAAUUCUACUCUCAAGUUGUUAGAGAGCUUCUGUUGUCCUGGUAGUUGUGAAAAGGAUGAGAAGGAGUUGCAUAGUGGAGAUCGAGUCACUCAAGGCCUCAGUACUGUGUGGAACCUGAUUAUGCUGAGACCUCUAAUGAGAGAAGCUUGUCUCAAAAUUGCUUUACAGGUUUGCCGUCAGUGUACUGUGUUUGAUCUGUAUCUUUUAUUUGACAAAAGUCAUACUCAUUUCUUUUCAAUACUGUGACGUAGAUUGUCUUGACACAAAGAGGUCUUUGGUAGGGUGUAUAAGAAUAGUACUGAAUAAGGUGUAUUAGUAGGGUUAGGAUUAGUAAUGCGGACAUUAUUUUUCAUAGACUAUUUGAUUUGUUAUAUAAAAUGAAUAGGGUGCAUUGGAAUAGGUUGUUUGGUAGGGUGUAUAAGCAUAGUACUGAAUAAUGUGUAUUAGGAGGGGUGGGAUUAGUAAUUGCUGGCAUUAUUUUUCAUAGACUAUUUGAUUUGUUGUAUUAAAUGAAUAGUGUGUAUUUGAAUAGGAAUAGUACUCCGUAUUGUUAAUGCCAUCUUUUACUAUGUUUGUAUAAGAAUAAUACGGAAUAGGGUGUAAAUCUAACACAUAAGUUGAAAACACUACCAAACAAGGGAUUAAAUAAUACCAAGCUAAUACAUGUACCAUUUUCUCUAAUACUUCCUACCAAACGACCCCAAAGUUUUAAGAAAGAAGGAAGACUUUUGAAACUUAUAGUCUUAAACAUGCCAUAACAUUUUUGUGAUUAUAUAAACUUCGUUAAGGGUAAAAUGGGAAAUUCAAAGUUAAUUGUUUUCAAAUAUAGAAACGUUCAUUGUUUUUGGGACUAAUCUAGAAUGGUGGGAGUGCCUGUCCUAUUCCGAAAUGCUGCAUAUCUGUACCUUCUCGUAUAUUUCUUGGUCAACCAUCAGAACAGAGAAUCAAUUAGUUGUUGAUAGGUUAAAAGAAUAUAACUCUUGAGAUUUACAGAGCCCCGCAAUACAAUUUUGCAGUUUGGCACUUUGUGUGAUCUGCUAUUUGUCAAGGAAGACACUCCUCCUCUGAUUAGCGGGUCUUUCGUAGGCAUAGACAAACAUAAACUGUGUAAUUUAAAUUGCUUUCUUGCCUGUGCAACUUCUUCCUUCAAUGUGGUGAGGAACAUGAAUUUCCUUUACAAGAUGGGUGAGCAGGUUAAGUUAUCUUGAUAGCAUAACUCCUUCAUGAUCAGCAUUUGAUAGUCCUUGAAGGAAGUGCUAGUUUAAACUAGGAUCUUCGUUCACUGGGAAGAAUUUGAAAUUAGUUCUUUCUUUUCUGCAUUGUUGACAUGAUCAUCAAUCAAUUUUUUUCUCUUUCCAUUGUUAUGGUCUCUCAAAAGAUUCUCUGCCGUCAAACUCACUCCUUUUGAUGGAAGUAACGCGCGCGCACACAUACACAAGCGCACAAACACAAGCAACUGAAUUCAGUUGACGCCUUACAAUGAUGAAGAGGGUGCAUCCAAAUUGUCUAAACGAGUGUGAAUAUUGGUUUUACUGGGAAUUAGUAAAGCUUUAAUCAUUUAUACCUUAAGUUCGGGAGGUGGAAAUAGGAGGAAAUAACGUAAGCUGGCACAACAGUGAAAUAGGGUAAAGUCUCGAACGUAGUUAAUUUAUCAAAAACAAUUCUAUCAAGUUUUGACAAGAGAUAGCACGAUGAAUGAGAAAUGGAGAUACUACAUUGAUUAACUAAUUAACAUCAGUCACAAGGAUAUGUACCUUAGCUACUCUAGAAUAAGGUGCACUAAGGACUGACCGAUUAAGGACCCAAGGUGUGGCCUUGUGGUCAAUGAAAUGAAAGAAAAUCAUUGAGACAUGAGUUCAAAUCGCAGCAAAGACAAAAACCACUAGGCUAUUUCUUCGAUCUGUUUAAGCCUUGGUGUGUACUGUAUACUGACGUUGGAGGGAGGUAGCAGGUAUCUGGUGAAAUAUUCGAGGAACACGCAAGUUGGUCGGUCAGACAGCUGCUGUUUGUGUGAAAAAAAGAAUAAGGCCUGCUGAAGUAACAGAUUCUCUGAAGAUUAUGAAAAUUAAGAGCUUGUGGUCCAGAUGAUACUUCCUAAGAUUUGGAAGUUCUCUAAAGAGGUUGAAUUAGUAUGACUUACCAUGCUAUUCAAUGUUUAAGGAAUGAAAAGAAUGCCAAACAAGUAGAGAUAAUGUAUCUUGGUUCUGAUAUAUAUGAUCAAACAAGGUAAUCAAAGCUGUGCGUAACUUGUGUUCAUAGAACGAAAUGAAUAGUUAACUCUGUAAUCCCCAUAUGAGCUGUCCCACCUUUAGAAUUUUUUUUAAAGUUGGUGUUGCUUAGUAUGGAGCGAGAGACGAUGCCCGCUAGCUGAUCUCUGGAAGAUUGGCUCCGAUGUUGUGGAACCUUGUGUAUACGUCCAUCACAUGCUAAUAAGGACAUUAGGACAAUAGGGUCAUCAAUCACAAGACACAGAUUAUAGAUUGCAGAAGAUAGACCACAACAUGAAGGCAAGGGAACAUUACUGUUGUGUCUUUACCGGAUACUAUGGAAUGAAAGAAUAUGAGAUCACUUUAUUUUGCUUCAGUUUCCAAAAAAGGAAAGAAUAGGAGAUGGCUUCAGAAGAAAAUAGGAGAUUGCUUCAGAAGAAAAUAGGAGUCAGGAGAUUGCUUCAGAAGAAAAUAGGGGAUUGCUUCAAUCUCGGCAGAGACAAAAUGCUAGGUGAUUUCUUCACUGCAACAGCAGGGGCGAGGUGCACACAAGCUGGCCCAGACACCACAUUUAUCCAAAAAAAAGAAAGAAAGUAAAUAGGUGAUCAUUUCAGAUGGAGAAAGAAGGAAAUAUCUUGUUUAUUUAGAGGGAGGAUUCCUUUUUUGUGUGUAGGUAAUUGCACGAAUUUGAUUGAUGAUCAUGGAGGAGGUCAUUUCUCUUUUUCAUUUUUGGUGUAAAGAACUGUUAGUAGAUGAUGCAGAAUCAAUACUAGACUUUGUUGCCCCUUUGUAAAUUUUUCGGGGGUCGUAUUUGUCGAUAUGAUAUACCAGGCCUCUUUUGGGUGCUGAUGAAUAUAACCAAGUUACCAAUUUCAAAAAGAGUAAAAGAAAAAGAAAAGUUAGUGUGCUUUUAGCAAUGAGUGAUGACUGCUGUGAGUGCAACAAUUCUUUGCAGCAUCAUGGUUACUGCCUUUGUGGUCAGUUCAUAUAAAUUUCAAUGGAGGAUUCUAUGUGUCAUCAUUUUCUCGAUUGAGAAAUCCAUUUCAUUAAGGUGAUGGGGUCAGAUGAAAUCCUUUCUUUGUUCUGUUGGUAAAUGGAAAAUCUUCUGCAGAUAGAAUUCGAAUUCACAUCACCAUAUUCUGACAUCUUUAUCUUCUUUUGAUUGCAAAGAGUGCUGUUCAUCACUUGGAAGAGGUGCGCAUGAAGGCAAUACGGCUGGUAUCUCAUACAUAACUUGGCUGUCUAAUGAAUCAGAUUAGUUUUAUGAUUCUUGCAGUUCUUUCAACAGCUAUUUGAUGUUACUUUUGCAGGUUGCCAACAAGCUUUAUCCUCUGACAUCCAUCUCUCAACAAAUAGAACUCUUUGCCAAUGAAAUGUUGAUGUCAGUUUCAACUGUUGAUCAUAAAGCAGACUCAAAUGGUGAUGAAUCUGAUCCCAUAUUGCAGAAGGUGCUAAUUCUCAUUAUGAAAACUGAGUCUUGUCAAUUUUAAUUUCAAUUUCUAUUUCUUUUGGUGUCUGUUGCUUUUGUGCACCUUGGUCACUUUGUGGUGGGUUUUGGUGGGGGCACAACAGUCACUUCUUGUAUGUUAAUAAUCAUCACCUGAGCUUAUAGUGUUAGAUUGUUAGUGCACCUUUCUGACUUUCAGAAUAUUCUCAGAAAAUAUGUCAAAAUAUUAUUACCUGAAAGCAAUUCUCUCGUUAUAUUUGUAUUGCUACACCCUGCACAUGCUUUAGUCUCUGCUUUAAAGAUGCUAUUCAAGGAUUCUGAUAAACUGAUUUAUUUUGCAAAAUAUUAACUGCCUUCUGCUUAAUAGACUGACUACUCUAUAGUCUAUCCAAAAGAAAAAGAAAAAGAAAAGAGGGGAUGAAAUAUCAGCAGAUGUGUGCACAAACAAGGAGGCAGAAGCUUAAUUUUUUAGAUUCUACUUAUUGGAGAAUCGGCAAGUUCCCUUACAAUUCCUGAAGGUGAUUUGGUGCAGUAACCUUUUUUCCCGUCAAAAAUUUACUAUAGCAAGCCGUACCAAGUGACUAUGAUAAUUGCACAUUAGACUUGCUGUCUAACUGUGUGCUUUACUUUGUUUUUUUGGGUGGGAAUUCGGUUGGUUGCUUCUGUACUCAUUGUUAAUUGAUUGCUGCUAUAUUUUUUUGUUUGUAUAAGAAAAGAAAUGAGCAAGGAAACUCAUCUGAAUAUGUGAACCCCAACCCUGGGAAAUUGAGGGAGAUAACCAGGAAGAAAGCAAAAAAGUGAGAGAAUAAAAAUGAAGAGAUAGAAAAGAUACUCAUGUAUGCCCGUCGAGCAUGUCUUCUCGAGUUCAUAACUUGCACACUGGUGUCAAAAUAAUUGUUUCCUCUAGCUCUCUUUCAUACAGCUACCUAAUGCUCUUUUUCCUUUUUCAGGAUUCUGCUUCUGAAAAGCCCUCGGAAGAAGUACCAUCAUUUUCUGCCUCCUCUAACCCUCUUCAGUCAUCCACUUCUGGAAGCAAAUCACCAUUUUCUAUUGCUGAGGGUCAGCGACGCAUAUCGCUCUAUUUUGCACUGUGUACUAAGGUUCCUUACACUUAGUUUGACUAUUCUUUCUUGUUAUUGAACACUAAUUUCCUUUUUAAUUAGACUUUGUUCGUACAUCUAUAACCUAAUAAAUACGUGUCUAUGUUGCUGAGCAGAAGCACUCACUCUUUGGUCAAAUAUUUGUUGUAUAUAGUGGUGCAUCCGAGGCUGUACAGCAGGUUUGCUUUAAAACCUGGACUUUCUGUUAGGAUUGUGUUCAGCUUCAUUCGUUAGUCCUUACACUGUUUCACCUUAAUUUUAUUUUUAACAUACUGAGAGCUGGUAAGUGUUAUGCAGGCAAUACAUCAACAGAUCCACAUGCUAGUUCGGACAAUUGGUUCUUCAUCUGAGUUACUUGAUAUAAUAUCAGAUCCGCAUAAUGGAAGUGAAAAACUAUUGAUACAGGUAUUGAUCCACUUUAUUGUUCAAUUAAUGCUAGCUUGGAAACAAAAAUACUCUCUUAACAUACUUAAUUUUGGUCAUGACUCAAGGUUUUGCAAACGUUGACUGAGGGGAUAGUUCCUUCCUUACAGUUGAUAACUACCAUCAGGAAGCUAUAUGAGACUAAAGUAAAGGUAUCAAAUAUGAUCAUUUUGUUAUUGAUAAUGACUUCUAUUGUUGGACAGCUAAAUGAGUUAUCUAUAACAAACCCUUGAACUUGAUCUCCUCCAAGCUUUUCUUAAAAUCAUGGAGUUGAGUCAACAUGCCCUUCACCUUGCGUUCAAGGGUGAACCUGUGCUCCUUGUGGCCCUCUUCAACGUUCAUGUUCCUUUAAUAUUAUAUAAAAGUUGUAGGAUGGUAUGUUGAGUGGUGUCAAUGCUGCUUCUUGGUAAAUCUGUACUAGUAAAAUUUCCAAGUUUAGUAUUAGCAGUUCACCGUGUAUCUUAAGGGCUGUUUGGUUGGAGGGACUAAUAUUAACAGCAUUUCUCAUGUACCUUAGAAGAUUUCUAUUUCUGUCCAAAAGGGUUAGGUUAUGAUAUGGUUGAUUAUUUUGAUUUGCUUUCGUGCUUCACAGGAUGUUCAGCUCCUUAUUAUGAUACUUCCUUUCCUGUCAAAAGAUGAGGUACUCAUCUUUUCUUCUCUAUUGCCUAUUUUGUAUAAUUUUCUUCUCUUGUUACUUGCAUCCUCCAUGCAUUCGCUGCUAUGUCACUUCUCCCUUUUGCUUAGUUUUUGCUCAAGGAGGUGAUUAUACAUGCACAGACUGGGAAGUAAUGACUGUAAUAAGUAAAAUAAUUCAAGUGGUUUGUGCACAGGGACCACCAAAGGUUGUGAUGGGGUGGUAAGUUCCCCUCCAUCCUUAAUCAAAGUGGUCUCUGCACAAGAGUAGUUAUUUCAAUAGGGAUGUUCUGUGUUUGUUGAAGUGCAAAGAAGCUCCUUGAAAAAACUAUGGGAGUGUUAGAACUUAGAAUGUUCUUCUUUGCUUCAGCUUCUUUUUGUUUUCCAUUUGUCUUGGCUUUAUUUUCUUGGCUCUAUGUCAUUCUCUACUUCUUGUUGUUAUGCCUUACUUGGGCUGAGGGCUAUCCGAAACCAUCUCUCAACCUUCAUAGAUAGGGCCCAGACCCUGCUUGUGGGAUUACACUGUUUAUGUAUGUCAUUCACGUGUUUCUAUUUUUUUGUUUCACUUUCAUCUUUCUUUGUGUUAAGUUUCUUGCAUCCCUUCUUCCUCAGGUUUUGCUUCUUUUUCCACAUGUUGUGAAUGCUCCAUUGGAUAAAUUCCAAGGCGCUCUCCUUCGUACUCUACAGGUAUUUUACAUGCUUCUAUGGACAAUGUUUCUUUCAGGGCUGUUAUUUUGUGGUCUUUAUACUUCCCAUCUUUUAGUGUGUCAGUUUCUUCCUUCGAGGGAAAGGAGGCAAUAUAUCUGCAUUAUUCUUCUCUGUUAAAAAUAUGAAUCUCUAUUCUUUGUAAAAGAGUUAGAAACAAAAACUGAAGUUCCGAAGCAACUUCAUUUGAUCCUUUGACCUGGGUUUGAAAAUGUUUGUUACACAGGGAUCAUCUCACUCAGGUCCAGUGCUAACUCCUACUGAAGCAUUAAUUGCUAUCCAUAGGAUAGAUCCUGAAAGAGAAGGCAUUCCUCUAAAGAGGGUAGACUUUCUUUACCAUCUUUGAUUCCGUACUCUUCCAAAUUUUGUUGAACUUUUGCCGCUUGGAGGUAAUAUUGACUUUUGCAGGUUACAGAUGCAUGCAAUGCUUGUUUUGAGCAGAGAGAGAUAUUCACGCAACAAGUUCUUGCAAAGGUCUUGAACCAAUUGGUAUAGCUCCUUCCAUACUCGUUACUAAUUCAUGUCCAGCUUCAGCCCUUCUUUAAAUCUGAAAUCCAGAUUAACCUGAAAGAAAAAAUAUUUAAUUUUUCUGGGGACAGGUUGAACAGAUUCCUCUUCCUUUGUUGUUCAUGCGGACAGUAUUACAAGCUAUUGGUGCUUUUCCAUCUCUGGUAAGAUAGAUGUUUCACUCAUAUUAUCUUUCAUUACAGUGAUAAGUGCAUGCAUACUGAGUCAAAUAAUGAUUAGCUGCAUCAAGUGAUUAAACCAGCUUUUGAACCUCGUUAUAGCCCCUAAACCAGAACAAUCCUCAUUAUAGGCCUGUGUCUCCUUAUGUACCAAUUUUCUUAUCUCGCUUUUACAUCUUUCAGGCUAGUAAUAUUUCUUUCUGCUAGCACUAGAGCAUCAUAAAGUCUUUUGCGCAUAAGUUGGACAUGGAGAUUGAACAAAUGCAGCCUCCUUCCUGAUAAUCUCUUUCUUCCUUAUGUUUCAUUACUUGUAUGUGUCUGAGUUCCCUUAUUAUUGUUGUCCCAGGUGGAUUUCAUCAUGGAGAUCCUCUCUCGUCUUGUUAGCAAGCAGGUAUGUAUUAUCUGUACUUUGCUAGCUAUAUUAAUGCAUACUCAACUCUGACAUAUUUGUUGUCCAGAUAUGGAAAUAUCCAAAGCAGUGGGUAGGAUUUGUGAAGUGUGCCCUUUUGACCCGGCCACAAUCUUUUGGAGUGCUUCUUCAGGUAUGCCUUUGAUGUUAGAAGCUAACUAGGUUUAUCCUUCAGCUAUCCUACCAUCAUCCAAUUUACGUUACAAGUGUUGGAAUGAUUAGGAACUUAGAAAUUAUGUUCUGCUUCAUCUGUAAGUGCUGCAUGCUUCUGAAAAUAGUAAUAAUCAUAAUAUAAUGAGAUGAGUGCUGCAUGCUUCUGAAAAUAGUAAUAAUCAUAAUAUAAUGACACUCACCAGGUUUAAUUAUUCAAAUGCUCGUACCUACCUGCUAUAAACAAAAAAACAUGUUGUUCCACAAUAAACAGACGUGUUGCACCCAAAGGAUAGCGACUGUGGGUUUCCCUUGUCAUAAAAAAAAAGAAGAAGGAUAUCCACUAGUGCAUUUGUUUGUUUAUUCUGGCAUAACGAAUAUGGGUGCGUAAUUUAAACGCACUCUUUUAUCAUCAUACUCAAUCAGACAGUUUCAAGUAAAAUUGAGUCAGCAAAUACCGAGCCCUCAAAAAUUAAGGUCUAAAUAGAUGCUGUAUGUUAGAACUGACUCUAUUCUAGACAUGUAUGCAGGCUAGCCACUAAUUGCUCAGGUAGUUUUGAGACAGUUUUAAGUUUUAACAAUACAUAUAUGAAGGUUGCAACUACUGAGAUUCUGUUCUAACACAAACUUUUAGCAGAUGUAUUAUGUUCUGAAAUGCAACUUGGUGCCUUUUCAGUUGUUUUCACUUCCAACCUUUCUAACUUCAGUACUCUUCAUAAAUAUUGUUUUCUUAGAUGCUCCAGCACUUAAGAAUUUGUAAAUUUUUAAUAUAAAAUUGCGGCAAGCUAGUAACCAUGUUGCUGAUUUGUCUUUGUAAUUCCAUAUGAAAUGGGUCGUUCCUCAUCGUUUCUGUUGGUUGAAGAAAACAUGGGCAAACGUUGCUCUGACUUGUCAGGUGGUUGUAGAGUGGGUGGUGGAUGGGCUCAAGGUCGAUUUGGUUUUCAGCAUUAAUUUGUUGAAAUUUGUUUGUUUUGCUUUGAAUUGAGUCAUCACUUUUUGCUAUUGCUGCUGUUCUGAGUAUGUAUUAAUAUUCUAGGUUCUUUGUUAGAUGAAGUAGGAUCAGUUUAGAUUUGUUGAGUAUAGUCAACAGUAUGUAGCUCCAUGAUGUAAGUUUGGGAUCCAGCCUUUAGUGCUGAAGAUUCAUACACACACACAACUGUUACAUUUCUCAAAAAAAAGUUGUUUUGCUUACUAGGCUGGUAGGACCAUAAAGAAGUCAAAACUUAACCUUUUUUUUACCUUCAUGACCUUGAUGUGUCUUUCAGCUACCUCCAGCUCAGCUUGAAAAUGCAUUGGGUAGAACACCUGCUCUUAGAGCUCCUUUAGUUGCACAUGCAAGCCAAGCACACAUAAAAUCUUCACUUCCAAGGUAAGUCUCACAUGUAUAUGUUAAGAGGAUUAGUACUCAUCUCUAUUGAUGAUAUAUAUUUUUGUUUUGUUUUAGGUCUGUCUUAAUGGUUCUUGGAAUUGAAUCGGAUGCUCAAGUUUCAAGUCAGGCACCUCCCAACCAGUCUCAGACAGGUGAUAUUGACAAUUCUGAUAAAGAAGAAGGCACUGAAAAAUCCAAGGACUCGUCAGUUGUCAGUUGAUUUGAUGUGUGAGGUAUGGGCUUCUCAGGGAUGGUACUUAUCAUUUCCUACCCUUUGUGCUCCUAUUUGCUUUGAUACGCCCACUGAAGAUCAUCUCUUAUCUGAUUUGAUGUGCAGCUUGGUGCUUCACUUGUAGAUUGCUGGCGUACAGUUUGUAUUGCAUCCUGAACUCUAGGGAGUCUUGUUCCCCACUCUAGACAAAGCUCUCGAUUCUAUUCCUUCAAGUAUCUGGCAGGCUGAUGCUAGAGCAGGGUCCUUAAUGGGAAUCAGUUUUGUGGUUCUUUUCUGGCCUUGGAAUGAGGUUAUCAGAAUACCUCUGCCUUGCUGUGGAUGCUCGGCUGUGUUGCAAUUGCUUUUUCAUGUAGAGGGCAGUCUUGGACUCUCCCAACCGCAGGUAUUGUUGUCGGUAAUGAGUAAUAGUUGUAUUUAAGGAGUAUCCUGAUCUCUUCCAGAGGGUGCUCAGCUCGACCUUUUGUAUUAUAGCUUAUUUAGGAACUAGGAAGUCACAGGGUGUCUUGAUAACCAAAUAAGUAGGUGCUUGCUAUGUUGUAUGUUGCCUGUAUUCUUCAAUAGUCAAAGCAUUUCAGCAAAUUUUAGGAAUUUGAGUGACCGCCUAAAGAAGUUGUUUGUGCGAGAUUUUGACGUAAAAUGCAUAUUUAGCUGAAUGGAACCUUUCAAUAUUUUUGUUACAUUGCAACUUUCUGGAAGAUUUAGUUUCUAUUCUAAAUUUGACAUUAUAUUCAUUGUUUUCUGUAAGCAUUCGAUUAGUUAAUGAUUCAUUCAUCAUUCAACUAGUUUACAUUACUCUUACUGUAGAUCGAAUAAAACACUCGGGUUCCUUUUUACUCUAUUCAUCAGUUCUCGAUUCCCUUAUUAUUAACUUUCUCCUCUACCUCUUUUAAUUUGUACUCUUUCCGUUUUAAUUUAUGCGACAUUUUUUCAAUUUCGAGAUUCAAAUAAACGUAAAUUUUUCAUAUAUCAUUUAGUUAUUUUGAAUUGCGAAUUAUUGUGACAUAUGUUAUAAAUAUAUUAAAAAAUAAUUAAUAAUGAAAGAUUUCAUGCUAAAAAAAUGAAAAGUGACACAAAUUGGGGCUAUUAUUUAUUACAUCAAACCUUAAAUCAAAGAUUUAGUGAAUAAUUGAAUUAAUUUUGUUGCUAAAUCCCUUUUCAAAAAGGAAAAAAACUAAUAUUCUUAAUAAACAAAUUUCAGGCUAAACAAUAAUCUCACACUGUUUUAUAAAAUUUUCAUAUUUUCUCCAUGCAUAUUUUUACACGACAAUAAAGAAUAACAUAUUCAAUAAUAAUCCCAACAAAGUGAGGUUGGAGGAGGAUAGAGUGUACAUUGACAAAUCAUCAUAAACACUUUCAUAACAAGAUAAAACGAUAAUCGAAAUGUAAACACUGUCAUAGCAAGAUAAAACGAUAAUUAAAAUGUAAAAGAAGGCACAUAUAAUAACCAAACUCGAAGGACACAUAACUACAAGACUAAUACUAAAACUAAUAGUGUAGAAGAAUAAGACACGACAUUCAACUAUCUAUUUAAUGGUUUACUCACUUUACUCUUAUCUAAAGUCAUGUAAGCUAAAAUUGAGUUAUAUCUUGUCUAAUCACCUCUCAACAAUAUUACCUCCCCUAAAACAUUCCACAGUCAAUCUCUCAUAUCUUCAAAUGUGGUAUUUGUGUAUCUUUUCUGCACAUGUUUGAACCAUCUCAAUCUGAUUUGUGCAUUUUAUGCUCUGUCAAGACCAUUCUUAUCUUGUCUCAGAUAUCUUCAUUCUUAAUCUUAUCUCUUCUAAUACGUAUCACAUAUCCAUAUCAAAUAUCCUCAUCUUUUCAAUUUUCAUUUUUCUGAACGUGAAAGUUCUUGAUUGGCAAGAACUCUGCUCUAUACAACAUAAUCGAUUUAACCACAACUUUAUUAAUUUUCUCUUUAAGAGUUUGAGAAUACCUUCUAAUCGCAUGAAAACUUUGAAUACGAGCCUCCAUUUCAUAUAACUUUGACACUAAAAAUUAAAAGGUUUAUAAGUUAAAUAAAAGAAAAAAUGUAUCUAUUAAAGAGUUAUUACCAAAGAAUUAUAUUCCAAAGAAAAGUUGUAUUUUUCCAAUUACCCAAACAAAAAUGUGUCCUAUUUGUGAAUUUUACCGGUGAUCGGUUGGCCCAAUACUAGAAACUCCCAACUGGAUUAAUUUCCCGUUACUCAUCCAGAGUGAAAGCGAAAGCUCCGUCCGGUGCCUCGUCGGAGAGAGAGAGAGAUAAAGUAAGAGAAAAUCUUGAAAUUGUUGUCGGAGGAAGGAAGAAGAGAAGUAUGGGUGUGGACUAUUACAAGGUUCUUCAGGUGGACCGAAAUGCCAAAGAUGAUGACCUCAAAAAAGCCUAUCGAAAACUCGCUAUGAAAUGGCAUCCUGAUAAGAACCCUAACAACAAGAAAGAAGCUGAAGCCAAAUUCAAACAAAUCUCUGAAGCCUACGAUGUAAUUACACUUCUCAAACUUCACGGUUUUGAUUUAUUUUUUCCGAUUAUCAAUUUGUUGUUAAUUCUCAGAAGAAAAAAACAUAAAUUUGCAUAACCGAUUAUUCUAAUUUUCAAGUUCUGAUCAAUUUCCGUAACGUGAUGUUAAUUUUGAACAUAGAUCUCUGAGUUUUGAGAUGUAAGAGGACACCUUAAUUUUCACGGGGUUCGAUUUAUUUUCAUUUUCCACAAGUUUUAUAGUUAAUUCUGAAAUUUUUUGAGUGUUUAUUGCAGGUUUUGAGUGAUCCACAGAAGAGAGUAGUGUAUGAUCAAUACGGAGAAGAGGGGUUGAAAGGGCAGGUGCCACCUCCAGGUGCCGGUGGAUUUUCUGGCCCUUCAGAUGGGGGUGGUCAUGGGUCGUUUCGAUUCAACCCCCGUAGUGCUGAUGAUAUAUUCUCCGAAUUCUUUGGGUUUUCCACCCCGUAUGGUGGGAUGGGAGAUAUGGGUGGACGGGCUGGUGGUCCAAGUUUCAGUAGAGGUAUGUUUGGGGAAGAUAUUUUCACUUCAUUCAGGAAUGCUGCUGGCGAAGGUGCAUCAGGUAAUGCUCCACGAAAGGCCGCUCCUAUAGAGCGGGCACUUCCUUGUAGUUUGGAGGAUCUAUACAAGGGAACCACCAAGAAGAUGAAGAUAUCCAGAGAAGUUACUGAUGCUACUGGGUGAGUUCUCAGAGUAUGCCCUCAGUGAUAAAAAUCUCACAUUUUCCCCAUUUUUUCUUGAAUAAAAAGUUUUAAGUUGGUCUUUGUCAGGAGUUAGACUAGUUGUUUGUGAAGGGAUAAAAUGUGACUUAGAGAAACUCUAUGAAGGAAAAAUAUUGCGCAUUGGGAUAAAAUAACCUGAAUAGAGUAGAUUAUAAAGGAUUUAGGCAUAUCUUCUGGAUAUGCUCAUGAUUGAGGUAUAUCUUUUGGAGAUGGUCACAUUAAUGGUUGUUGAUUUUUAAGUUAAAAUUUGUAAUAGAAUCAUUUAUGUGCAGACUUAACUUGAAAAGAAAGAUUUAUACAGUACAAUCCUAACUAAUCUGAUUGAGGCAUAGUUGAUUGAUUCAUAUAGAUGUCAAAUUUAUAUGUGGUGGCAAUAGCUUCGUAUUUAUCAUUUUUGUUUUUACAAUUGGAUGAUCUGAGUGAAUGCUAUUUAAUGCAUAAGAGAGCUUUUGAAGGAGUAGAAUCGAGCUUCUCUCAGUUGAGAAGUAGUCUCCAGUCUAGGUUUCCUUAUUCUCUUUUGGUGUAAUCAGGAAGUCCCUUGUUGUAUAGAUUGGGUUGAGUUUGUAGAGAAUCAUAUUGUGUAGAUUCUUUACCUUUUGGUAUACCCCUUGUAUAUGGUCUCUUUUACCAUUUAAAAAAAAUUAAAAUUAAAAAAUCAUUCUUUUUAUUUGCGUUUUUUAAAUUAAAGCCCAUGUUCUAGUUGCUCUUAAAAUCAAGUACCGUAGAAUUUUUUUACGCUGCUUUUAAUAUCAUUACAUGUUUCUAGAAGCUAAGUUGCUUGGACUUUUGAUACCGCACUUGUGUCAGCACGACAUGGGUGUGGAUCUUUAUUGAAUUUGGUGCAUCGAUUUUUGGGUGCUUUGACCAAAAUCAAUGGAGAAAUUUGGAAGAGAUAUAAUGAGAUUUUUUGGUAAUCAAAACAAAAGCUUGAGGUGAAAUUGAAGAAAAUAAAGUUCAUAUAUAUAGAAUGUCAGUCAUUUUCUUAUAUUACUCCCUCUAGUCCAUAUUGAGUGAAUUGUUGGGGUAUGCACACCCCAAAAGAAAAAUAUUUGUGGACAUAAAUUAAAGGCUACUUUCGACUAUUACCUUUUUAAUUAUUUCCAAACUAGUCAUCAAGAAAAUAUAAAGUAGCUAAGAACCCCAUUAAAUGAAGGGUAAAAUAUAAAAAGAAAUCUCAUCAAUGUUCUUGAACUUUGAAUAAUUUUCACUUAAUUUGAAUUAUGAAAAAACUUUUAACAAUUCACUUGAUAUGAACUAGAGGGACUACCACUUUCUGUAAGCUUUCCGCAUGAUGUCUUAUAAUUUAGACAUAUAACUGUAUUUUUAAAUGUUUGAAUUAUUUUUAGCUGUGUCUCCACUUCUUAUUUGUACCUGGAUCAGUAUCCCAAUCUUAAAAUUUGAUCCUGAAGGAUCCAACCUCUAGAUCUGCACCCUUAGCAGACACCCGCACCCAACAACUUAGUGUGGAACUAGAAAUUCGUAUCAUACAAAGAUGAUGACCUUAGAUUUGUUAUCAAAUCCAUAUUAUAACCUGAACCAUGGUCAUAAUGUAUUCUUUAACCUCCUCCAAUGGAGUGAUUAUGAUCUAGAUUCUAGACUAUGCAAAAGACUCACAAGUUCUGAAAUAAGAUCAUUUUAGACUUUAAGUGUUGAAGCUCUAUCAAAAGAGUUUGUUGUUCUGCUUCUACAAAUUCAUCAUAUGCUCAUUUUCCUGUUCCGUUUUCUGCAUUAUUGAUGCUGAGAAAGGGCAAGUUCUCAUGUUGAUGCAUCAACCCUUUUUUCAGGCCUGACAAUAAGCUAUAAACUAGCAUAAAGGAAAAAAAAGAAACUCGUGAUCUAAAAAUUGGAAUGACUUUAUGAAAAAAAUACAUGAUCCUUUAGUGUUUGCAUUUCUCAGUAAAAUGGUCUACAGUAUCGUAAUUUGGUACUGCCAGUGGCAUUAAGUAACCUCACUGUGUGUUCCAGAAGGUGGAUGAGUUAAUCAAUCUGUCUCACCAAAAUGAGGAUGACACUGAUAACUAAUGUGAAGCACAUAUAUAAAACAUCAUUUUAGGGAAGGACACCUGUGAUUUGAGUAUUUAUUGGUUAAAAAAAAGAUUUGAGUAUUUAUUGGUGCCACUUAAUUUAGUUAUUACCUGCAAGCUGUGAGUAGAAGUUACUGUAUGAAUGACUUUAACUUUAUCAAAAAAAAGAAGUUACUGUAUGAAUGGUUGACAGCAUAAUGAUUAAACUUUCUGAGAUUGUAUUUUACCCUAGAAAUGUUACAGAGCAUGUGUCAAAUAGUUAACAAGUUAGUUGCUCAUAUUGAUUAUUUUAAUACAACUUUUUGUUUUGUGCUCCAUUUGCUUGUUGCCCCUCCCGGCUCAUGUUUGGUAAGAUCAGUGUCUCAAAAAUUGUAAGGUAUUUACCUCUUUACCCUCUUUCUUUUGAUAAGUACCUCUUCCCUUUUCUUUUCGUAAGCAAUAAGGUCCUGGCUUGUUCUGAAUGUUAAGAAAUAUACAUUACAUUUUGAAAGAUGAUGGUAAAUCAAGACAGGAAAGUGUGGGUCCUCCUGUGAUGUCUGUUUGACACAAAAACACUUACAUAUUUAUGGUGCUAUUUCUCAUUUUGUUUCAAGCCUUGUUUGGUUUCAAGAGUCCUUGUUUUUCAUCCUUUGUUUCUAUUUUGGAAGGCAUCCGUGGAUAUUUUUCCCAUAUUCACAGGGAAAGCACAACAUGUUCACCUAUUUCAUUUAUUAUUAUAUAGAAUUUCAAGGGUUCAUAGAAGAAAAAAAUAAAAGAAGAGAGGAAAAGUAUAAUAAUGAGGGAAAGAAGUCUGAUGUUAGUUCUUACAGACACUUUCAUCUUAUUAUUAUUAUUUUUGAAUGCUUUUUGUAUUCUUUUAUUUGGAUGGUUGAAAGUUUUAAGUGACUGCUUGGUGUGAAUUUUACUAUCAGGGUGAUUCCGUAGUCCCUUUAUUACGUAACCAUUUUGUCUUUGGCUUUUCUCCUAGAAGGGAAUUAUUAGUUGUAGGGAAUUGGGAAGUUCUUAAAUGGAAUUUAAUUUCGGAAGAAAAUAUAAACUCAUCACUUUUCUUUGGAUUGGAAAAUCUUACGUGUGUAUAUAUUAUGAUUUUCUUUGAUUAUGUAAAGAGGAUACAUAUAGAUUGUCUCUUAAAGUGGAGCUUAAUGUUAAGUUGCUAAUUUUGCUGGGAUUUGAAGUUAGCACAUUUUUGGGUAUGCAGAUGACUACUUCAGUGAAAUGAUACCAGUGAUUCGUUCAAACUCUGAAGCAAACAAAACCUGGUACUUGGGUGGGUAGGAGGAUAUAGAAGCAGCCUCAUUAUCGCCGAGUUUCGAACUGUGUGCCACAGGCAUUUCUCCUAUAUGUGUUUUUAUGAGUGUGUCGAUUCAUGUCAAUUUUCUUUUGUUUCUCUCUCUUUUUCAACCCAAUCACUGUGAAGUUUUUGUUUCUCAAAUUGCGAAGUGCUUUCUGCUACUUUUGGAAGAAGCAACAGGUCCUUGGAUUCCUGCUGGUGAAGCACUUGAUGUUUUAGAAUGUUGUGUUGUAUUUUUUCAAUUUCCUUUAAUAAUAUUUCCGAUUGUUUACUAGUAGAAGUUUCUAAUCCCGUUCACAAUGUUGUUACUACAGGAGACCCAGUACAACAGAGGAAAUUCUAACGAUUGAUAUCAAACCAGGAUGGAAGAAGGGGACUAAAAUAACAUUUCCAGAGAAAGGAAACGAGCAACGAGGCAUAAUUCCAUCAGACCUUGUCUUUAUAAUUGAUGAGAAGCCGCAUAGCGUCUUCAAGAGAGAUGGAAAUGACCUCGUUGUCACCCAGAAAAUCCCCUUGGUAGAGGCUCUUACUGGAUACACUGCCCAAAUAACAACCCUUGAUGGCCGGAAUCUAACUGUACCAAUUAAUUCCAUCAUUAGUCCAAAUUAUGAAGAAGUUAUCAAAGGAGAAGGUAUGCCCAUUCCGAAGGAACCUAGCAGAAAAGGCAACUUGAGAGUAAAGUUUAACAUCAAGUUCCCCAGCAAGCUUACUUCUGAGCAGAAAGCUGGCAUAAAGCGGUACUUGACAUGAUGAGUGGACAUUAGCUCCUAUAGUUUUCCAUCAAAUGCUACAUAAGCUUCACCCCGUCUCGUCUUCAUCAUGCAAAGAAAUCUGCACUUCGUUUAUUUAUUUAUUUCUUCUGCAACAUUUAAGUCUGUUAUUUCAACAUCACUUGCCUUCUAAACCGAGCAUCCCGUGGAAUCUCUAUUUCCAUUGUUUUGUGUGGCAAUAGAGUACAAUUGGAUCCACCUCUCUCCUCUUGUGUCAAUACUAGAUGUGGGUGUGCCCGUGCGGGCUUACGAGUGUAGGCCCUAUGGCAUACCUCUCUUUUUCCUGCUAUAUUAUACACUGAUUAUUGAAGCAUAAGCCAGUUGGUAACUGGUGUUUACUAAGCUUGACAGAUUAUACUUGUUUGGUUUUGAUAUCAGAAAAUAUCUAGGAACCACCACAUCUAAACAUCAUAUUCAAUUUGAAAAUUGUCUCAGUAUUCCUUAGGUUUCACCAGUUUUGUGCUUCAGAAAAAGGUUAGCUGUUUUCUCUUGUCCAUAUAAACAACCAGAACUGGAAAUGGUUGAGUAUUGUGGUGUUUGUCUCAUUGAUACAACAAACUGUUGAAGUUGUUUCCUAUAUUGGUAAUUUCUUUUUAUUUUAUUGCUCAUGUAUCUUCAAUUUAUAUAAUAUAGAAAACAACCAUAAACUAGGCAAAAAUUAUUAGUUUCAUCAUCAUACUAUAGAGUAUAUAGGCAACUUUGAAAACAUUCAUUUACUUGACUAACUAAAUUUAAGUACAUCUUCAAUUUUGUAACGCGAGUGAAAUACACUCCUAAAUUCUUGUUAAGUUUAGUGUUUUCAAUAUUUAUCUCGACUUUUUAUUUAGACGCUCCUACAAGAGUUUAAGACAACUUGCUAUGUCAUGCGACAGAUCGAAGGUUAUUACAACAAAAAUAACUUUUAGCGGGAAUGAACAUACACAUUAAAAAAGAGGGUUUAAUCCUUUAUCAGUAUUAGCUACUUGUCAUUGAAUUCAAUGUUGUUAAGGACUUUAAGGGACAUUUACAAAAUUUGCUAAUUGCUGUUGAAAUAUAUUUUUAAUGACAAUUAAGUUAUUAGCAUCAAUUAAUUGCGGUUGUUAGUACAUUACUUAAAUAUACUUAUUUUUUUCACCAAUAAAUUAACCUAACACCUGUAUUCUUAAAAUAUAAUAAAUAAUUUAUUUUCUGAAAAAUAAAUGUUUUCAAUCUUUUAGAAGUUUUGACUUUUGACCAAACAAGCAAGAUUUUUUUACUUUAUAGAAGAAAAAAAAUCAAAUUAUAAGAAUCUAUCUAGUAUUAUAAUUAAAAAAAGUCCUACUCCCACAAUUAUAAGCUAUCUCAUUUGCCUUUUUAUUUUUCAAAAAUUAUUAUAUCAGUUGCCAGUAAUUUUUCCUGUUAGAUCUCAGAAUAAAUUGUUGUUGAGGUACAAAAAUGGCCUCAAUUUCUUCAAGUCCUCGAAGUGUAGAAGAGAUCUUCAAAGAUUACAGUGCUCGUCGUGUUGGGAUACUUCGUGCUUUAACUGAUGGUACUUCAUUUUCAUGCAUACUUUUUAAUGUUAUAAGUUUUUUUCAAUUUGGUUACUAAUUGUGUUGUGUUUUCUCAGAUGUGGAUGAAUUUUAUAAUCUCUGUGAUCCAGGUAAUUUUAGUUUAAUUUACUUUCUGGGUUUUUGUAGAUCGUGGAUUCUUGCUUUUAUUUGCAUUCAAAAAGGUCCUCAUUUUUUAAAAAAUUAUAUUUUUAGCUUUGAAGGUGAAAAAUUGAUAUGCUAUUUGAUGCUAAAUCAAUGAGCUUGCUUGAAUUCACAAAGUACAAAGUGAAUUUUUGAAAUAUUUCAGAUUUUUUUUUCUAAGAAUUUGGUUGAAUUUGCUUGAUUGACCAGACACUUGAAAAAUAAUUGGUUCUCUUGGAAAAAUCAUAUUUUUUCUAAUAUUCUAUAAAGUUUCUUAGCAAAAACGAAGAAAAUAUAUUUUUUCAACUUGCUGUGAUAUUUUAGUUUUCAAGAAAGUUUUACUAGACCUGUUGUGACUUGUCUUGAUAUUAGCCUUUUCUUCCUGUUAAAAUGUGUCACUACUUGGGUUUAGAGAAGGAAAAUUUGUGUCUUUAUGGACAUCCAAAUGAAACUUGGGAAGUCAACCUUCCUGCGGAGGAAGUUCCACCUGAGCUGCCAGAGCCAGCACUUGGGAUAAAUUUUGCUAGGGAUGGAAUGAAUCGUAGAGAUUGGCUUUCCCUGGUUGCUGUUCACAGUGAUUGUUGGUUGCUUUCUGUGGCUUUCUAUUUUGGAGCUCGUCUUAAUCGAAAUGAAAGGUAAUCUUUUGUUUGUUAUUUAGUAAGAUAAAUCAACAUAUAUAGUAUUGGAUUUACUUUAAGAAAAUGUGGGAUGUCUCUCCAAUGUUUUUCGUGUAGCUCAUCGAUAUUUUCAAAAUAUCGAUAGAGUCUAUGCUGAGUAUUUUUUUUACUAUGGCCAUCUCUGUCCCUUCGUGUAUGUAGUUCCGAACUUCCUGCUUGAUUUUGAUGUCUCAUAGAAAAAGGGGAUAACUUUUUCUUUGUUGUGAAGUUGUUAAGUGGCUAUGUUUGAACAUUCUAGAUGUUGAACAACACAAUUUCAAUGUCCUGAAUAGCCAUUGUAAGUGUUGUGUAAUUAAUUAUCUUGAAUUUGUUCUACUUCCCCUUACAACAAAGUUGGUCUAUCCAUCACUCUAGUGAACUUACCCUUAAUCCUUGAGAACACUUCUUAUUGCACAUUACCUCGGUGGCAAGCCUCCAUUUCACCCACCCCGUUCCAAGAUGAUGUGCAACAUCAUCAUCAAUCUCCCCUUUUCUUUGAAUUAUUGGCCCAAAAAUACUUGAAACUUCCUCUCUUGGGUAUGACUUUUGCAUCUAUCUUCACACCCUCCUCUGCUUGAUGAAUUAUGUUACUAAACUUGCACUCCAGAUACUCUGCUUUAGUCCUGCUUAACCUAAAACCCUUAGACUCUUGGGCCUAUUUCCAAAUAUCCAGCCUAUCAUGAACUGCACCACACGUCUUGUCAAUCAAUACUAUGGCAUUUGUGAAUAACAUACACCACGACACAUCUCCAUGAAUAUGUCGUGUCCAUUCGUCCAUCUCUAAGGCAAAUAGGAGCGGGAGAAGGGCUUCCCUGUGGUGCAAUCCCGUCAUGAUCAGGAAGUGUUGUCAGUCACCUCUCACUAUUCUAACUUGUAUCUUGGCAGCAUUGUACAUGCCCUUAAUUGCCCUAAUAUAAGUCACAGGUACACCUUUAAACUCCAAACAUCUCUAAAGGAACUCCCCAGGGACUAUAUCAUUUAUCUUUUCCAUGUCAAUAAGCAUGUCUAAGUCUCUCUUUCUAUCCCUAUAUUGCUCCAACAAUCUCUGUACAAGAUAACUGACUUCUAUAGUUGAUCACCCCAGCAUGAAUCGGUGUGGGUUCUUGGAGAUAGACUCACCCCUCCUCCAAUGGCGUACACAAGAUUUUUUGCAAGCGGUGUCACCUUUUAAGUGUGUAUAUAUAUAUAUAUAUCACAGCUCACAUAUACUAUUAUGUCUGUACCAAAAAGUAAUUAAAAAAAAUUUGAAACUUUUUCUGGAUAAAUUUUUGUUUUGAAAAUUAUCUCAUUAAAUAUAAUAGUGCUACAUAUUUAUUUUUAUCUAAAAUAUCAAAAAAAUAAAAAAUUUAUAGCUAAGAAAGAACAUAAAAAAAAGAAGAAGAAAAGCUACAUAUUUAUUUUUAUAUAAAAUAUCAAAAAAAAAAAAAAAGGGCAAAGGAAGAACAGAAAUAAAGAAAAACAAGAAAUAAGAAAAGCAAGGCUGUCCAGGUUCGAAUUCACGGCCAUCACAUAGCAAUUGACGCACGUAAGCAACUGAGCUGUAUGCCACUUUAUGUCAAAUUAAACACUGUAUACUAGACGUAUUUUCUCUUUUCUGUCUUAUAUAUAUAUGACAUAUUUUUGGACAAAUCCGUGUCCAGUGACACCCCUUGGGCCACCCCUGCCCUCAUCCUUAUCUCGACCACCCUCUCUCAGACUUACAUAUUAUGACUUAGUAGCUUGAUACCCAUGUAGUUGUUGCAAUUCUCUUAUUCUUGUACAAUGAAACCAUUGUACUCCCAUUCCAUUCUUUUGGCCUCUUAACCGUCUUAAUUAUGACAAUAAAUAACCAGUCAACCACUCCAAACUUGUUUUGCUGUUAUUCCAAAAAUCCACUGGGAUCGCGUCUGGCCUAAUCGCUUUUCCUCUCCUCAUCUUACAAAUAUCCCUGUCAACCUCUUUAGCCUUAUCCACCUACAUUACUAGAAUCCCUAGGAUUGAAAUACCUUUUUUCGUCUCUAUCUAAUGUUGUCCUCUUCUCUUAACACUUUGCCAUAAUCAUCCUUGAUGCACUUUUGGUCCAAACUACGAUUCUUCCUAUCCUCACCUUUGCGAGCCUAUACUUCUUUCUACUCCCACAUUUGCUCUCGAGCUCUUCAUACAAGUGCUCAAAAGAUGUUGUUUUAGCCGUUGUGAUGGCUAGUUUCACUUCCUUCUUCGCCGUCUUAUACCUCUCCCUAUUCUUCCUUAUCUAAGCUUUCCACUAAUAUCGUAUAAGCAACCUUCUCGGCUUUCACAUUUCCUUGCACCUCUCUAUUCCACCAACAAUCCCUUUAUGCCCGCCUUAGCUACCCCUUAACCCUUAAUAUCUAGUCUAAUUGCUUCCCUGAGCCAUCCUGGUCCGCAUACUAUUUGCAGCCCCGCUACUCCCCCAAGCCCCUAUAGCCACCAACUUUUUUCUGAUCUCCUAGGCUUUCACCUUUGUCAGCCUCCCUAUUUAAUCCUUGUCUGGUUAUAUAUAGCCCUUUUCUUCUUCUUCUUCCACUUGAUAUCUAAAUCCAUUACCACUAGCUUAUGUUGGGUUGUAAGAUUCUCGUUCUGGAUAACCUUGUAGUCCUUGGAUAAACCUCUAUCACACAUCCUACGAGCAAGUAAUUUAUCUAUCUUGACUACUGAACUACGAUAUGUCACCAACUCAAAAGGUUUUGCGAAUUCUAAAAGUAAAACUCCUCCUUCAUUUCUGUCCCAAAGCCGAGACUGCCAUGCACAUUGUCAUAUCCUCUUAAAGUGAUCCCUAUGUGACCUUUAAAAUCUUCUCCUAAUAGUAGUUUCAGUCUACGGGAUACCUCUCACAACCUCGUCCGACUCCUCCCAGAAGUGUAUUUUGACCUCCUUGUUCAACCGCCUGAGGAACUUAUGCACUAAUAAUGUAAAUUUAUCCUUCCCAAAGCUAUCUUAAUAACCAUCAUCUUAUUAGUCACCCUCCUAACCUUUACCACUUGUUCCCUGAGUUUCCUAUCUACUAAGAUGCCUACGCUAUUGCUAAUGCUCGAGCUUCCUAAGUACCACAACUUAAAUCCGUCUACAUCCCUAUCCUUGGUUCCUGCCCAUAUGAUUUCCUGGACAAGCUACAAUGAUCUUCCUUUCCUUAAGAAUCUUCACCAACUCUUAUGGUCUUCCUGUUGAUGUCCCUAUGUUCCAAGAUCCAACUCUCAACCUAGAAGCACCCUUUGGUACCCUUACCCACCCCUACCCCUCACAGUCAUCCUCAAUCAAGGAUAUGACCUUAAACUUCCUUCAAACCCCGACUACACUAACACAGGCUAUAACAAUACUCAAGUGAAAUAAUCAAGGGUUCCCCUAAAUUGACACUACAACAAUCGAAGGAGUCCAGAAAAAGGAAAACAGUGCAACUAACUGGCAGGAAACAAGAAUGAAAAAUAAUCAGGAGUUCACCAAAAUUGACACCAAAACAACCGCAGAGUCUAGAAUUAAAGGAAAAACAGUGCAACUAACAAGUAAAAAACAAAAAUAUACAUCAAUUAAGCAAUCUAAUUAAAACACAGUCUGUACAAAUUAAUUCAAUACACCUAACUUAAAAAAGGCUAACUGAGCAAAUUAAUUCAAUCAAAAUUUUAGAAUAAGCAAGCCAGGUUUCUCAGUGAUACCAGAUGCAAGAAAAAGUAUCAUAAGCAAUACGCAAAUAACAAAAAGAUGCAGACAAAAUGCGAGGCUAGGAAGGUGAUUAAUCCAAACUACUAUUUUUCUAAAAUUUAUGGCCAGAGGAAGUUCUAAUCAAUUUAUGUAAUCUCAGUAUGAUCCCAUGUGCUCCCCGAUAGUAACUGCUUGUUAUAGUCCCGAACCCUCCUGCCCGCAGUAUCCCAUAUAUACAGCUUGAUUGUCUUUUCAUCCUGCUCCGGUCCUCAUUUUGGAAUCAGCUCUGAUGGUGCUAAUGUAACUGUCGUCAUUGGCGAAUCUGAGAAGAAGACUGUAUUUGCUGGCAGAAGAAUUACCGAUUAACAACAAUUUGAACAAGUAAUGGCUGCAGCCAAAAAAAAUCAGUAAAAUUAAUGGAAAAAAAUCACAUGAAUGUUGCAAAAUCUCGAACUAUUCGUUGCUCAUGUUUGCUUCUUCUGUUUUUAGCUAUGGAGAAAAUAGGCUUUUCUUCUUCUGAGAAAUGAGGAUUUCCUGUUGGAUAGCUAUGCGUUUUGUUUCUUGAAACUGGUAACUUGUGUGUAUGUAUCUAUGUAAAUGAACAAAACAAUGUAUAUGUUGUACUGAAGCCAUAUUUUACAAAACAUGUCUCUAAGAAACUGAAGCUAUUCUGACCAUCUAAAUGGAAUCUAGCAUAUUGAGAAUUUCUACAGUUUCUCCUGGGUAGAACUGUACACCAAAAAGACAAGAGCAUAAUGCAGUUCAAUUUGAUCUUUUGCACAAAAUUGCUCAGAUCUUCAAAACAUUUGGUAUUUCUCUCUUUCUAGACUGUCCACCAAAUGUUAGCUGGGACAGUUAUCCAUCUUUCACUAUCAUUUUCCUAAACUCCUGCUUCCUCCCAACUAAGUAAUACAUCAGAUAUCUCCAAGUGAUGCCUCUAAGAUUAAUGAAGAUUCUCUACAGUUGUUCUGUUAACUUGCAAUGAAGAAAAAGAUGUUGUCUCUGCUGUUUCACCACAUAAAUAACAUUGUGGGAUAGAGAGAGAUACCUCUUUUCUUCAAAUUUUCCCAGGUAAGAGUUAAGACUAGCCUCUUUUGUUGAAAACAAACAAAGCAAGCUACGUGGUAUCUUUGUCUUCCAGUUGUGCUUCCGAGGCCAAUUCUCAACCUGUUGAUUGGUUUGAUUCAAUACUUCAUAGGCUGAACUCACAUUGUAUGAACCACUACUAUGCCCAUUCCACCAGAAUUUAUAGCCCCCUCCUGUAAACCACCAAUAUUUUCCGAAGUACCGUAAAAUUCAGUCGCCCUAUGUAACUCCCAGUCAUUGAGCAUCAUUCUGAAGAUAAGAUCCCAGCCUUGUUUUGUCCACAUUUCUGUCAGGUGUCUUUUCUGUUGUUGGUCACUAAGUUGAAAAUAUCAGGAGUAUUGAUCGUUAUGUAUUGUUAAGACUGUCAUUAGGUGGUGACAGUGCUUGGUUCAAGCAAAUAAAUGGUUGCUCUGUGUUAUCAGGUUGAAAUUCUGCAGCUUGCACUUCAUUCAAUCUUGAAAUGUGACAAAUUUUGUUAGUCCAAAAGAUGAGUUCUUCUUGAGUCUGUAUGGUUGAAGAUUAUUUCUGAUGGGGCAGAGGGGAUGCAUUCUGUUGGUUGUUUAUUUUUGUCAUGCUUGUCGAGUAUUGAAGUUAUAACAUAUUUUUUGAUUACAUGUAACUCCAUGUCUGUGUACCACCCUUUUAGAGUCAGUUACACGAGUUCUGGAGUCCAUCUUUGUAACUCUCCAUCUAUUAAGUACACAAAGAUGCUUCUUUUCUUUUUUGUUUCCUUAAUCUUCUGCGAGUCCAUAGAUCAUUCACCAACUUAACUUAGCUUUAUUAUAUUUGUCUUCAAGUGUUAGGUUUCAUUGAGAAACUAUUUCUGUUGUGCAUGUGUGGUGUGGUGUAUUGCCAGUUUUGAAUUUUGUUUGCUAAGACAUCCAUCUUACUCUUCAAUCGCUUGCCCCGGGAUUUCUGGAGGGUUGAUCAUUCUAUUUAAAGUUGUAUCUUGCUUCUUUGGAUGUUGGGACAUCUGAAGUGGAGGAACCUCUACAGUUAUGCAACUUAAACAUGCAAAGAAAUUCGGAAUAGUCUAUUCAUUUAUCUAGCCACCACAUUACCUUUAUUUACAUGUAGGAUAUAUGUUAUGUUUUCUGGUUUGAUAUUUCUUCUGGUUCCAGUUCCACUUUCUUUAAAGGACAGCCACUGGUGCUAAUAACUAGCCUUGAGACACUUCUCUCUUCCUAAUGAUAGAUUGCAUCUCUAGUAGUGAUGAAUGUGCAUUUGUGGAUUAAAAAAGGGGGGCAGCCAGGUGCAUGAAGUAUCUGGUGUUCACGCAAGGUCCGGGGAGGGGUCGCGCCCCAAGGAGGUGUGAUCUCUCCCUCUCUCUCUCUCUCUAUAUAUAUAUAUAUAUAUAUAUAGAGAGAGAGAGAGAGAGAGAGAGAGAAUGUUAAGGAUGGUAACACAUGUUUGCCAUGUCGCUCUCUUUCCUAGAGAUCUCAUAGUUUAUACUUCUCAUAGUAUUUGUGUGAUUCUUCUUUUCUUGGUCAUUGCAUUAGAUUCAAAAUUCAGCGGCAGCAUCUUUUUAGAUAUAAUCAUUUGGUAUCCGGAACACACUAGCCGCACUUAUCCAUAUUCUUACCACGUAGGGCCCAGAUGCCCAGUUAAGGAGGUACUGUUCCCUACUAGUGGCAGCUUUUAUUAAUUCUUAUUCACCUCUUCCACCACUCCACCAUCUUCCUUUGUGGUGGAUGUGUGGAGCUUGCAAGAGAUGAAAAGAACAACAAUUUAGUGUCACUCUACUUGCUAAUUGCUAUUUCUAGACAACUUUCUGAUUUGGUUCUUUAUAACUUUCGCCUGGGAAGUCUCUACUUUGUGGUGUAACUUUUCUGCGAGGAAGUUCUUGUUAGUCUGAGUUUCCAUACUUAUUGUACAGGAAGCGUCUAUUCAGCUUGAUCAACGAGGUGCCAACUGUCUUUGAAGUUGUGACUGAAAGAAAACCAAUAAAAGAUAAGCCCAGUGCAGACAGUGGAAGCAGAUCACGUGGUAGUAGCAUAAAGGUAUGAGAACAUGAAAGCUAUUAUGUUAUCUUCCCUUUAAUUUGUUGUUCCUUAGUUGGUACGUCCCCUUAGUAUUAGUGCGAAAUAUCAGUAACACCAUGAUACUUCUAUUUAGCUUCUCCUCAGUAUGUCAUGAUCUAUUAUUUAAUGUGCUUGCUAACUCUCUCCUUCAUUACUAAAGUCAAAAUUUCCCCAUUUUACGCAGAGAUCUAGUGAUGGUCAGGUGAAAAGCACCCCGAAGCUGGAAGAUGAAAGUUAUCUGGAGGAUGAAGAAGAACACGGUGAAACACUCUGUGGAAGCUGUGGUGGGAAUUACAGUGCUGAUGAAUUUUGGAUUGGCUGCGACAUCUGUGAGAAGUGGUACCAUGGCAAGUGUGUGAAGAUAACACCUGCUAAAGCUGAGAGUAUAAAGCAAUACAAAUGCCCGUCUUGUACCUUGAAGCGAAGCAGACAGUAGUCCUCUCAUGAAUCAGAGAAAGAGCAGCCAUAAUUCUAUUUCUGGCCAUUAACAGAAUAGUACAGCAAAUAUUACACCUGUAAUGGACAUGCUAUUGUAAUCUUUUCUUUACCUAUAUAUGCUCAAAAAGAAGAUGAAGUUUCUCUUAUUUCCUUCAUCCAUCUUCAGUAUUUAACACAAUCCCAAUACCUAUAUAGAAAGUCUGUUAAUUUACUCUACUUCCUUGAUCAUGUUAAAUUGUUCACAGUUAUUUGUCAAUGAAAUACAUAGUUAUGUUGAUAUACAGGUACAACUUCCAUAUCUGGUUGGUUACUAUGGUAUGAUAUUUGGAUUUAAGCCAACAGUAUAAACCAAAAACUGAAAAGCUGGCUUAUAGAUAUGCCUUAUUUUGUCUUGUCCAAUUGACAAGUGCCAAUUUUUACUACUCUUGUUAGCUUCUUGUUGCUUAUGAGUUUAGUUCUCUUCACCAAAUGAUUAUAAAAAUCAACAUCAUUUUUGGAAUUUGGAAUAUCUUUUUUCACAUAGCUUGGUUUGUUCCGAAAAUUUAUCUGUAUUAUACCUACCCUGUUUCCAUAGGAUCCAUCAACUUGUUAACAUAUAAGUGUUGUUUCUUUUUCUCUGUCUAUAAGCUUUGGCAGAGUUCUCUCUGCAAUGCCUGGGGAAUUCAGAGAGCAGCCAAGUUCCAGUAUGGCUUCGAAUCGUUCCGAUGGUUCAUCAAAGGAGAGACUGAAAUGGACUCAAGAGCUUCAUGAUCUGUUUGAGAAGGCAGUGAGUCAACUCGGAGGUCCGGAAAGUAAGUGAACGUUUUAUCUAUACAAGGUUUAACCGUUGAGGAGAGCGUUAUUAUUUUCUUUUUGAUAAUGAGUGACGAUGAGAUACCCUUUUAUUUAGUGAAAUAUGUCUUUCACAUGCACAAUUCCUCUUCUUGAGUCAAUCAUCGUAUGAGUCAAACACAUGAAAAUUCUCUCGAUUCUCCAUUUCUACCAUAUAAUUAUCCUCUCACCAAUUUUAUUUACUUUUUUUCAUUUUCUUAAAUUAUGUUUUGUUAAAAAAAAAACAACUAAAUUGGCUUGCAGGAGCAACACCAAAAGGAAUUUUGAAGGUUAUGGGGAUUUCUGGUCUAACAAUCUUCCACGUGAAAAGCCACCUACAGGUUUUCUUAAUAUCCCUUUGUGAUAAUUUCUUUCCUUUUUGUAUAAAUAAUUUUUAUAAUCCAUAAUUCAUAAAAUUAGGAUUCUAGAUGUGCAUAUAUCACUAGAGCAGCUUAAAAAGCGUGCGAUAUAAAUUCAAUUCAUGUAAAUUCAGUAACUUUUGCUCAUAAUUUUUAUAUAUAUUAAAAUAUUUAUCAAUUAUAACUGUAAACUCAAUUAAUAUUAUAGUAUUAACUUGAAAUCGUUGAAAAAAAAACUCAAACUCUUUCGAUUUGCAACAGAAAUACCGCAUGUCAAAAUUUGUACGUGAAGACUCUGAAAGUAAGUUUUUUAUUUUUUUAUUUACAAGUUAAUUAAUUAUGUUAAUAUAAAUAAAUAUACUAAAGUUAUAUAUUAAUUUAUUUUCUCUUGCUUUUCAUUUUUUAACAUAUAGUUGGCAAGUUUGAAAGGAGAAGCAUAUCAGAAAUUUUACCAAACUUCAGUGUUACAGCGUGAGUUACUAUUUAAUUCCUUAUAAAUAGAGACACGGAUUCUGAAUUUAAAGUUUAUAAAUUUUCAUAACUAUAAUAAAUUAAUAUUUAAUAAUACCUGAGUUCAAAAUCAAAUAUGUAUACAUAUGUAUAAUGAAACAAGUGUCAUAUGUUUUUUUCUUGUUUUGUGGAUUAUAAUUAAAAAUCCGCAAAUAAUAUACCUAUAAAUAUUAGGCGAAAGUUCUUUUAUACUAUAGUUUAUAGAAGUUAAAACUCUGUAUCGAUUUAUAUAGGGGUGCUCAACUUAAUGAAGCAUUACAAAUGCAUAUGGAUGCACACAAGCGAUUAAGUGAUCAUCUUGAGGUAAACUAAUUAAGCUUAUAAUUUAAUAAAUCCAUGUUUAGUAAAUUAUUAAUUAAGAUUAAUUUUUUUUCUUUUUAAAGGUUCAAAGAAACUUGAAGAUAAAACUUGAAGCACAAGGAAGAUUUCUAGAACGAAUAAUGGAAGAACAAAAAGUUCGUGCUUCAGGUUCUAGAUCUAGUUGCAAGUCUUAUUCGUAUUUACCCUUAGCGUUACCAUCCUUAUGCGAGGAAUCUGAAUCAAAUGUCAAGGAACUCGAGGUUGGAUAUGAUUCCGAGUUUGAUAUAUCUGGUUGUCAAUUACCAAGAAAAAAGACUCGAUUCGAGGAAGACGAUGGAUUAUUAAAUCAUCGAUACAAUAGUACUAAUAAUAAUGUUACAUAUUCACCACAAGAAUUAGAAUGGGGUACUCUUGAAACUUACCAAUCAUCACCACAUGAUUUGCAUGCUUUAUAUGAUUAUCUUAUUUAAUCAAUUUAGUUAAAUAUAUGUUGUUUGAAUUUAAAUUUUACGAUUGGACAUAUGAAGAAAAAGUGUGUUAGUUAGGAAAUAUAUAUAUAUAUAUAUAUAUAUAUAUAUAUAUAUAUAUAUAUAUAUAUAAAUAUACUAGUGUAUUUAAAUAAAACAUAUUGUAUGAUACGUUUAUGUAAUCUUGAUAACAAUAUGGGGUUGUUCUUAAUUAGUCGAUUAUCAAGAUGUACAAUGUCUUUUAAUUUCUUUGAAAUUAUGACCUUAUCUAACAAUGUUGUUUAUAGAUUAAAUUAUUUUGUGGAUUGAAUUUUAGUUUAUUAUCCGUGAUUUUAUUAUGUGUACAUGGUAGAAGUUUUUAUAAAUGUAUCGCGAUGCAAUUAAGUAUAUAUAUUUUGAUCAAAUUUAGUUCUUUCGAAGAGGUGAAAUAUAAUUACCACGUUGAAGCAUAAUUAUAGUAUACGUCUCUGACUUUGUAUAAUGCGUUGUAUAUCUCAUAUUUUCUCCGUUUACUUUUAAUUGUCAUGAUCUUUUUUAGAGUCAAAUGAUAAGAACUUUGACUAAUGUUUUAUGAUAUGUUUUUUCUUCCACAUAUUGAUAUGCAAUUUAUAUUAUUUUUCGUAAAGUUUUUUAAUAUCUAAUUCUUUUGUCUAAAAGAUUUCGAUAGAAAUGACGUCGAAAUUCCGGAUCACCAAAAAAGAUGGUGGAAGUACACGAAAAUCGGCAAAAUGGAGGUUUACCUGCUCCGGGGCUCGUUUGACCUUGGAAAUGGACCGUUUUGGCCAACGGGUUCCAUAGCUAAGGUCUUAACGGACAUCCAUGAAUUUUUUUUAGCAAAAUGACAUUGGAAUUCUGGAUAACAAAAAAAAUAGUGGACUAUAGCACACGAAAAUCAGCAAAAUGAGGGGUUUACCUGCUCAAGGACUCGUUUGACCUUGAAAAUGAAUUAUUUUGGUCGUCUGGGCCAACUGACUCCAUAGAUAAGGUACUAACGGACGUCAUUAAAAAUUUAGUAAAAUGACAUCGGAAUUCUGGAUAACAAAAGAAAAGGUAGACUAUAGCACACAAAGAUCAGAAAAAUGAGGGUUUACCUGCUCAAAGACUCGUUUGACCUUGAAAAUGGACCGUUUUGACCGUCAGGGUCAACUGACUCCAUGCCGAACGUCUUCAUGGAUGUUCAUGAAAUUUUUUGAUAAAAAUGAAGUCGGAAUUUCGAAUCAUCAAAAGUCAUGGAGUAUAACACGCAAAAUUUGGCAAAAUGAGAGAUUUACCCGCUUCAGGACUCGUUUGACCUCGAAAAUGGGUCGUUUUGAACGUUAGGGUCAAUUGGAACCAUAACUAAGAUCUUAGCGGGCGUCCAUGAAAAAUUUAGACAAAACUACGUCGGAGUUCUAGAUCACCAAAAAAACAUGGACUAUAACACACAAAAAUCGACAAAAUGAGUGAUUUACAUGCUAGGGGCUAGUUUGACUUUGAAAAUGAGUCGUUUUGGCAGUCAAGGUCAACUAGUUCCAUAGCUCAGGUCUUAAUGUACGUCCAUGAAAAAGUUUUGGCAAAAACGACGUCGAAAUUUCAAAUCACCAAAAAAUCAUGGACUAUAUAGCACAAGAAAAUCGAAAAAUGGGAGGUUCACCUACUCUGGGGCUCGUUUGACCUUGAAAAUGGAUCGUUUUGGCCGUCAGAGCCAACUAACUCUAUAACUAAGGUCUUAACGGAUGUCCAUGAAAUUUUUUGGUAUAAAUGACAUCGAAAUUCUAAAUCUCCAAAAAUCCAUAGACUAUAACACACGAAAAUCGAUAAAAUUGGGGGUUUACCUGCUACGAGGCUCUUUUGACCUUAAAAGUAAAUCGUUUUGACCGUCAAGGCCAACUUGCUCCAUAACUAAGGUCUUAAUGAACUCCCAUGAUAUUUUUUUAACAAAAAUAAUGUUAGAAUUCAGAAUCAACAAAAAUAGCUAAGAUCUUAAACUAAGGUUCUAUUACCCCGAACUUACAAAAAUAGCUAAGAUCUUAAACUAAGGUUCUAUUACCCCGAACUUAUUUGUUUUGUAAUUUUAUACACUUUAUAUCUUAGAAAAUAGUGUUCUUUUAAAAAAGUUUUUGAAUAGUUAAAUGUCUACUUGUGUACUAACACGAAGUUAAACCUUUUUCCAGAAAAAGCCGUUGAUUCUUGCUUUUUCUUAAAAAUAAAUUAAUAAAAGAAGGCAUGAAACGUUUUUUGCCCUUUCCCUCUCUUCAUCAAUGAAAAUUGAAAUAUAAUGGGCAGUUUUUUUUUUUUUUCUGAAAAAGAAAUAUUUGCCCACAGAAAUUUCUAGUUGAAAAGUUAGUCACAAAAUAACAGAACAUGAAAGCUCUAGAUUUAUCAGUUUUGAAACUAUUUUUAUGAAGACUUCAAAGAGGUUAGUGCUUAGUAAUUUUCGUUUUUGAUUUAUAUUAUCAUGUUAUUAUGUAAGUUUGUGAUAUAUGAUCAUGCUUUCGUUAUCGUAUAAAUUUAAAAUUUGUCUAUGUUUAUGUUAUCUAAUUGUGUACGAUUUAUGAAAAAAUCAUAAUAAAUUACUCUACUUGCAUAUUGACAAUUGAAAAAUACAAACGAACUUCUGAAAAUUUUCUUUAAUGAUGUAUAAAUACAAAAUUUAUAUAUACUUACCUUAUUUGUAUAUUCGUAAAUAAAAUAUACAAAUCGCAGCCUCUAUUUGUGUAUACUUACCACCCUAUUUAUACAUAACUAUAGACAUAGACCUUUAUUAUAUAUAUUGUCUUUAGCUAUUUUCAAAUUUUCUCUAAAAAGUUUAGAUAACUGGUUCAGUGAUUACUAUAGUAUAUGACCAAAUAAAUAUUUAAGAUAAAGUUUCAAAAUUCAUCCAAUUUUUUUUUUUUUUUUUGUAAUUAGGUACUCUUUGUAAAUUCCUCAUUUCCUUUUUCGAUUUGCUUUGAACUAUUUUUCCUCGAGGGUUCAUUUGAAACAACCUCUCUAAUUCUAGCACAGGUAGCGUUCAUCUGCAUAUUCUCUACUCCUGAGACCCCGAAAUUACACGUUGACGUAAACUUUUAAUUACAUAGAGAAAGCUAGAAAUGGAAAGAGCAGAUGAUGUCUACACAAAAGAUGGGACAACUGAUAUCACUAAAGCACCAGCUAACAAGAAAAAAACUGGGACAUGGAAGGCUUGUUUCUUCAUCCUUGGUAUAGUUAACUUUAUAUUUAAUCAAACUAAUAUAACUAUGUGAUUUCAUUUACUAUAAAUAGCGCGAUCCAUGGCGUUUUACAGGGGAGGAAAUCUCUGAGAGACUAGCGUACUUUGGUACAAGUACUAAUUUGGUUAAUUAUCUUCAUCAAAUGCUUGGCCUAAACAACGCGGCUGCAUCAAAAGUUGUAACAAACUUUCAAGGAACUUGCUAUGUCUCGCCUUUGCUCGGAGCAUUCUUAGCUGAUGCUUACCUUGGGAGAUACUGGACAAUAGCAAUUUUCUCAAUCAUUUAUAUAAUGGUAAUUAGUAGUAACUACUUUUUCUUAACAAGUACUUGUUGUCAAAUUUAUUUAGUGUUAAGAGUCUCACGUCGGAUAUGGGAUGGGUAAAUGGUCUCGUUAUAUGGUUUUAGACAAUUCUCCCCUCGUGACCUAGCUUUUGAGGUUUAGUUAGACCCAAGAUUCAUUUCUUUACAUGACAUGAGAGUCGGACUCAUCCCAAUUCUUUGUUAACGAGGUCUAGAUGUGCAGGGGAGUGUUAUGAGUCCCACUUUCUAAUAGAUUGAGUUAGAUCAAAGAUCCAUUUAUUUUACGAUCACAACAUGUUUUGUGAUUUGAUGAACUUUUCUUUUAUAGGGAAUGACUCUAUUGACAAUGUCAGCUUCAAUAGUUGGAAUAAAGCCAUCAUGUCAUGAUGGAAUUUGCCACCCAAGAGAGCUAGAGAAAACAACAUUCUACAUUGCAAUUUAUUUGAUUGCUUUAGGGACUGGUGGCAUCAAACCAUGUGUGUCCUCUUUUGGUGCUGAUCAGUUUGAUGACAACGAUGAAGUCGAAAAGAGAAAGAAAAGCUCCUUCUUUAACUGGUUUUAUCUGUCAAUAAGUAUUGGUGCUCUUAUUGCUUCAUCAGUCCUUGUUUGGAUACAAACGAGUGUCGGCUGGGGCUGGGGUUUCGGUAUUCCAGCUGUUGCAAUGGCUAUUGCUCUUAUGUUUUUCUUUGUAGGCACUCGUUUUUACAGGCUCCAGACGCCAGGAGGUAGUCCGUUGAUUCGGAUGUUGCAAGUACUGGUAGCUUCUAUGAGAAAAUGGGAUGUUAAACCUCCUGCUGAUAAAUCUCUUCUUUAUGAGACUGCUAAUGAGGAAUCAAACAUCAAGGGAAGCCGCAAGCUCACUCAUACGGAUAAGUUCAGGUAAAAUUAUGGACUAAUUAUAUUAGAAUUGUAAUAAUCGUCCUUCUCAGAUAGUCACUCAACUAAGGGUAGUUUACUCUGAAUGUCACUCAACUAUUUAUAAGCGAAUCAUUGUUAUAUUUGUACUAUUGACCAUUUGGAAAAUGAAAUGCAGCUUCUUGGACAAGUCUGCUGUGGAAACAGCACGCGAUAAAGUAAAUGGAUCGGUGAAUCCCUGGAGGCUCUGUACCGUGACACAAGUUGAGGAAAUCAAGUCUAUCAUUCGUCUACUCCCAGUGUGGGCAUGCUGCAUUAUGUUCACGACUGCAUACAGUCAGAUGAACACAACAUUUGUGCUCCAAGGGAACACAAUGGACCGCUACAUGGGUGGUAAUUUCAAAAUACCAUCAGCAUCUUUGAUAGUAUUCGAAACAAUCAGUGUGAUACUAUGGGUGCUGAUAUAUGACCAACUUAUUAUCCCCUUUGCUAGAAAGUACACAGGCCACGCCCGGGGAUUCACUCAGCUUCAGAGGAUAGGUAUAGGCCUUGUAAUAUCUAUGUUGUCCAUGGUAUCUGCUGGUGUUGUGGAAGCAGUACGCCUCGACUACAUCAAACAGAAGGGGUAUUAUGAUGUCAAGACUAUUCCUAUGUCUAUCUUUUGGCAAGUUCCUCAAUAUUUUUUCAUUGGAUGCGCGGGGGUAUUCACGUUGAUAGGUCAAGUGGAAUUCUUCUAUGAUCAAGCUCCCGACGCGAUGAGAAGCUUAUGUUCAGCCCUAUUGUUGAUGGCAGCUGCAUUAGGCAGCUAUUUGAGUAGUUUCCUAGUUACAAUAGUGACAAGGAACAAGAAGUUUGGAUGGAUAACAGAAAAUUUGAACAAAGGGCAUUUAGAUUACUUCUUUUGGCUAUUGGUUAUACUUAGCAUUAUUAACUUCAUAGUAUUUCUAUUGGUUUCAAGAUUGUAUGUCUACAAGAAGGUUAUUCAUUGAAAACACCUAGAUGAAGUAAGACUUCUAUUUAUUUUCACAUGUAACACCUUGUUUAGAUGGUUGAUACUCAUCGUAUUGUAUUGUAUUAUUAGUUUAAAUAUCAUGUUUGUGUCGGUGGUUAUUUAGUGUCUGUUUGUUCAAUUUUAUGUAAAUUUAGGUACACAUACAAAGCUAAAAGAACAUAAAUACUAAUUAAAACCAAACUAAAGAACAUUUUUAUAUAUUAUUGCUAGAAACACUAAUGAAGUUUUAAUUAAAAGAUUAUUUUGUAAUUUUUAAAACUAGCUAAGUCAAAUAGAUGCAUGUUCAAAUAAAUUUUUAGAUUUUAAAAUCACAAUUUUAAUUUUAUGAAGUCCGACUAAAUUCCGACCGUCUAACAUCACACAAAACACCCAUCAUACACAUGGGGUUGAAUUAGCUGAAUACGUCACAAAAGCCAUAAGAUAAUUGAAUUGGGUGUGCAAAAUUGAGAUGGAUAUCGAAUCGUUGAAGAAAUUCUUGGAGAAAGAAGGAGGAAGCUAUGAAACCUCAGUGGAUUCCAUGCCUUCAAGAUUUAUUGAACCCUUUGUUUGCCAUGGGAUAAAGGUUGACCUUGUUGAGCCGGGUCGGAUUCUCUGUUCAUUCAAAGUCCCUCUUCGUCUAGUGGUGAAUUACUAUUUCCUUCAUGUUUCUAUAUAUCUACAAUUUUUGUUUGAUUAAUUUAUUGAGAUUUCUGAUCGGAACAGAAUGCCGGUAAUUUUCUACAUGGUGGAGCUACGGCGACUCUGGUGGAUAUUAUGGGUUCUGCUGUUGUUCAUACUGUAGGUGCGCCAUUGACUGGUGUGUCACUUGAGAUCAACGUUUCAUAUUUGGAUGCUGCUUAUCUCGGAGUGAGUUUCUUCUUUUUCAGAUUACAAUUUCGUAAAGUUUGGAUAGGUUGUUGUUGUAUUCAUCUUUGGAGUUUGGGAUUGCAUAUUUGUGGUUGUGAAUUUUGGCUCUUUUCUUCAUUCUGUUCAAGUAUUGAUUUGCAAGCGAUAUUGCAGGCUCUAUGUUGUCUUUCGUUUUCACCUCAGAAAUGUGCUAAGAUGUUGGAAGUUAUUAUCUUAUUCCAGACAUGACCUUAGACGGGAGGGUGUUCUAUGUGGAGUUAACGGAUUAGGAUGGAAGGUUAUUAGGUGGUUGAGUGUUGUCUUGCUUAUACUUCCAUAAGUUGUAGUAUUUCCCCUGUAGUUUGUUGUCCUUUGAUUUUUGAUACUGUGUAUUGAAUAAUCACGCGAUUCUGUUGCAGUUGCUGUUUCAUUUUUUCAGUAUGCUUUUUAUAGUAUUUUCGUUAUUUCUUUUUUGAUUUGCUUUGAUAUGUUUUCCUUGAGUCAAUGGUCUAUCUGAAACAAAUACUCCAACUCUUGAAUAGGAAUAAGAUCUAUGUAUACUCUAUCCUCCCCAAACCCCACUUGUGGAAUUGAUCACAUUGAGUUUGUUGUUGUUGUUGUUUGCGUAGUAAUAGGUCUCACUGAAAAUUUUCUCAGAGAAGAAAAGCUAACUAGUAAAAGAGAGAGCCUUAUAGGAAAAAUGGGUAUAUUUUGCACCAAUGUUAUGGUUAUCUUUCACGAUAAUCAUAAGAAGGAUGAAAUUUUAAACGGCAUUAUAGUGUUGUUAUGAAAGAAUUACGGCCCUUAUUUCAUGUGGAGGUCUUUGAUGUUAUAUACAGUUCUAUUUGCAUAGCUUCUUGAACUGCAUUUAGUAUAGUUAGCAGAGUACAACUUCGUUAUGAUCAGAACUUAAUUAAUCAGAAUGUUCUUGAAGCUCACUUUGAAGUCUUAUGCAAUAAGUGUGUUCUGGUUUAAGCAAUGCCACAAAAUUUAGCUUAUAAAUGCUACUCUAGUAUGUCAGAGCAACAUUGGCCUUCUUCAUUCACCAACCUCCAGCAAUGCAACAUUUUUGGGAUACACAUGGAUGGCUUUUACAUCUAUAAGAUAAACAUGUGCAAUAGCAUGGACUUCAUCAAUAGUCAGUUUAACAAUUCAACCAGUUUGAUAUAGAAGCUUUCCCUUUAAUCUUCUUGUAGAAUGUUAAUGCUAUCUUCAAGGGAAGAAUCUCGUGGCGAUAAAGAAUAAGGAAUUAGAAUAAAAUGUAUUUUCAUUCACAAUUAGACAGUAUAGAGAAUUUUAUCUUGUUAUAUCAGACAUCUAAUAUACAAUUUUAGCAGAAGUGAUAGUCUAGUAGGCUGAACGAGACUAUUAUUCAGCCUGACAUCUUGAAUGUAAAGCAAUACUAGCUAUGAACUGAAACUAGCAGCAACUUAAAGCACUAUAUUUUAGUGUUAUUUGUUUCAACAUACAUAAAUACAAGUGAAAAACUUAUAAUCUGUGAUGGGUUGUCAUAUAUUGUCGAAAAAAAGAAGAAAUAAGAAGUACUUUGCUCAUAUUAGCCGAAAAAAAGUUGCACCAAGAAGGGGACUCUCAUUGACGACGGACUUUGUUUCUUGUAUUAAUGUGAUUGCUGAGUCUCAUCCUUCUUUUUUUGAUUGACUGGUUGUUGGCCCAUUUUUUGUUUGUUUUACUUGCUAAAACUCAUAACAUGACUUGUUAUAGCCAAAAUAAGUAGUACUCCGUUGCUAUGCUUUUUCACAUAUAUUAUUCCAUUUAAGGAUGGUGCAAGUCAAUGUUAUCUAAUUUUCAAAAGGAUACAAUGCAAUAUCCUCAAUUCAAUCAUUGUCUAUCUUACAUAAUCAGGAGGAAAUCGAACUUGAAGCCAAAGUAUUACGAGUUGGGAAGUCAAUCGCUGCUGUCACUGUUGAGUUGAGGAAGAAAAAGACGGGGAAGAUAGUUGCACAAGGUCGCCAUACCAAGUAUUUGGCUGUCAAUAGUAAGCUUUGAGCUAUAUAUACUUUCUGAAGAAAUUUCCCAUACAUAUAUGGGACGUGAAUUCAUAAGUAGUUUUGGCAUGUAUUGUGCAAUUGAACAUUCAAGUAUGAAAUAUUUUUUAUCUCAAUGAAUGAUCGUUGUUAUAAUGAGAUUUGACUGUAUUACGAAAAGUUUGCUUUUACUGCUAAAAAAUGCUAGGUCCUGAAUUGAUAUUUGCUCUGUGGAAGAGGUCAUUGUUGUUUUAACCGAGAUAAUGGAGUACCUGGAAAAAAAAAGGGAAAAGGGUUUAUAUAACCCUCAAUUUUGCGAUUUUCUCUCUCGUUACAUAAGUGGUUGAUAUAUUUAAAUUAUUUUCAUACUACAAAAAUAUACUUGAUCUUUUUUUUAAAAAAAAUAAUCACUAUAUAACUAUAUAAAUUAAGAAGAGGCUAAGAGCACAAUAUACAUAAAAACUUCAUACCAUGUCUUAUUACACAACACAAAGGUUAAUAAAGUUGGCAACAUAACAUAUAGCUUACAUGAGAAAGACAUAACACACAUUAAAAGAAAGUACACAAUAUGCACUUGUCCAGCAACAUAGAUCUUAUCAAUUCAUCAAUUGGCAUGGUGAUCAUCAAUAGCUUUUGUCAUACCAACAACGAAGUUCAACACAUUUAUAAGUUCAGGGACAUUCUCAUUUGGCCUUUCAUACUCCAAUGUCCAGCAAACCAAGUCGAUUUCGCCUUUUGUUUCGAUAUGAAGAAUUGCUUUAAAACUAUCAUAUAUAUCUGUUACAUCACCUUCGAAUUCUUUGAGUGUGAGCACCUUAUUUUCAUAAUCUAUAGUUUCAAGUAUUUGUUUCGAAAUCUUCUUUUCCCCAUCUGCUCAGAGAAAAAAGAAGAAAUGGAAAUGAGAAAAUUAGAGUUGAGUACAAGACCAUCUAACGAUAUUUUAUCUCAAUCAUAAUCGCUAAAAUAGUUAAAAAAAACUAUCACAAAAAGUUUACUAAAAAGACAAGUUAAAGGCAUUCUCUUAUCCGUUGAACUAAUAUGAAGAGCCGGAUGACAUUUUUAGUCAAUAUCAAAAGCGUGAAUGAGUUAGGAGUGAAGAGUGUUCGAGAAAGUUCAAUUGGACAAUUCGUAAAUUUAUCGAUAUCAAGUUCGUAAAAGGAACCAAAUUGUUCAAAGGGGGUUAUUAGGACAUUUUUAAAUGUUUAGCUUACCAAGGGUAUAGUUCCAACAAAUUUUGGAUCCAACAAUUCCAAUGCCUCCUUCAAGAAGUUCAAAAUUUUGUAUAUGCAAAGGGGACAUAGUGGAGACAUGGUGUGGUUUAUUUGUAAAAACAUCAUGAAACACAUCCUUGUUAGCCUUCAUUUCUAUCUUAGCACACAACACAGAUUUUAGACCCAUUUUUACCAAAAAGACUUUGGAAAAUAAAAAGAUAGAUAUAGUGACACUAGAAGAAAAUUAUAGAGGUGAUAUCUUUUACAAUGAUUAUUCAACAAUAUAUAUAGACUAAAAGGGGGAAGGGAGGGGCUCUUUUAAAUCCUUUUUUUAAAAUUAAAAAAAAUCAAAGAUGGUAUAACAUCUUAAUCUUGUCCUUUACGACUUAUAUAACAACAUUAUAUUUCUCAAGAAAAUCAUUUAUCAUAUGCACUUGCAAUAUGCGUCAAUACUUGUAAUGCAUAUACUAUGAAAUCAAUCAUGUUUCAACCACUUCUAGGAAAUAUAUACUUACUAUUCUAAAAAGAAAUGUUUAUAAUGCAAAUUCUAAUUAACCUCUUACCUGAGCUAAUUAUUCAUAUACAUUGCAAUAUUAUGAAUCUAAUAAGAUUUUAAUGCGUUCAAUUAUAUAGUAAAAUACAUGUAUUUUAGGAUCAUAGGGUUGAAAUCAGGUUUAUUAAUUUGUUAUAAAUACAUUGUAUCCAACUGAAUUAAAUGUAUCUAGCUAGAAUACAUAGACAAAUCUCGCUCGCAUUUCUUUCUUUUCGUUUUCCAUUCUUCUAUCUCGACCGUGUGUGUAGUAUUCCAGAUACAUGUGAAUCACACUAGAAUAAUAUAUAUAGUGUGAUUCGCAUGUGUCUGGAAUACAUAGACAAAUCUCGUUCACCUCCCUUUUAUUCUCGCUCGUCUUUCUCCCUAUUUCAGUGAAUCUGGUAACAAAAAACAUGUAUCUAAGUGUAUGUAACAUGAAAUAUUAAUUAGUAAGAUAAAACGUAACUAUUUCAAAAUUAUAGGAAGUACCAGUAAAUAUGGUAAGUUUCUCCAAAAUUUACUUGGACUAAUAAGAUAAAUCGUUUGUUUGAUUAAAUAAGUUAUCAAUAUAAAAGGUAUUUUUAGAUUAAAAACCCGUAAAAAUUAUUUUUUAUUAAAUAAAUAAAUAAAAUAAAAUAUUUUGAACUAUUGUUUGGAUGGUUGUUAUCCGGUGUAUUGCAUUGUAGUAUAUUAUCAGUGUAAAUACAAUAUUUAUUUUAAUUGUCACUUAACACAUAUUGUAUCAUAUCAUUUAAAUCUAUUGUUAAAUAACGAUAAAAAUACUCAUUUUCAUUAAAAUAAUAUAAUAAAAUACAAAAUAAACAAUAUAAUACUAUAUAUAUUAUAAAACAAUACAUAUCAACCCUCCCAACAACUAAAGCUUAAGCUAUCAACAUCAGAGAAUCCAAAGAAGAUAUAUAGAAAUAGAUUUUGUCUGAUAAAUUAACAAAUACAAUAAUAGCUACAAAUAUUUUCUUUGGGUUUUAAAAUUCAAAGCAAAAACAAAUCACAAUAAGAUACGUUAAUUAUAGUCAUUUUUUUUAUCAAUUAAACAAGGGAUAAUGCACAAGUACCUCAUCAACCUAUGCUCGAAAUCUCAGAGACACACUUAUACUAUACUAAGGUCCUAUUACCCCCUAAACUUAUUUUAUUAGUAAUUUUCUACCUCUUUUUAGCCUACGUGGCACUAGUUUAGAAAAAAAAAGUCAAUCAUCGUUGGGCCCACAAAAUAGUGCCACGUAGGUCGAAAAGGGGUAAAAAAUUAAUAAUAAAAUAAGUUCAGGGGGAUAAUAGGACCUUAGUAUAGUAUAAGUGUGUCUCUGAGAUUUCGGGCAUAGGUUGAGGGGGUACUUGGGGAUUAUCCCAUUAAACAAUAAUUUAUUUAUUUAUUGUCCACUCAUUGAUGUUUCCACUUCCAUCAUAGAUAGCGAUAGAAAAAAUGGAAUUUGCAUGUAUAACAGUGAAGCGUUCCUUAAUAAGAUUUUUUUUAUAUUUAAAAUUCUUUUUUUUAAUUAAAUUGUGAAAGAAUUAUAUAUAGAUAUAAUAAUAUAAUGAUGAUUACUUGCUCUUUAAUACAUGAUAUAUAGAUCAAAUACAGUAAUUGACUAUAUGUUAUGUCUUGAACAUUCUCGAUUUAAUUAUUUUUUUUUUAAAAAAAACGAUAGGUAAUUUUUUGUUUAAGGGUAUUUAAAAUAAAUUAUUGUUAUCACUAACUUUAUCAUUUUUCGAUUAGUAAACCUGAUCUAGGUUCAUGUAAGUUAUUUUAUAAAAAAUUUAGGAAAAUAAGAAUAAUUGUUUUCCAUUAUUACUUUUAUGAUAAAAAAAACUACUAAAAAAAUGUUCAAUAUACUAAAUAGAUAUGUACAAAUAUACUCCUAUUUAUUACUUUCAAUUUGUUUAUUUUUAGUUUUUUUUUUUUUGGUUCAUUCUAAAAAUGAAUGUAAUUUUAUUAGUGUAUAGUUUUUUUAAAAAAAUUAUGAAAUUCGUUUUAGCUAUGACUUUUAGUUUUAAUUCAUAUUCUUUAUUUAUAGAUUUAUUAUUUUGAAUGUCCAUAAUAUUUGUUUAUAUUUUGUAAUUACUUUGAGCCAAAAUCAACGAUCGAUGACAAAAAAUACCUUAAUUAUGGACACCUUAAUAGACCUCUUCACAUUAAAUUUAUGCAAACAAAAAGUAGUUAAAAUAUCUAAAAUCGUAUCAAAAUUUAACUAACUUUCUAAAUUCUAUAUAUAUCACAAAAAUUAUAAUAAAAGAAAUAAUAAAUAUUAGACCCGUACUAGCACAGACACCGUAACUUAAUAAGAGAGUCUUGCCUCAGAUUCGUGCAUUUUUUUUAUUUCCUUCGAAUUACAGGUUUUAUAGAUGAUAUAGAUAGAAAGGUAUACCUGAUUAAUUUGUAACUGUUUUUGUGAAAAUUAAAUAAUACAUUUUUCUUUUUAAAAAAAUUAAAAUUAAACUUAUUUCUAAUUAUACUAAAAAGACUUUUUUAAAGAGAUAAAGAAAAAUAGUGCUACGAUGAAAUGAGAUGACAAAUAGAUCAGGUCGGAUAUAAUAAAGUGGGUAGGAAUUGACUAUUUCAAAGCGAUGUUAGGUCAUUUGAUUUUAAGCUUUUACACAUGUUUUUUAUAUUUAAAUUAAGACAAAUAUAAAUAUCAAAUUACAAUAAAAGAAGCAUAUUUAAACUAUUUCUGAUGGUAAAAAAUAUAUACUUUAUCCUUUUAAAGAUUUUUUAAAAAAAAAAUACCACUAAAUAAAUUAGGAGGAGUCGAAGAUCAAUAUAUAUAAACUUCACACCUAUGUCUUAUUACACAACACAAAGGUUUACAUAGUUGACAAUAUAUUAUUUACAUGAGAAAGACACAACAAACAUAAAAAAAAAUACACAACCAACAUGGACAAAUUAAACAACAAACAAAGCAUAGGGUAUUUAUUUAUGAUCCCAUCCUAAUUAAGUUGCUCGAAUUCUCUAAAAAUGUGUGUUUGAUUCAUCAAAAUGCACUCUUUUUUUUUUAAGGAUUCAACAUGAAUUUUUUUUAAAAGUCCGUGCAAUUCAUCAAUUGGCAUGGUGAUCAUCAAUAGCUUUGGUCAUACCAACAAUGAAGUUCAACAAACUUAUAAGUUCAGGGACAUUAUCAUUUGGCCUUUCAUACUCCAAUGUCCAGGUUAUCAAAUUGAUUUCGUCUUUUGUUUCGAUAUGAAGAGUUGCUUUAAAACUAUCAUAUAUAUCAACUACAUCUCCUUCGAAUUCUUUGAGCGUGAGCACCUUGUUUUCAUGAUCUAUAGUUUCAAGUACUUAUUUGGAAAUCUUCUUUUCCCCAUGUUAAAAUACUUAAAGCUCAAUCAUAAUCGCUAAAAUGGUUGAAAGGUCUUAUUAGGGUAUUUUUAAAUAUUUAGCUUACCAAGGGUAUAGGUCCAACAAAUUUUGGAUCCAACAGUUCCAAGGUCACCUUCAAGAAGAUCAAAACCUUGUACAUGCAAAGGGAACAUAGUAGAAACAUGGUGUGGUUUAUUUGUAAAAACAUCAUGAAAUACAUCUUUGUUAGCCUUCAUUUCUAUUUUGGCACACAAUACAGAUUUUAGACCCAUUUUUACUAAUGAUUUGAAAAUAAUAAAAAAAAUUGUAAUAGACAAGUGUUGAUAUCCUUUAUGAUGAUUAUUCAACAAUAUCUAUAGACUAGAAGGGGGAAGGGAGGGGCUUUUCUUUAAUCCUUUUUUAAAAAUCAAAGAUGGUAUAACAUCUUAAUCUUGUCCCUUAGGACUUAUAUUACUACAUGUUAGUGAAAAAUUAUAAUAUUAAAAGAUUACAAUUGAAAAUAAAAUAAAGGAAAAAAAAUUUGAAGCUAAGGCGCAGAUAUUUUGUUUUUUUUUAAGAAAAUUCAAAUCCAUUGCAUUAAAUAUUUUUACCUAUCCAGUAGUAUUCCUCUAGACUUGUCCCCUCUAGGGUGCAAUAACCUAAUCAUAAAAUAUAACUCAACAGACUCUAAACAGAAUUGAAUCCAAAGCUCUACAAAAAAAAGCACCUCUUAAAUUAAUUAGAACUCUCACUUUGACUAAUUUUAUGCACUUUCUAUUUUUAUGUGUACAAAACAAAUGAAGAUCAUCACUGUAUAUUGUUAAGAAAGUCUUAAUAAGAAUAGAUAAAAAGAUAAUAGAGCAGUAAGUAGUGAAAAUAAUUGGUCUGACGAUUAUAUAAAUUACAAGUUAUAAUGGAGUUAUAAAUAGAGAAAAUAAUGCAGCAAAAUACCUCUCAACGUGCAAAUGCAACUCAACUAAAACCAAUGAAGAAGCAAUAAAGAAAAUACAAUUAGGCUUAGGUCAUUAUGAGACAAAUCAACACUAAAUAAAUAUUAAAAAUACUCAAAAGACCAAACACUACAAUUCUCAAGAAAAGUGACAUAAAUUUCAUAUUUCAUGCACUUGUACAGUAAUUAUAAUAUAGUGUAAAACCCCAUAAAAUUAAUAUUCAGUUAAUUAAUAAUUAUUUUUAAGAUAAUAAUUUUCUUUGAUUUCGAGUUAGGUCAAUAGAAAAAAACAUUAAUUUUGAUAAGAUAAUAUAUUUUCAGAAAACUCUUACAUAUACAAAUAUAUGGUCUCAUUAAUAUUAUAAAUUAAUAAUUCUUUAAAAGUACAAUAUAUCUAAGAUAAUUUACUGAAAUAUGAUACUAUUAUAUUUUUUUGAUAAAAAUUUAAAAAUCUAGUUGAAGUUCAUCUCUAACCUUUUUUUAUUAUAUUUAAAAGUUUCAAUGUUGUUUUUUUCUAAUUGCACCAUAAAAUUGUGAAAAAGAGUUCUAGAUAUACUAAUUGUUUCAUUAUGCGUAACUCACUUCAAAGAUAUUAUAUCAUCUUCAACUCCAUCAUCAACAUUGUUUUACAAUGAUAUCCAUAAUUUGUUUUAAAUUCUAGAAUCUCUGAACAUGUAUCAUUUUCACCCAUUCAAUAGGUUAUUAACGUACAUUUAUUGUGGUUAUUAAAAUCAGUAAUCAUGACCUCAUGACGCUUUCACAAGUGAGUUCUUUCAAAUUCUUUGAGAUUUCAUCCCGAAAAAUAUUUUCGACAUCAAUUAAAUUAAUAUCUCUAUAACAUAAUAAUAUUUCAUGAUAACGCCUAUAAAUUAAUUUAGAGAUAUUUUAUUAUAUGCAAUUAUGUUUCAACCACUCUAGGGGAUAUAUACUAUUCUAAAAAAAAUAUUAUAAUACUAACACAUUAUGCAACAAUACGUAAUAAUAAUCAUCCAAAGAUCUGCUCAAUAAUUUAUUUAUUUAUUGUCUACUCAUUGAUCGGUUAAGCGUUCCUUAACAAGAUUUUCUUUUUGUAUUUAGGAGUUACGUUGAAGUUAAUUUUUUUUAAUUAAAUUGUGAAAGAAUUAUAUAUAUAGUGAUAAUAAUGUAAUGAUGAUUAGUUGAAUUCUCUUUAAUGAAAAAUUGUACAGAAUAUAUAGAUUAAAUAUAAUAGUUUAUUAUAUAUAUAUAAUUAAGUCUUGAACAUUCUUGAUUUAAUAUUUUUUUUGAAAAGAAAAGUAAUAUCGUGUUUAAGGGUGUUCAAAAUCAGCCAUUGUUAUUACUAACUUAUCAUUUUUCGACUAGUAAACUUGAUCGUGAUAUUAUAUAUAUAUAGUUUAUGCUAAGUGAAUUGUCGAGGAAUAGUAUAUUUCUUGAAAAAAAUAUUCUAGGAUAUAAUAAAAGGCUAUUUUAAUUUUAAUUCUAUAAACUAUACUCCUAGAAAACAUAAAAUAAUUAAUGAAAGAUAAAUAUAUUCAAAAAAUAAAAUAAAAUCUUAACAAUGCUUUAAAUUUUGAACAAUUCUCUUAUUUGGAUUAUAAAAAAAACUCACUGUGAACUAGAGGGUCGGAGUACUAUAUUAAAAUGUACCAAUUCAUGUAAUUUUUCUAAAUAACUAUUUGUUUUUUUAGAAUUUUAGGACAAAAAGUAGUGAUUAUUUUCCAUUAUACUUUUAUGAUAAGAAACUACUUUUAGACGCUGUUCAAUUUUAAAUAAAUAUGUAUAAAUUAUACUCCUAUUUAUUAAUUUCAAUUUAUUAUUUCAAAGUGACCUAGGUCAUUUGAUUUUAAGCUUUUUACAAAUGUUUUUGUAUUUAAAUAAAGACAAAUAUAAAUAUUAAAGUAUACUUAAACUAUUUCUGAUGGUUAAAAAAAAAUACUUGAUCCUUUGAAAGAAAAUUUAAAAAAAAAAGAAUAUUACAAUAUAAAUUUGGAGGAAGCAAAAAUCAAUAUAUAAAUAUAAACUUCACACUUAUGUCUUAUUACACAACACAUCACUUACAUGAGAAAGGCACAACACACAUUAAAAAAGAAAAAAGUACACAACCAACAUGGACAAACAAUAAACAAAGCAUAUCACAUUUAUGUAAAAGCUCAAUGACACGUAAAGUACACAACCAACAUGGACAAACAAUAAACAAAGCAUAUCACAUUUAUGUAAAAGCUCAAUGACACGUGAUCGAAUUCUUUAAAAAUAUUGUCAUACUUAUAUCAUAUCCUAUUAAAAAAAUACACCUGAUGACAUUUUUUAAUAGUACGUACGAGCAACAUCGAUCCCAUCAAUUGGCAUGGUGAUCAUCAAUACCUUUUGUCAUACCAACAACAAAGUCCAGCAAACUUAUAAGUUCAGGGACAGUCUCAUUUGGCCUUUCAUACUCCAAUGUCCAGGUUAUCAAAUCGAUUUCGUCUUUUGUUUCGAUAUGAAGAGUUGCUUUAAAACUAUCAUAUUUAUCUAUUAUAUCUCCUUCAAAUUCUUUGAGUACGAGCACCUUAUUUUCAUGAUCUACAUCUUCAAGUAUUUGUUUAGAGAUCCUCUUUUCCCCAUCUGCUUACAAAAAAAAAAACCCAUUUAAAGAGUUUUUAUCUCAAUCAUAAUCGCUAAAAUAGUUUUAAAAACUAUCACAAAAGAUUCUAGUAAAAAGACAGUUAAACACAUCCCCCUACACGUUGAACUUAAAUGAGGAGCCGGAUGACAUUUUAGUCAAUACUAAAAGAGUAAAUGAGUUAGGAGCGAACAAUGUUCUGAAAAGUUCAAUUGACCAAAAUUAAUUUAUAGAUUCACAGAUUUAUCGUUAUCAAAUUUCAAAUUAUUGAAGUGGGAUGGGGUUGAUAAAUAUAUAUAUAAAUUAUGAUUUUUAAAUAUUUAGCUUACCAAGGGUAUAGGUCCAACAAAUUUUGGAUCCAACAGUUCCAAGAUCACCCUCAAGAAGAUCAAAACCUUGUACAUGCAAAGGGGACAUAGUAGAGACAUGGUGUGGUUUAUUUGUAAAAACAUCAUGGAACACAUCCUUGUCAGCCUUCAUUUCUAUUUUGGCACACAAUACAGAUUUUAGACCCAUUUUUACUAUUGAUUUGAAAAUAAAUAAAAAAUUGUAAUGAACAAGUGUUGAUAUCCUUUAUGAUGAUUAUUCAACAACCAUAUAUAGACUAAAAGGGGGAAGGAAGGGGCUUUUUUUAAUCCUUUUUUUUAAAAAUAAAAUAAAAAUCAAAGACAUAUACUUGCUAUUUUAAAAAAUAAUGUUUUAUAAUGGAAAAUCUUAGCUCAUGCAUGACCUAAUUAUCUAGAUACGUUGCAAUAUUAUAAAUUUGAUCAGAUUUUGGUACAUUUAUAUGUAUUUGGGGUCAAAAUCAGGUUUAUUAAUUUUUUUUAGAUACAUUAUAUUUAAAUGGAUUCUCAUAGACAAAUAUUGAUACAUAGACAAAUCUUGCUCGCAUUUUUUCCUUUUUUGUUUUUCACUCUCCUGUCUUGCUCGCGUAUGUGGUACUCCAUAUACAUACAAAUCAUCCUAUAAUUAUAUAUCUAGUGUGAUUCGCAUAUGUUUAGGAUAUAUAGAUAAAUUUCGUCCGUCUCACUCCUGUUCUCGCUCAUCUUUUUCCUUAUUUCAGUGAACCUGGUAUCUAAAAACGUAACAUGUGUCUAGGUUAUUUGACUUAAAAUUUAAUAUAAAAUUAUUAAUUAGUAAGAUAAAAUGUAAUUAUUUUCCAAGAGAGAGCUUUCAAGAGCUUUUACAAAGUAAGAGGGAGAAAUUUUUCUAACUAACUGCUGAAAAUGCAACUCCUACACUAUAUCAAAGGCUCAUUUUUGGAGCCUUUGAUAUAGUGUAGGAGUUGCAUUUUCAGCAGUUAGUUAGAAAAAUUUCUCCCUCUUACUUUGUAAAAGCUCUUGGAAGCUCUCUCUUGGAAAAUAUUGGAAAAUUGGCCUUGCUGCCUCCCAACACUUGGUUGUCUUUCUUGCUUUCAUUCUUGCUCUUUAUUUUCUGUUUUGUGGCUUUGCUUGUGGACUCUUGCUUUAGAUUCUUUGGGCGUUUGGUUGGACUGAAGUUAGAAGAGUUGUGCAAGCCCUCUUGACUGUCCUUCACGGUGCUGAAAAAUUCACCCCGUGACAAGUUGAGAGAAUAGUGAAUAUGAACUACUGAGAUAAAAGUCAUUUGUUUGAUUAAAUAAGUUAUCAAUUGUUAUUUCUGUUAUAAAAGGUAAUUUUAGAUUUAAAACCCGCAUAAAAUAUUCUUUUAUUAAAUAAAAAAAUAUUUUUGAACUAUUUAUGGUACAUUCAGUAUAAUACAUUACGCUUUGCUUGGACGAUUGACAUUGUUACCCGUUGCAUUGUAUCUUAAUAAUAUAUUUAUUUUGAUUGCUACUUAAAUUUCAUUGUAUUGUUAGAUAAAUAUAAUAAUCAAUUUUUGUGUGCUUAUGUCGUUACGUUAAUAUAUUUUUAAUUUUAAUUUUAUUUAUUAUUUAAUAAUUAAAUUUCAUCUUUUAUUCUACUUUCUCAUAAUAGCUCUACCUCAUACCUUACUUUUUUUCGUAGACCUAUCAUGUAAAUUAUAUAUAUGUAUCAUUAUGCAAUGAAAAUGUUACAAUCUAAAUAUUAUAUUUAUCAAAAUACUACAGUAUAAAAAUAAUAUAAUAUAUUACCAAAUAAUACGUAAUACAAGCCAAAAGAAGUAAGCUAUCAACAUCAAAAUCCACAGAAGAUAAAGAAAUAGAUUUGUCUGAUUAACAAAAUAACUUUUAAAUAUUUUCUUUGGGUUAUGAAAGUCAAAGCAAGAACAGAUCAAGCAAGAUAUAUAUGUUUAUUCAUUCAUUUCUUUAAUCAAACAAUAAUUUUUUUUUGUCUACUCAUUGAUGUUUCCACUUUAAUCAUGGAUAAGAUUAUAAAUACUUUUGAUUAAAUUGUAUAAUGAUUAUAUUAGGUAUAAUAAUGCAAAAAUGUUAGUUGAAUUCCCAUUAAUGAAAAUUGGACGGUAUAUAGAAAUAAGUAUUAUUUUGGUAAAAUAAAUAGACCAUUUUAAAAUAAGUGUAAUUUUAAAUUUUUAGGACAAAUAGUGGUAAUUAUUUUGAACUACUACUUAACAAUGUUGGAUUCUAAAUAAAUAUGGAUAAAUUAUAUUUUUUUUUUCAUUUCGAUUUGUUUGUCCUAUUUUAUUUUAUUUAGUUCGUCCUUAAAAUGAUUGUCUCUUUCAUUUUUCUUGGAAACUUUUAAUUCUAACUUUUUUAUAUAACAUGUUUAAGAUCACAAAUCAAAAUAAAUUUUAAUAUAUUUAAAAUCAUAAAAUUAAAAAAAUACUUUUUUAAACUUUAUGUCAAAAUAAAAUAUAAAAAAUAAAAUAAAACGAAAAAUAUUAUUUUAUAUUUUUAUUUUAAUGAAUAUAUAAUAAAUAAAAAUGAUAUUUAUUUUGAGACGACUAAAUAAUGAUUCUUUCAUGGUGUCUAUGUCACCCAGAUCUUGUAUAAAAUUUAUUAUCUGAAAUAUCAUCGGUGACAUCAUGACAACUAAUUCUCAAGUAUGAACUACUCAAUGUAAGUAAAAUCUGAAUAUUUAAUAUUUUGGGAAAUAUUAGUUAAGGCAUUUGAUCAUGAAAAUAUAACAUAUAUAUUUUAUUUAAAAUAAAAAAGUUCAAAGUCACAAGCGAAAAUAAUAAGUUGUUCGUUUUUUAUUUAUUGGAACACAUUUUUUUAAAAAAAUUAAUAAGUUGUUCAUUUAAUUAUUUUGUUGAAAAACAUUUUUUGUUUUAAACUAAUUGUAAAUAAUUUUGUUUUCUAAUACAAUAAUUCAAUUGUUAUAGUCAUCAACAUCAUAUAUUUAUUGCUAAGUCACCAUACCACGUCUCAACAAAUCUAAGUUGUCACCAUUAUUAAUAUUUUAUUUAUAUACAUAAAUAUUCAACUUGGAGAUAAUAAUUUAUGCCCCAAAGUUCAACUAUAUAAAGACUUCCGUUUAUAAUUCAUUAUCCAUCAAAAAAAUUUCAAUAAUACUUCUAUUUCUAUAUUAGAGAACAAUUUUAUUAUAUUUUCUUUUAAAAAAUGGGUUUAAAAGGAAAGUUAAUUUCCGAAAUAGAAAUAAAAGGUUGCAAGGAUUUAUUUCAUGAAAUAUUUUGUGAAAAACCACACCAUCUUCCAAAUAUUGUACCACAAACUAUUCAAGCUGUUGAUUUACAUGAAGGUGAUUGGGGUACUGUUGGCUCCGUUGUAAAUUGGAAUUAUACUAUCGGUAAUAUUUUCAUUUUGAUUAACGACUAUUAAUAACAGUUUUUCUCUAUUUAUAAUCGAAAAAUAAGACUCUAAAUAAAGCGUUAAACAUAAAGGAUUACUUUUGUAUACCAAACAACAAAUUUACUUUUCAUUGAGCCAAUAAUAAUAUUUAUUUGUAUUCUUGAUUAUGUUCAUUUAUAAAUAGAAAAUCUCAAAAAAUAUACAUUAUAUUUGGAGAAAAAUAUUACAUUUAAUGUAUCAUUUUUUUUAUAAAUAUGUAACUUUCCAUCUCUUUUUUUUUCCACAAAAAAUAGAGGGGCAGGAAAAAGUUGUAAAGGUGGUUGUUGAUGACAUAAACAAGGAAAAAAGGUUAGUGACAUUCAAGGCAUUUGAAGGUCAUUUGAUAGAGGAAUACAAGGCCUUCAAAGCAACUCUUCAUAUUGAGAAUGAAGGAGAUAACAACUUGGUUAUAUGGACUAUUGAAUAUGAAAAGCAAAAUGAAGAAAUUCAAGAACCCUUCUCUUAUUUGCAAUUAGCCACUAAUCUAACCAAAGAUGUUGACACUCAUCAUGUCAAUCAGUAAUAUCUAUGUUGUUCAGACUCUUUAUAUAUGUGGACGAGUGUUUCAAUAGUAAUGCAAUUCAUCAUAAGUGUGGUUUGGUAUGUGUUUGAAGAAUCACAAAGUAAUAUGUUGUGAAUAAUGGAUUUCCAUGUUCUCUUUGAAAGAGGUGGUUGCUUGUUGAUGUUUGUGGUUCCCAUAAAGAUGUAGUUUUCUUUGUUGUAUUAUCAUGAAAUAAAUUGUACUAUUUAGUUUCUUCAAGAACAAAUUUUAUUUAUUUGAUUUGACUUUGUGAUUGAAGUGAGUUGAAACUCUAGGUUUCUCUGUUUUGAUAAGAUUUUAUGUCAUCGAAAAUUUCAAAAAUGAGCAAGAGUAAAAAUAUAAUAAGGUUUCUUUGUUAUAGUUUGCUUAAUAACGAUUUGUAACUACAUGUUAGAGUCAGGGUCAACUAGCUCCAUACAUAACGUCUUUGACGAACGUUCAUGAAAAAUUUGGACAAAAAAAAACGUUGAAAUUUCGGUCCACCAAAAUUUCAUAGACUAUAGUACACGAAAAUCGAUAAAAUGGGGUAUACCUACUUUGGGGCUCGUUUGACCUUAAAAAUGAGUCGUUUUGACCGUCAAGGCCAAGUGUCUCAAUAUCUAACGUCUCAACGGACGUCCACAAAAAAUUUAGGCGAAAAAGACGUCAGAAUUCCGAAUCAUAAAAAAUCCAUGGACUAUAGCACAAGAAAAUCGGUAAAAUGAGGGGUUUACCUGCUUUGGGGCUCGUUUCACCUUCAGUAUGAGUCAUUUUGGCCGUCAGGGCUAUCUAACUCCAUAGCUAACGUCUUAAUGGACGUCCACAAAAAUAUUUGGUCAAAAGAGACGUCGAAAUUCUAGAUCUCCAAAAAAGAUCGUGGACUAUAGCACACGAAAAUCGAUAAAAUAAGGGAUUUAGUAGCUCUGGGGCUUGUUUGACUUUCAAAAUGGUCCGCUGUGUCCGUCAGUGCCAACUAGCUCCAUUAAUAACUUCUUAACGAAUGUUCAUUAAGAAUUUGGGCAAAAAAGACAUCGAAAUUCCACAUCACCAAAAAUGCAUGGACUAUAGUACAUGAAAAUCGGCAAAAUGAGUUAUACUUGCUUCAUGGUAAUGUGAUGGACCUAAAAUCACGUUGAGGGGACUUGUCUCAACAGGCUUACGAGCUAUCAAAACUAAUGUGGACUUUGCCAAGUGAAGCACAAAUGGGAAGAAUAUAAUUCAUAUAGGCCAUUCCAGCGACUAAAGUCAUUCCAAAAGUUCUUUUUUUUGGUCUGAAUUCUGAUUAAAGUGCAUUCUAUGCAGAACAAGAAAGUAUACCUCCCUUAUUAAAGUCAUUCCUCUUUUUCAUGGUCUCAUGAUUCGCGUCGUGCAAGGCCAAAUAUAAAAGAAAAAGUGUAGGUGUUUUUCUACAUAGGAUUUGAACUCGUUACAUUUGUUGAAGAGAUUUUAGUCAUUCGAUCAUAACUCUUUAUUGGUUAAUAGAGGAGAAUUACACAACAAUAUUUCCCUCCAUUCUAUUUUUGUGUCAUAGAUCAUUGAAACUGUGUUCUUAAAUAACUUUCUGUGACUAAUUUUUUGUUUUUUUUAGCUCUACGACCUAAUUGCAAUAAAAAUCAAUAUAUAUAUAUAUAAAUGAGGAGGUGAUGUGGCACUCUAUAUGGCCUCCAUUUGUAUUUAGCUUUUUCCAUCUUUUUCUUUUAAAAAAAAAUAUAUAUCAUAAGAAAUUACUAAAUUUAUUACAAAUAAAAAUAUUUUAUUAAUGGUAGGUCAUUUAUAACAAAAACUCUUCAUAUUUUUUAUUUAUUUAUCUCACUUAUAAUUAAAAGAGAAACAUAAUUUAUUUAUUUUUGGGAUAAUGUCCAAGUACCUCCUCAACCUAUGUCCGAAAUCUCAGAGACACACUUAUACUAUACUAAGGUUCUAUUACCCCCCUGAACUUAUUUUAUUAAUAAUUUUUUACCCCUUUUUAGCUUACGUGGCACUAUCUUGUGGGCCCAAUGAUGAUUGACUUUUUUUUCGAACUAGUGUCACGUAGGCUUAAAAGGGGUAGAAAAUUACAUAUAAAAUAAGUUCAGGGGGAUAAUAGGACCUUAGUAUAGUAUAAGUGUGUCUCUGAGAUUUCGAGCAUAGGUUGAGGGGGUAUUUGGGUAUUUUCCCUUUAUUUUUUACUUUUUUAAUUUAAUUUAAUUAUUUUAUUGUAAAAAUAUAUUACUUCAUUUAUACAAAUAUACAAAUAAAUACUUUAUUAAUAUAUGAACAUUUAUAAUAAAAAAAAAAACUCUCUAUAUUUUUUUUCUAUUUGUAUAUCUCACUUCUAAUCAUGAAAUCAUAGUAUUUUUUUUUUUUUUACAUUUUAAGUAUUUUUAUUUUUAUUUUUGAAUUUAUUCGCUAGGAGUUACUACCCAUGACUUGCCCCUCUUUAAUUUUUACUUUUAAUAAUAUUCAUGACUCUCAUAAUUUUUAUAUUCAUAACCUCCAAUUUAAAUUUAUAAGUUUAUGUGUCUUAUGGAAUUCCUUUAUUUUGCCUAUAAAUUUGUAUUAGUUUCAUGAAGAUUCACAUUCACAAGUUUUUUUUUCAAUCAUAUAAGUUUGAUUUGUAACAAAAAAAGAAGUACAUGAAGGUAAGAAAUACUUCAUUGAAAUUUUUAUUUUUUAUUUCCUCUAUUUUUGUCUAUAUAAAUUCGUAUUUGAUUUGUGAUGGAAAUUAAUAUGUAACCAAAAAAUAGUACAUGAAGUCAAUAAAUAUAUCAUUCUCAAGUCCUUAUUUUUUCAUUUCCUUUAUUUUGUCUAUAUAGAUUCAUAUUUAUUUUCAUGAAGAUUCACAUACAAAGUUAUAAUUUCUCUUCUUCAUAAUACUUGUUUGGGAAUUAGCUAACAUGUAACAAAAAAAAAGUAUAUGAAAGUAAGAUAUAUUUCAUUCUUAAGUCUUUCUUUUUAUUUUUAUGUACUUAUACAUGCUUUAUUAAUAUAUAUCUUUAUGUUUGUAUUAUAAUUUAUCAAGUAAGUAUGAUUAAAAAAAUCUCUUUAAUUCUUAACAAUGUUUUAUCCGUAUGCAAUUACUCUUUCUAAUAGUUAGUUUUCCAUAUAUAAUAUAGUUUGAUUAUAAUAUUUGUUAGAUUUCAAGAAAUAAUUAUUAUUUAGUAUUGUUAUUACUAUUGAAAAGAUAAUGUAUAAAUAUAUUAAAUAUGGUUUAUAUUUCGUUCUUUCUUUUGACAUAAUUAUUUUUAAUUCGUAUAUUUUUUUUAUUUAGUUGGUUGCAUAUAUGAAGAGUUUGACAUAUGAAUCAAAACAUGAUGGCGGAUAUCUUUGCAAAGAAAGAUGGUACAAGGAAAAAAAAUGAAGCAUAAUUAGAGAUUAUUUUUUCACUCUGAAAUUUAUUAGCAACUUAGUUACUUUUGCUAGAGUUUUUAAAAUUUUAAUUUAUGUAAAAAAUAAUUUAGCUAAAUGUAUUAUAUUAUCAAUGCUAAUCAUUUGAUCCUUUAGUAUUCUAUUUUCUCUUUGUUAUGAAAAAAAUAAAUAUAAUUAUUUCAUUUUAACAAUAACAAAAUUUAUGAUGAUUAGUUUCACUUUUAUUAUAACUUAUAAAAAGUAAUUGAAAAAUAUAUUAUUAUUUUUAUGAUGUCAUUUUUUGCGUAUGUAACAAUCUGCUGUCGUUCUUUUUGCUUUGAAAUGUAUUUAUAAUUUUUAUGUAGUCACCAAUUAUUAUAUUUUCUCUGUUCAUUUUUUAUUUUUUACACCUUAUUUUUAUUUUUUUAUUUUACAAAUAAAAUCAAUAUAUAUAUAUAAAUGAGGACCAUAGACAAGGUGAUGUGGCACCUCUCUAUGGUCUCCAUUUGCAUUUAUUUCCCCCCCCCCCCCCUUUUUUUUUAAAUAAAUUAAUUAUUAUAUCAUAAAAAGAAUUACUAAAAUUUAUUACAAAUAAAUAUUUUAUUAAUGGAGGAUCAUUUAUAAAAAAACUUCUUCAUCUUUUUUAUUUAUUUAUCUCACUUAUAAUAAAAGGAGAAAUAUAAUUUAUUUAUUUUUAACUUUUUAAAUUUAAAUUAAUUAUUUUAUCAUAAAAAUAUAUGACUAUAUUUAUACAAAUAAAUAUUUUAUUAAUGUAAAAACAUUUAUAAUUCUCUAUAUUUUUCUCUAUUUGUUUAUCUCCCUUCUAAUCAUGAAAUCAUAAUAAUUUCUUUUUUUUACAUUUUAAGUAUUUUUAUUUUUAUUUUUUAAUUUAUUUACUAGGAGUUACUAAUCAUGACUUGCCCCUCUUUAAUUUUUUCUUUUAAUAAUAUUCAUAACUUUCAUAAGUUUAUGAUGUCUUAUGGUAUUCCUUUAGUUUGCCUAUAAAUUCAUAUUAGUUUAUGAAGAUUCACAUUCACAAGUAUCCUUUCUCUUUUCAUCAUAUAAGUUUGGUUUGUAACAAAAAAAGAAGUAUAUGAAGGUAAGAAAUAUUUCAUUGCAAAUUUUUAUUUUUUAUUUUCUCUUUUUUUGUCUAUAUAUAUUAGUAUUUGGUUUGUGAAUGAAACUAACAUGUAACAAAAAAAAUUAUAUGAUGUUAAUAAAUAUAUUAUUCUCAAGUCCUUAUUUUUUUUAUUUCCUUUAUUUUGUCUACAUAGAUUCAUAUUUAUUUUCAUGAAAAUCCACAUAUAAAGUUAUAAUUUCUUUUCUUCAUCAUACUUUUUUGUAAAUUAACUAACAUGUAACAAAAAAAAAGUAUAUGAAGGUAGGAUAUAUUUCAUUCUAAAGUCUUUCUUUUUAUUUUAUGUACUAAGACAUGUUUUCUUAAUAUAUAUUUUUUAUGUUUGUAUUAUAACUUAUCAAAUAAGUAUAAUUAAAAAAAUCUCUGUAAUUCUUAACAAUGUGUUGUCUGUAUGCAAUUACUCUUUCUAAUAGUUAGUUUUCCAGAUAUAAUAUAGUUUGAUAUAAUAUUUGUUAGAUUUCUAGAAUAAUUAUUAUUUAGCAUUGUUAGUACUAUUGAAAAGAUAAUAUACAAAUACAUUAAAUAUAGUUUUAUUUCGUUCUUUCUUUUGACAUAAUUAUUUUUUAUUGGUAUAUGAUUCAGUUGGUUGCAUAUAAUAAGAGUUCGACAUAUGGAUCAAAAUAUGAUCGGAUCUCUUUGCAAAGGAAGAUGGUAGAAGGAAAAAAAAUGAAGCAUAAUUAGAGAUUAUUUUUUCACUUUGAAUUGUAUUAGCAACUUAGUAACUUUUGUUAGAGUUUUUUAAAUUUUGAUUUAUAUAAAUAAUUUAACUAAAUGUAUUAUUGUCAAUGUUAAUCAUUUGAUCCUUUAGUAUUCUACUUUCUUUUUGUUAUGAAAAAAAUUAAAAUAAUUAUUUCAUUUUAACAACAACAAAAAAAAUUAUGAUGAUUAGUUUCAUUUUUAUUUUAAUUAGAAAAAGUAAUUAAAAAUAAAAUAUUAUUUUCAUGAUGUCAUUUUUGUGUAUGUAACAAUCUGCCACUGUUCUUUUUGUUUCGAAAUGCAUUUAUAAUUUUUAUGUAAUCACCAAUUAUUAUAUUUUCUCUGUUCAUUUUUUGUAUUUUCACCUCUUAUUUUUAUUUAUUUAUUUUACAAACAAAAUCAAUAUAUAAUUAGUAAUACAUUUAUUGUCAAAUAAAAUUAUACAUUUGAAUUAUUUAUAACUUAUGUCUCUUCAUCUUGCUUGUAACAUUUGAUAUUAAAUAUUAUUCAUAACUUUUGUAUGUUUUAUUUUUUCGUAAGUCUUAUAAAUAUUUAAUUAAUGUUUAAAAAAUUAUAAUAAGCAAAUGUAAUAGUAAAAUUAAAAAAAAUCAAUUUUGUUUUGACGAAAUCAGAGUUUGAACAGAACAUUAGUAUUGCUACAAAAGAUAGAACAUUAGUACUCUUACAAAAGAUAUAGAAAAUUAAAACAUAUAAAAUAUUUUCAAUCGAAUACAAUAUAUUGUUGUUUCAACAUAUUAUCUCUUAUUCCAUUUAUUUCACCAUGAUGAAUAUUUUGUUCUAAUAUAUAUAUAUAUAUAUAAUAAAUAAAUAUAUUUUAUAUGUUUUAAAAAAGUCUAUGAUAUCGCAGACGAGUAGAAAUAUUAAUAUUAUUUAUACAUUCGAUACUAACCUAAAUAUUACAUAUUUCAUAUUAUUAUCUUAUAAAUAUUUUUUAAAAUUGCGCGAAGCGCGAAUAGUUUCACUAGUGAUUAUAAAGAUCAAAGAGGAUGAAUGUUACAAGAGGACAAUCAUAUUCCUAUAAAGAAUUUUCUUCGCUUUAGUUGAAAUUAUUGUCAUCAUUAUAGGUUCAAUAAAAACUUAAUUGUUUUUUAAAAUAUAUAUAUAUAUAUAUAUAUAUAUAUAUAUAUAUAUAUAUAUAUAUAUAAAUCAUCUAUUUUGGAAAAUUAGUAAAUUAUUCUAUUUUAUAUUUCAAAUUUUAUAUAUUUAAAUUCUAAAUUUACUUCUAUCUACACUACUUAAUAUCUAAGAGUAGGAUUUAAUCAUCAUAAAUUAUUAUUGUGUGAUUUGAUAUUUAGGACAUCAAAAUAUUAGACCACAAUCGAAGAUGAGAUAAUAACAAUGUAAUUUGGUGGUUGAUAGUUCACCCGCAACUCUUAAUCAAAGACUUUUUUUAAAAAAAAAUUAUUAAAAUUUGAUUAAUCGAAUCGAUGAAUUAUUUUUUAAAAAGUUAAAUAUUGUAUUGUGGUCUGACAUUAGAAUUAAAGUUGAUGUCUUUUUCAUUCUUUUCUUCUUCAUUCUAUUGCAUUAUAUCACUCUCCACUUGUCUUUUCUUUUCUUACAAAGUUUCUAUAACAUAUGCUUAACUUCAUCUCUUUCCCAUUCUAUUUAUGUGAGUUUUAACUUGACAACAAACAUCAACUAGAAGUUUUGGUAGAUAAAGGUAUGUUUUUCCAUCUUAUUUUAUAUACUUUAGCAUAUAUAAUCAACUGAAUUUGAAGAAUGCUGAUGAAUUAUUGAUUUAUGUUACUUAAAAAAUAAAAAAAUAUAUUUAUAAUGAACUAUUAAUAUCGAUCAUUGAUCCAAUUUUAAGUAUUAGAUAAGCAACCAAAUUGUUUCCUCAUGUAUUAAGGUUCAUGCCCUUUUUUGUCACAAUCUUUUUUUUUCCCCAUCUUUUUACUUGAAAGCUAAAUAAUUUAGAUUGUUUGAGUUUGUAUGAUCAGUAAAAUAUUUGUGAUAUUUAUUAUCUCAUAAUUUUAUAUGAUUGAUAAAAUAUAUUUAAAAAUAAAUUGUGAUAGAAACUUAACGAUGUUUAAUGAGUAAUUAUUGUCUAGAUGUUGCAUAUCUCAAUGAUUUGCAAACCUAUUUGUCUAUUUUCUCAUAUAUAUUUUUUUGAGUUCCCCCACCCCUAUUUUCCUAUUGAAAUGAAUUUUAAUUAAUUAAAUGCAAUUUCGAGUCCUUAACCGUUUCCUCUAAUUAUGAAUUUUUUCUAGAAUGUUCCUAAUAAAAACAAAAAGUAUGAACAAAAAUUAAAAUAAAAAGCUUCCUCUAUAUGCUAAUACCAUCCUUUCGUCCCAAAAAUUCUGGAAAAUUCUGAAGUUUAAAGCCAUUAGCAAUGCCUUGCUCAUUCUUUCGUCCCGAAAAUUCUGAAGUUUGAAGCCAUUAGCAAUGCCUUGCUCACCCUUUCGUCCCAAAAAUUCUGGGAAAUUCUGAAGUUUGAAGCCAUUAGCAAUGCCUUGUUCACCUUUCGUUCCAAAAUUUCUGGGAAUUCUGAAGGUCAAAAUUUGAAGCCAUUAGCAAUGCCUUGCUCAUUCUUUCGUCCCGAAAAUUCUGAGAAAUUCUGAAGUUUGAAGCCAUUAGCAAUUCCUUACUCACUCUUUCGUCCCAAAGAUUCUGGGAAAUCUGAAGCCGUCAAAUUUUGAAGCCAUUAGCAAUGGCUUGCGGAAUUUGUAAAACACUGGGUAUUAUUCAGUGUGUAGCUCCUUGUAUUUUUGAAAAAUAUUAUGUAGCAGAAACACUCGAUACAAUGGUCCGUCAUUACGGGUAUAACCUGUUGAAAGAAGUAGUAACAAAAAAACAUGCGAGUGACCCUGUGGAUUUGGAGGUUUGGAUACGUCUCAGAAUAGUAGAUAUUGAAAAAAUUAAUGAAUUGUACAGAUUCAGUUCAGGGAAAUCAGCGUAAGGUUUUGAACAUAAUUAUAUAGUUUUUUGUUUAUGUUAAUGUAUAUAUUUAUAUAUAUAUUUUUUUUAAUUUAGAUAUCCAAUUCCGGAUGGAGAUCUGCCGGAUUGCGGUUCCGGUUCCGAUUCCGAUCCGGAUUUACCUCCAGAUAACGGAGCUCAUCAAAAAGAUCGAGUGGAAAAAGCUCGGGGAAAAGCUUCUGCUGAUGUUGGAGGUUCUUCUGCGGAUCCUGUUCAAGGAGUAGCUUCAAAUGCUCCGGCUCAAGCUCCGACUCCGGUUGAAGGAGCAGCUUCAAAACCUCCCGCUCAAGCUCCGACUCCGGUUCAAGGAGCAGCUUCAAAAGUUCCGGCUCAAGCUCCGACUCCGGUUCAAGUAGCAGCUUCAAAUGCUCCGGCUCAAGCUCCGACUCCGGUUCAAGUAGCAGCUUCAAAUGCUCCGGCUCAAGCUCUUGCUGCAGCUUCAAAAGCUCCGGCUCCGGUUCAAGAAGUAGCUUCAAAAGCUCCGGCUCCGGUUCAAGAAGUAGCUUCAAAAGCUCCGGCUCAAGCUCCGACUCCGGUUGAAGGAGCAGCUUCAAAAGCUCCGGCUCCAGUUCAAGGAGCAACUUCAAAUGCUCCGGCUCAAGCUCCGACUCCGGUUCAAGGAGCAACUUCAAAACCUCCGGCUCAAGCUCCGGCUCCAGUUCAAGGAGCAGCUUCAAAUGCUCCGGCUCAAGCUCCGACUCCGGUUCAAGUAGCAGCUUCAAAUGCUCCGGCUCAAGCUCCUGCUCUGGCAGCUUCAAAAGCUCCGGCUCAAGCUCCGGCUCCGGUUCAAGGAGCAGCUUCAAAAGAUCCGCCUCCUGGGAAAGAUAAUCUUCUAAAAACAAAAAUAUCAGGUACAUUCGAAAUUUUUUUGUAGAUAGACGUGCUUGCGUGUUAAAAUUUGGUAUUAUAACGGUAAAAGUCUGUUAGGAUGCUAAGGGGAAAAAAGACAUUGUUUAAUAUUUUUUAUUUUUCACUGUUCCUGUUAGUUCUUGCUUGUUCUGCUAAUUAUUCAUAACGUUUCCAGUGUUCCUGCUAGUUCUGCUAGUACUUCCUAACAAUGAUACUUUUCUAAAAUGUAGGUUGUUCAUCUUCUGCUCCUGAUUCUGAUCCUGUUCAAGGAGCAAAAACAGGUCCAUUCGAAAAACGUUUCUACUGUUCCUGCUAGUUCUUCAUAACAAUGAUUCGCAUGUUGUUCAUUCUAGAUAGAUUUGCUUUUGCGUCUUAAAAUUUGGAAUUAUAACAGUAAAUGCCUGCUAGGAAGCGAAGGGAAAAAAACGUUGUUCAAUAUCUUUCAUUUUUCACUUGAUAAGUAAAAAGAUCCUUUAAUCGCAUCAUCAUGUUUACCAUUCUGCUAAAAUAGGUUGAUGAAUUUCUUGAAUUGAAUUUUAAAAAUCCUCUGUGAAAUACGAAAACUGUAUGAUGGUGUUCUUGUUGAGUCGACUUUAUGCUAUUUUACCUGAGGUUGUCUUGUGUUAGACAUGAUUCCUUCAAGGCUGUCCAGGUUAAACAAGAAACUCUGAGGGGUUGCCUAGUUUUCCAGACAUGUUUCCAAGGCCAAAUUAGUAGAAUGCCAUUCUGGGAGCUCAAUUUUUUGUAACAUUCUUUCACAGUGUAGGUCUUCUCCUUAGAAUUACCCAAAGAAUCUUGUCUUGAUCUUCGACCACCAAUGUAGUGUUUUGCAGAGUUUCUAAGAGGGAAAAGAGGUCAUUAAUCUCCCAAUCCUGGAAGUUCCUUCUGAAAAUAGGUGUCCAAUGGUUGUUGUCUCUGUACUGGGCUAUAGUUGCUUCUUUGUUGGAGGCUAUCUGGAACAAGGAGGGGAAAUAGUCUUUUAGCCUAGAGUUCGCAAGCCAUCUGUCUUGCCAAAAUCUGAUCUUGAGUCCAUUACCAGCCUUGAAGGAUACUUCCUCAAAGAAAUUAUCUUUGAAAUUGCUUAUGUGUUUCCAGACCCCAACACCAUGGGGUUCAGUGCUUUCCAUUGGACACCAGUGUUCUUGAAUGCCAUAUUUAGCCUUGAUGAUGUCUCUCCAAAACCCAACCUCAGUCUGUCCAUAUCUCCAGAGCCACUUCAUGAGUAAGCUCUUGUUGUGAAGUUGGAGAUUUCUGAUUCCCAAGCCUCCUUGAAACUUAGGUUGAGUUACCGAUUUCCAUUUAACUAGAGAGUACUUGCGAGUGAAACUAUUUCCUUCUCAUAGAAAUCUCCUUUUGAGCCUAUCUAUUUGUUUGAAGAUUGAACCUGGUAUUGGAAAUAGAGACAUGCAGUACGUAGGAAUACUAUCUAGUACACUGUUGAUGAGAGUGAGCCUACCUCCCAUAGAGAGGUAUUGCAUUUUCCAUGUAGCAACUCACUUUUCUAUUUUUUUCAAUAACUCCAUUCCAAAUUCCAGAAGAUUUGAAACUUGCCCCCAAGGGAAGACCUAGAUAGGUGGUGGGUAACAAUCCUAUUUUGCAACUAAGUAUGCCAGCAAAUUCCUCUAGAUUGUCCACCUGAUUAACCGGAUAUAUAGCACUUUUGAGCAUGUUAAUAUAGAGUCCGGAGAUGGCUUCAAAAACUAUAAGGGUGGUGUUUAGAUUGGAGACUUGUUGCCUGUCAGCUCCACAAAAAAUGAGAGUGUCAUCCGCAUAAAGAAGGUGAGAUACAUUGACAGUGGUGGCUGGAUUGCUGCCUACUUGAAAUCCUUGAAUCCAUUGAAGUUCUUUAGCCCUAGCUAGUAACUGAGAUAGUCCUUCCAUAGCCAGAAUGAAUAGAUAAGGAGAGAGUGGAUCCCCCUGCCUCAACCCCUUUUGAGUAGAGAAAAAUCCAACUGGACUUUUGUUGAUCAAAACUGAGAACUUCACUGUUGAAAUGCAGAAAUAUAUCCAUCUUAUCCACCUAUCACCAAAUUUUAUUUGUUUCAGUAUAUUAACUAGAUAGGCCCAGUUAAGUUGGUCAAAAGCUUUCUCUAUGUCCAAUUUACAUAAGAUCCCAGACUCACCACUCUUGAUUCUCCAGUCUAGCCCCUCAUUAGCAAUCAAGGAUUCAUAAGUUAUUUGCCUAUUCUUUAAAAAAGCACUCUGCUGCCCCGAGACUAAAAAAUUCAUCACCCUUUUCAUCCUCUCUGCUAGGAUUUUAGCCAACAACUUAUAGACACUACCUAUGAGGCUUAUAGGCCGAUAGUCUUUAAGCUCUACAACACCUUUCUUCUUUGGGAUUAGAGCAAUAAAAGAAGCAUUACAAGACCUCACCAUUUGGCAAUUCUGGUGAAAGAAAUUGAAAGUUGCUAGUAUAUCCUCUUUAAUGAAGCACCAUGAUUUUUGGAAGAAAGCCAUGGUAUAACUAUCAGGUCCUGGGGCUUUGUCAGGGGCACAAGCCAUAAGAGCAUUAGGGAUCUCCAGUUCAGUGGAAGGAAGUUCAAGUUCCUCCUUUUCUUCUAUACUUAGGGUGGACAUGUUCUCAAAAACAGCUGAGGGUCUCCAGGAUUCAGCUUCCUUGUCUAUUUGUUGAUAAUACUCCACAAUGCCAUUCUGUAUCCUUCCUUUAUCUUCAAUCAGUUCAUCUCCUAUUCUCAGUCUGUCAAUGGAAUUACCCCUUCUAUAUGAAUUGGUCAUUCUCUGAAAGAACUUUGUGUUCUUGUCCCCCUCUUUAAGCCAUAAGCAUCUAGAUUUUUGCCUCCAUGAGAUCUCUUCAGCUGUUGCAAUCUGUUGAAGUUGCAGUUUCAGAUUGAAGGACUGUGUUUUCUCUUGUGUUGAAAGGGUUCUGAGUUCAGCUAAAUGAUCCAACUUCCCUAAUUCCAAAAGAGCUUUAGUUCUUUGGCUUUCAAUUUUUCCAUAUACCUCCCUGUUCUACUUAGAAAUAUCUUUCUUUAGGUUUCUGAGUUUCUGCAACAGAACAAAGUCUGUGGUUCCCUGAAUGCUGUAGGACUGCCACCAUCCUUUUAUCAUAUCAAUGAAGCCUUCUGCUUGAAGCCACAUGUUUUCAAAUUUGAAGUAGGAUGGUGAUGCCUCCCAAUCUCCACUUUCCAGGAUGAUGGGUUUAUGAUCUGAAAAUACUCUUGGCAUUGUGUAUUGUUUGAUAGCCCUGAACAUCUCACUCCAUUCUGAUGAAUAAAGAAACCUGUCAAUUCUUUAGGCUUGGAGUGUCUCCUCCCCUCUUGACCAGGUGAACUGUGCUCCUUGGAGAGGAGGAUCAAUCAAUUCAAGAUCCAAAAUGGUAUUGGAGAAACCCUGCAUAGCACUGGAUCUUCUAUUACAGUUUAGCCUUUCAUCCUCGAAUCUACACACAUUGAAGUCUCCUCCUAUGGCCCAUAGAUCAGACCACAACCCCCUGAUUGAUGCUAACUCCAACCAAAGGUCCAUAUACUCCGGUGAAAACCCAUUUGAAGUCUUCAGAGGUGCUCUCAAAUCUACAUGACAGGGAGAAGGCCCCUGCCUCCAACUCAACACAAUUCCAAGCUCUUUUGUCCCAUAAAAUUAACAGUCCACCUUUGGUGCCAAUUGCUUUGAAUUCUGCCCAGGAGAGACAGUUAUUCCCCCAUAUUUGUCUGAUUAGAGAUGGAUUCCAAGACUCUAUUUUGGUUUCCUGUAAACAAACAAUGUCUUCUCCCCACUUUUGGAUAAGAAAUUUCAAAGUACUUCUUUUAUCUUUAUUAUUGAGACCCUGUACAUUCCAAUUGAGUACUUUAACUCUCAUCUGGAAUGAGAGUUGUGGUGCCUGCCCCUAUCUUUCUUUCCACUUCCAUCUUGGAGACCUCAAUCCAGUUUUUGAAGUUCAUUUGUUGCUUUGCUUUUCCCUUUUUUAGCGUCCCCAGACUUCUUCCCUUGUUCAAGAAUCUGAGUUUUCCUCUUUUCCUCCAUUCUUAAUAUAAUAUCCAGAAUUUCAUGCUCGAAACCUGAAACAUUUACCCCAAGCACUUUGCAAGCCUUCAUCAUAGUAAAUUUGGUCCAUUUUGAUGUUUCCACAACAGUAAGUGAAUCAACUGUUUGUGGUGAAUGAUCAUUAUGCCAUGGUAGAGGCAGAAAACUGUUGAGCGACUGGGAAGAGAGACUGGAACUGGAAUCGUACCCUGAGAUGGGAAUAGGAUCUUGUGUGUAUAUGCCCAAAGAAGGAGGAGAUAUUUCUGCUUCAUCAUCCGCUUCAAGCUGUGAAAAAACUCCUGCAUUAUGCUCCGAAUUCCGGUGUAGUAGCUUAAACUUCCAAAUCCAAAGCAUCAAAGGAUGUUGCACUGAAGGAAGUUGGCUUUGGCUAUGGAGGCUCUCCAUGAUUGCAUUCUAUUAUGUUCCUUGUGUUGCUUCCUUUUGUUUGGGCCUUUGGAAUAAUAAUCGUUAUUCCAGUCUAAAUAAGUUCUCCCAUGGUAGUGUUGGGCCGGUCAUUUAUAUUGAAAUUUAAAUAAGACUUGCCCUUUCUUUUGUCCACAGAUUCCUCACGUGGAUUUUUAAAUCUGAUAUCACGUGGGACUGAAUGGGACUCUGUUCCCAGCAGCUUUCCAACCCUAGCCAACUCAGGGUUUUGUCCAGUGGGUAAUGGAGAGGAACGGAUCUCCGAAAUUAAUGCCAAAUCGAACAACCAGCCAGCAAAUUCAAAAUUCAAACUCGCCGGGAAUUUCAUGACUGAAUUUUUGACACAGAUACGAGCCCAGAGAAAGUGGGAUCUGUUCUUUGUAUCUUCGUCAACUCCAAUAAAGCCUCCGCAUCUAUCCCCUAUAUGCUCGAAAGUGUCCAUGGUCCAAGCAUUUAAGGGAAUCCCAAAUACUUUUAGCCAGAUAUUUUCCGGUGGCUCCCCUGUCUGAGAGUUAAUAUUUUUUGACCACCACGACAGGCUGAGGUGCCUUCCGUUCCAGAACCAUUCCCCAGCUUUAACUCUUAUUGCUUCUUGUCUCGAAGGGAACUCGAAGAGGAAUUUAUUGUGGUCAAGGGGCGUGGCUUUGAAACCAGCAGUGACUUUCCAUCUAGAGAUGAACCAUUUUUUAAUUAACUCAGGGUUCGGGCUGAUGAAAAGGGUCAUUGAAAGUGCCGACUAAGCUUCUGUGGAGCGGAUGGUUGUCAUUGACUCCACCUAUGCUUGCUGGUUGGCUGAAUUCUGGCCAGCUUACUAUGCUAGCAGCAGCCCGAUAGGAUUUUGUCAAUGGAGACGGUAUUGGUGGUGGCCCUGACUUGUUGAAUUUCCCCAGAAAUCGAAUGAUUUUAGUCGCGAAAUCUGUCCACCCACUGUUAAAGCUCAUCUCCAGAAUGAUUACUGCAGAUUUAGAGGAGCCAUGCCAUACUUCAAUGCGAACGAAUCUGCCAUAUACGUUGAAGUUUUGAUAGACUCUGUAUAGGUUGUGCUGUUGUUUUCUACCCCACCUUCUGUAUAGUUGUCCAUAACCCUUUGAAGCUUGUAUUAGGAUCUCACAUACCCAUCUUAGAUUGUGUGGAUCUAAGAUUACCUUACUUGUAAAUCUCCUGCCUCUUUCUAUCAAUGAAAACCAGCUGAAAUGUGUAUCCCCUGUAUUCUUGAGUUCGAAAGAUUUAUCCCCGCUAAUGAAAAAGAGCUUUUCCUCUAUACUGAAAGAAAAUUCCGGUGGUCUAGUAGUGUUUUCCAAGGCUGGAAUAUCUUUCUAGUGCAGAGUAGUUUGUGUAGUUUCUCUUUGAUAUUUAUAUUUCACAACAACUUCAAAUAUUAAACUGUUUGUUAACCUUACGAGAAUAAAGUUUUUUUGGGGGAAUUAAGUAUUUAAACAUUUCUAGUGUUCCUGCUAGUUCUUCAUUAAAAAUGAUCCUUUUGUAAUGCAGGUCCCAUUCGAAAAACGUUUCUAGUGUUCUUGCUAGUUCUGCUAGUUUUUCCUAACAAUGAUUCUUUUUUAAAAUGCAGGUUGUUCAUCUUUUGCUCCUAAUCCCUGUUCAAGGAGCAACUAAAGGUAUCAUUCGAAAAAUGUUUCGAAUCUACUGUUCCUGCUAGUUUUUGCUAGUUUGCUAGUUUUUGCUAGUUUGCUAGUUCUUGCUAGUUUUGCUAGUUAUGUUCUUCAUCUUUUGCAGCUUAUCCUGAUCUAGUAGCUGUUCCAGCUUCACUUCCACCUCCACCGCCUUCUCCUCCAAAUCAAGUUCAAUCUGUUCAAACUCAUCUUUCUCAAGAUUUUUCAUUUGCUGCAGCUGAUCCAGCUGCAACUGUUGAUGAGUCUGUUGAUCCAGCUGCAGUUCAAGCUCCAACUCUUCAAAUUCCACCUUCUCAAGAUUUUUCAUUUGCUGCAGCUGGGCCUGCUCUGGAGGUUGAUGAUUCUAUUGUAGAAGGUGUUGUUAAUGUGGAUGAGUCUGCUGAUCCGGCCAGUUCAAGCUCCAUCAGUUCAAACUUUACCUUCUCAAGAUUUUUCAUUUGCUGCAGCUGGGCCUGCUCUAGAGGUUGAUGAUGCUGAUCCACCUCAACCACCUCCACCACCUGUUCAAACUCUUCCUCGGAGGUCGGUACGCUUGGCUGCUCAAGCUCCGGUACUUCCGAGGAGAUCGACACGAAUAGGUUUGCAGAGGCAGAAUACUGAGAUAGAUAAUAUGCGUGUCAUACGUCGGCCUCGUCGGCGUCAUCUUUGUCAUCCAUAUUGUACUUGUAGAAGAAGAAAUUGUCCAUGCUACCUAGCUAGAACGUAAAUAAUGACAUAGGAGAAAAAAGAGAGAUACAAGUCUAUUUUGUAGCUUCAAAACUUAGCUUUGCGUAUAUUCCACUCUUUCCAUGUAGUUCCACUCUUAUACGAAUAAAAUCUUCCUUUUUACUAUUGACUGGACGUGUUUGUUUCUUUCUAAGUUUAACUUUUAUGUAUUUAUGGCAGAUGAGAAGAUUUAAUCUUGCUUUAUAUAAUAAUUACUUGUUGAAUUUCCGGUUGUGCUGCGGUUGAGAGUCUGCUGGUUAUGAGGAAGCAUUAGUGUGUUUGUGGCAGAGAGUGAAUAUAUUGAAAUUUUCUUUGUAAGUUCUCUCCUUUAGCGUCUUCCAAAGUUUUUCAUUUGACAAAAUUAUAUCUUAUUGUAGUUUUACAUUUGUGUGAUAAUAGUCCUAAAUUAAAUGUUUUAUGAGAUAACUUCUACAUAGAAAGAAGAGACAAGAAGACACACAUUAUCUUAAUUUAGAUCUUGAGAAGUAAGGCCAAAAGAUCCCUCUCAUCAGUUGAAAUACGACGAGUUACAGAUGGAAAAAUGUGGUGGUGAGACUUGAAACCUCAACCUUGUUCUGGUAAUAUCUUGAAUUAUGUGCAUAGCCUCUUUAAAAAGCUUCAGCUGUAAGAGAGGGGACACUUAUAUUUCAUUUGAUUGUGUCGUAACAAAUAUACUUUUUAUCUCCAUCUGAUUUACCUAUAUUUUAUUUCAUUUUAUAUCUUUUCUUAGAACUACUGACCUUUAAGUCUAAAAACAUGCAUGUGCUCUCUCCCUCGUGCCAUAGAGUAAAUUAGUUUAUAGUCAAAUAUUUUUCUUGCAUGUAUGAAGCUCGUAUGAUUAGAAACAAUGCAACUCUAGUAUCUAUCCACUUCACAAGAAGUCCGAAAUGUGGAAUGCGGACUUCCAAUUUUUCAAGUAACUUGCUGUCCUCCUUUAUUUUGUCUUUGUUUCCUCCAAAAGUCUCUUGUCCCUCCAUUUGAUAUAUUCCACAUUCCUUGUCUCUGCUACUAAAUUAAAGAAGAUACAUUUGAUUCUGCAAUAUUUUUUUAACUUUGUAUUGAUGAAUCAUGUUCAUAUGUUAUCUGUGGUUUACUUUCUCAGCUUCUUUCCUGGUAUCGAAAGAUGUAAUAUAACCGCUUUUGAGUUCUUGCUAAGUUAUACUCCCUUUAUAUCUAUCAGUUAAAGCUCUCUGGAUCCAUCAGCAGCCAAUACCUGACUGUACUGCUUAUGGAUGCUCCCCUGGCUCUAGGAGAUGUGGAGAUUGAAAUAAUUGACAAACUGAUAUCUGUGCCUUAUGUUGAAAUGACACUGAAGUUGAUGGAGCGAUUUGGUGUCUUUGUGGAACACAGUAGUUGCUGGAAUAGAUAUUUGGUAAAAGGAGGUCAGAAGUACAAGUGAGUCUGCUUUCACACUGUGUCUUUGAUAAUCUGGUUCCACCGAUCGAUGAAGCUAACAGUUAUGAGGAUACCAUAGGUCUCCUGGGAAAGCAUUUGUGGAAGGAGAUGCCUCAAGUGCUAGCUAUUUUUUUGGGGGGGGGGGCAGCUGUCAUGGGUGGAACUGUCACUGUUGAAGGUUGUGGAACAAGCAGUUUACAGGUAUUUCUCAUGCCAUUAAGACCUUGGGGGCAAUCACAUUCUAUACUUUUCCAUUUUGUGCUUGGAAUUUGUGACAGCACCAUAAUACAUCCUAUUUCUCUUCUAUUCACUAGCUUAAUUUUGUGGAAGUACUAAAAAUUAAGAGUUGCACAGCGCAUGGCCUACAUCUUAGUCUGUGACUGCAUAAGGUGAUUAUCUAACAAGGGACUUACUUUGGACAUUAUGUUUCCUUUGUGAAGGGGGAUUUUAAGUUUGCUGAGGUCCUCGAGAAGAUGGGGGCAGAAGUUACAUGGACGGAGAACAGUGUCACGGUUAAAGGACCUCAAAGGAACUCUUCUGGAAGGAAACAUUGCGUGCCAAUGACAUGAACAUGAGCAAAAUGCCAGAUGUGGCCAUGACUCUUGCUGUAGUUGCACUUUUUGCUGAUGGCCCCCUACUACCAUAAGAGAGGGUAAUAAUAGUGAAGAACUUUGUUUUGAUUAAGAUAUAAUUCUGAAGCGAAGCGAUUGGGACCUGGGAUACUAUUCUUCAAUAUGAGAGCAUUUCCCUGCAUAAUCAGUUUUUAAAAUGCUGUGAUAACAUGACUAAAAUGUGCAAAGAGGUUUUCCUGGUAAUUUAGGGGUCUGGGCAGAAAAGAAGAAAAUUGCCAUAGCUUUUGCAAUUUCUUGUUACUACUAGAGGAAUGGCUCUAUGCCUCAUCAUUUCUGGGUCGAUGCAGACACUUUUUGAAUGUUUGAUGUCCUUUGUUAUGCUACCAUUUUGAUAUACAUAAAGACUCAAAUUUGGCAUGUAUCAUAUAACUUUUUCUAGAUAGAAAUUUCCAUGUUUCAUGUUAUUUGUAUGGUUUCAAUUAGUCUCAUUAAUUAUCAGAGCUUAAAAAUAAUUUGCUACUUGUGUUGGUGACAUCAAUACUAGACUGUCUCGUCUUUACCUCUCUCUAUAUAAAUUCUUUUCUGCAGUAAAGUAAGGAAUCAACAGAGCUUUCAAGGUGUGAGGACCAUUUUUUUGCCAUUGUUUUCAUAUUCAGUGGCAUUUUCCUGGUCUAACAUGAAUUUAGCAGCCAAUGUGUCUUAUAGUACUGGCCUUUUGUUGCUGACAUUUCAGGACAUAAUGUCAUUACUCGAUCAGGUUAGAUUAGAACAGCAAAAGAUGGUUCUGUCUAAUUGACUGAAGUUUUGGUAUUUAACUCAAUUCAGAAAUCAGAAUCGGUAAUCGGUUUAUUGACGGAUGCAAAGAUGUUAAUUUUGUGAUUGGUUGGAGUUGGUGGAUUUAACAAUUCGAAAAGACUUCCAUCUUUAUAAGGCGCACUUGUCAGAUUUCUUGUUCUGAGUUGGUUGAUUUUAGCAGACUCUUAAUAAAUUGCUUUUGUAAAGUUCUUCAUGUCCAUUGUUUUUGGGUGCACACUUUCUCAAAAUUCUCCAGAGAUUACGAGCGGUUUUGAUAUCCAGUUCUACCCAUGCUACAUAGAAAAGCUGUGUGGUCGGAACUUGGAACUUCACUGGUUUGGAUUGUAUUAUUGAGCUUGAUCAUGUCAAACGGGUUGCUUGCUGUAGUGCUAGUUUACUGAGGUCUCUGGGCUUGCUUACUAUUUAAAUCAAAUUAUGGAGUCUUGAAACUCCGUCUAGAGAAUAUAGGUAGCCCAGCAUGCUUCAGCUAGUACUUUCUGAUCCUGUGCCAAUGCUGCCGAUUGUAGUUGGCUAUAUUGAUCCUGGGAAAUGGGCUGUAAUGGUUGAUGGAGAAGUCCGAUUUGGUCAUGCGAGUACUCUUGUUCAAUUUUGCUGUCAUUCUGUGCCAGUAUCUGUCUGCUUGUAUAGCCUUAGUUACAGACCGAGAUCUUGUGCAGGUAGUGUUCUUUCAUUGGAAUUUAACUUUUGAUUGUAUGUCUAAGUAGUGAUGAAUCUUAGUAAAUCCAACAUGCAUGGACAUUGAUUCUCCUGCUCUUGUAUGUUUCAUCUUGAACACCCAUAGCAAGGACAGUUCUUUUUUUUUUUUUGGCUAACCUGGUGUUUGGGCCAGCUUGUGCACAUAGAAAUAAGUUUAACAUGUGAUGGAGCUGAGUGCUUCUGUGCACAAUUAUCUGCUUUGUUGUGUGCUGUAAAAACUAAAUGCAGCCUCCUUUGCUGAAAUGCUGUGUGAAUUUGCAUCAGUUACUUGCCAAUGCUUUUUAUGUUUCAAGAAUGUCUGGACUUAGAAAUUGGGGAGUGUAGGAGUAGUUAUUUAAUACCCUUCUUGAGAUUGAGCAGAAACAUUCUUGAAACAUAGAAAGCAAUGUCAAGUAACUGAUGCAAAUUCGCAAUCGCAAGGGUUCGCAAAGAAUUAACAGCUAAGAAGAGAAAAAGAAUUGCGAAGAAGCAAAUAGCUAAUGCUUUUUUCCUUCAUACUUUUCCCGAAUCUUGUUACAGCUAAUAUACCCAAAGACUGAAAAAGACUUAAAUGCAACUAAAUAAAGUCAUAACAAAACUAUAAGGGACCAACAACAAUCCCCUCUACACCGUAAUAAUAACUAACUCAACAACCAUUUACUACUCUGCGAGCCACUGUACAACUCUAGUAAACGUGUAUUAUCAGUAACAGAAGAUAAAUUUAUGGUGUUGAGUUUUUCUGUGAUGAAUGGUACUUCUUUAAAUGAAAAGUUCAAGUUGGAGGGAAGUAAUACAUACAGGUAAAAUGGCUUAUUCUAAAACUAGGUCCUAGGAAGUUGCCUACACGUACAUCAGAAUCGUAUGUUAACAUGUGAUAUGCUUGCUCGCAUUUAUGAUCUAAAAAAACGAAGGUGUGUAGCUAUCCAUCCAACUUAAUUGUAGUGUUUCUAUAGGAAAAUUUGGAAAGUUCAACUUGAAACCUAUCUUUUUGCCAGUUCUUGAUUUUGAGAAGUUGAACAAAAUGAUGAGAGAGCAUGGAAUAUAGGUAGCGGAGUAGCAAGUCGUUUCUUUCUUUUCAAUAAGAUUCAGUCUGAGUUCAAAUUAUGUAUUUUGCUCUCCCCCUUUCCACUUGCAAAAGUCAAACAGAGUCUUAAGUGGUACAGUAAGUGGUAAUGUCAACCUGUGUGUUUCUCAUGGAUUACCUUGAACUUUACAGCUCCUUUUCUGAAUCUUUGUAUGCAGGUUCGUAUUGCUCGGAUUUUCAAUACAUACGGACCUCAUAUGUGUUUAGAUGAUGGACGUGUUGUCAGCAACUUUGUUGCUCAGAUUUGUUUAAUAAGCCCAUCAUAUCAUUUAGUUUAACUUGAGCUUGUAUUGGUAUUUAUUGUUAUUCUAAAACCAUGUUUGCAGGCCAUCCGCAAGCAACCAAGGACAGUAUAUGGCGAUGGAAAGCAAACUCAUAGUUUUCAAUUCGUCUCUGAUCUGGUACUUCAUCUUUUGAUGAGUUCUUUUCCCUCAUUCCUUGUCUCUGCCUUAGCGUGUUACUUUUACCUAUGUAUAUAUGGACGUCAGAUUGCAGUAUAUUUUAUUGGUUGAAGGUGGUCAAGGGUAGCUAUAGCCUUUAGCAGGUGUUAGUUUUCUUGAAGUGAUUUGUUCACUGUUAGUAUGGAUGGUAGUGAAAUUAGCCUUGAGUUCUUUGGGACGUAAAUAUAUAUUGCCUGUGUUUUGAACUUCAUAUGCAAAUCCUUCCAAUCGUUUAGAUGACAAAUAACUGUAGAAGUUGUAACUCAUAUUAUGAGCAACUGGCUUUGCUCUCCUGGUUGGAACCUACGUCCUUUUCUAGCUCUACAUCUUGCUUUUUGUUAAGUUUGCAUCACAAUAUUGUGCAGUAAAAUUCUAAAACUGGGCAAGAGGUUCAUUGAAAAGAGAAAAUGUUUUGCUAGAAUUAGAAGAUGUAUGUUCUCCCUAUCAAUGAACUUCAAAAUUUUAGUGGUUAAUGCACUUCAAAAUCUUAGUGACCUAGUGGUUAAUGAAGUGGGUUAAGCACCAUGAGGUUUCAAAUUCCAUCUAAAGUACACUGUAGAGAAUAUACAAGAUAGAAUAAUGUAAGUUCAGCUCUAGGAAAAUUAAAGGUGAAGUGAGAUAUAUGAGAUUUUGGUGCCUUAAUGUAGAUGAUUGGAUAGCCAGGCACAGUGAUCCCAGAAAAUGGCACGAUAGUUGCAUAUGUAAUACACUAUAAAAAUAAUAGGCCAGUGAUGUUACGGGAGUGAAAUGUCAAGCUUAAGAACAAUGUUAUGUUAGUUCAAAUAUUGAACCUCUAAACUCCCAACAUAUCUACAAGAUAAGUGUCAAAUGUUAAGAUAGAAAUGCAGUUCAAGAAUGGAUGAGAUUUGAAAUAAUCACACUCUACAUUGGGUGGGAGUUGCAUACAUGAAUGAUAAAAUGACUGAAGUUCACCUGAGAAGGUUUGGCUUGCUCGGUCAGUAGAUAUGACUAUAUGAUAGUUGGAGGCAGCAAAAUGGGAAUGCGAUGGACCUAAAAUCACGUCGAGGGGACUUGUCUCAACAGGCUUACGAGUGGAAUCUGCCAAGUGAAGCACAAAUUGGAAGAAAAUAAUUCAUAUAGGCCAUUCCAGCUAGUUUUGAGAUUAAAGCCAUUCUUACUCUUUACAUUAACUCGAAUGUUCAUCAAAAGCUUUUUUUUUUUGGUCUCUUAUUUGUUCUGAUUGGAGAGUUGUAUGUGUGUAUCUGAUCAAUGUGAGAUCUAAAGAAGUAGCUUGGAAGACCCAUAUUGAAGAUAAUUAGCUUCAUUUUGAUUAAAGGUUGAUGGAUUAGUGGCCCUCAUGGAGGGUGAGCACAUUGGCCCUUUCAACUUCCAAGAGAAUUUACCAUGUUGGAGCUUGCUGGGGUAAGUUAUGAUUAUUUACGCAUAUGUACAUGUCUACAAAUAUGUUCGUACAGAAGCUUUGGUUGCUUUACUCGAUAUUUGUUCAUAUGUUGUACUUCAUGUGGUUAUCUUAGAGCCAGGAAAUGUCUUAAACAUCUAAUCAACAUAUAGAUAUAUCUAUCUAGUUUUGUGUGCUAAGAUAUGUUAUGAAACAAAACAGGUGGUGAAAGAAGUGAUUGAUCCCAGUGCCACUAUUGAGUUGAAAGCCAACACUGCUGAUGAUCCUCACAAGAGGAAACCUGAUAUUAGCAAAGCAAAGGAACUACUAAACUGGGAACCAAAAAUAUCGUUGCAAGAGGGGCUUCCUCUCAUGGUCAAUGAUUUCCGCAAUCGUAUCUUGAAUGAAGAUGAAGGCAAAGGGAACUAAACAAGGAUACUUAUCAAGAAAAAUUAGUUUGUAUAGCUCGAAACUUAUUUUCAUUGUUUAUUACACUUGAAGUUGUUUUUUUCCGCUUUUUUUUUUUUGUAUUCUUUGUUGUAAUAGCAGAUGGAUCGCUAAGCGACAAGCCCCGUCUAUAUAUAUGUUCUUUUCCAACAAUGUUUGCUAUUUUUGGGCAAACUGCCCUGUGAUGUUAUAACGAUCAAGUGUUUUUGUUAUGAUGAAAUCUCCAUAUGUGAACGUUCAUAUGGUUGUUCGUGUUACUUCAACAAUGUAUUGUAUCGUAACGAUAUUAUCGAUAAGUGAUUUGUCCAAUUAAUUCACUGAGCAGAUAGGAUCGUCAGCCUCUCUCUAUAUUACUAUGUCUCGUCUAACCAAUUUGUAUUCUAAAGAUGAAUACAAUUGCACCUUAUAAUAAACUUCCCCUCCUGCUUUCUGGGAAAUUUUUAACACAAGUAUUAGUGAAUUUGCACCAAUGCAAAUACAUUUGCCAAAUAAGUGGUUUGGUGAGUCUGUGACACGCAUAGCCAAAUCAUAAAAUAACAAAAAAGUGCAUCCUUUGGAGAAAAUGCAAACACAUUAAGAAACCCAAAUAAAUAAAUUCAACGGAAGAAAACAUAUGCAAAUACUAAGUAAGCAGUGAAGUAGGUGAAAUGAAGCUCUCUGCAUAAACAAUUCCUCGCUUAGUAGUAUCACAUUCAGGGCAUAAAUCAAAUGGUCUUCCACUUGUCGUGAAAUUAGAACUAAAAUAUCCAAAACGUUGGAAGUGCAGUAACACUUGACAAUCCGCAAACAUAUAUACUGGUCGGGCUGAAAGAAAAAGAUCGGUAUCUCGUAUUUUAAUAAAGUUAGUCCAAGAUUCCCUGACACCAUAGUCCUUCAUUACCCACAAAUUAAAAAUGCCAUUAGUGCUCCUCGAUAUCUUGUUAUAUGUAGAAUAAAAGCAAAGCAUUCCUCUCAAUACUGAAACACCGUGAUCGAAGAAGAAGUACAGGGGACAUAGAUCAUACAUUUGCUUCAAUAACGGUACCUCUCCAUACACCUCAUUUGAAAUAUUUAAUGAAACCGUAGUAUAAUAUCCAGAAGUUGACUUACCUAGCCAAUGAAAUGCUCCAUGUAGAAAAGCCAAAUUAUCCGUACCACAAUCCCUAAAACCACGAACCCGCUGAAUGUCAGUAGGAUAAUCAAUUCUUCUCCAGGAACUGUUCCUUUUUAUAGAGAGAAAUUCAAUCGAAAUAUUGAUACUUUUUUUUCCAUUGAGUUUAACUGCAAGGAUCUUAUAGCCUUCACUAGUUGCAUCAUAUUCCAAUCCAAAUACAUAAGUCAUUAUUCGAUAUUCUGGAUGGGGAAGUAGUAUUGAUUCUCUUGUAGACGGGUUCCACAACAAAAGUUCUUCAUCGAACAUUUUGGAACAAACACGAGUAAGAACCAAUCCAUCACAAGAACAAAAUAUUCUGGCAUCCACUGGAUUGCAGCUUGUAGGCCAAUCAAGCUUUUGUUUAUCCUCAACCAUCGAUAAAGAGGAAGUAUAGAAGCUAAAGGUUUCAUCCUUGUUAACUAACCUUUCGGCAAUAAGAAUUUUUUUGGAAUUUUGGUUAUCCCUGUUAUGAAUAUAAUGUGUCCUCUUAAAGUAAGUAUCGUCAAUUAAUGAUUUCCAAAAUUUUGAAACACAUUUGAACCGAAGAAUAGAGCGCAUAGGUAACCUGCGGAGGAUGUCCAUCAUUAUUUCGUCUUGGAAAUGAAUUGUUGGGACCUAGAUUGGACAAUACAUGGGAGUAUAUCAAAAUGAAGAACAACUAUUUAAAAACAAACAGAAUGGUAGUUUUUUAUGUUCAAAUUGUAUGUACAAAUAAAAGUAUAUUGAAGUGAGAAGUGACCUGAUGAAUCUCCAUCUGGUGGCUCUUCCCUGAAAUUCAGCCAAAUGAAAACACACACAUGGCAGAAAGAAAAAAAGAAAGAAAUAGGGGAUACCUUUGCAAAUUUGAUUUUGGCAUCUGGAAAGAUUGAAUUUUUUGAUAGCUUCUUCUUCUUCUCCAUUGCUAAACUUAAGAAGAUUAGCUUUUAUUCUCUUAAGAAUGGACUUGUUGGCUUUUCUACGAGCUAAAUUUAGAUGGGCAUGGCGACGAUGGGAGCACGUACACUUGGGCAUCUUUAUUGCCAUCGUCUCAAAUGGUAGCAGCAGCAGCUAGGGUUUCAGGUUUCUCUUUAUCUUUUAGGGUUUUUUUCUAUAUAUACACACACAUACCAGGAGGGGUAUUUCCGUCAGUUAAAAAAGUGAUUUUUAUUCCUCACAAGACUUUGAAGGUCGGAUUGGGGAACCUCUUCCUUCAAUCUAUGAACAUGACAUUUACCAGUGGAUGCAUUUGUUUUUGGAUAUUGAAAUUAGAAAUUUCCAUCUUUCAUGUUAUGUGUAUGGUUUCGAUUAGAAAUAAGUUGCUACUUGUGUUAGUGACAUUCUGUCUCGUCUUUACCUCUAUGUAUAUAAAUUCUUUUCUGCAGUAAUGUAAGGAAUCAACAGAGCUUUCAAGGUGUCAGGACCAUUUUUUUACCAUUGUUUUCAUAGUCAGUGGCAACAUGAAUUCAGCAGCCAAUGUGUCUUAUAGUACUGGCCUUUUAAUUUGUUGCUGACAUUUCAGGACACAUUGUCAUUGCUCGAUCAGGUUAGAUUAGAACAGCAAAAGAUGGUUCUUUCAAAGUGGAGCAUGAAGUUUUGGUAUUUAACUCAAUUCAGAAAUCAGAAUCGGUAAGGUGUUAAUGUGGUGGAUUUAACAAUUCGAAAAGACUUCCAUCUUUAUAAGGCGCACUUCUCAAAUUUCUUGUUCGGAGUUGGUUGAUUUUAGCAGACUCUUAAUAAAUUGUUUUUGUAAAGUUCUUUAUGUCCAUUGUUUUUGGGUGCAAACUUGCUCAAAAUUCUCCAGAGAUUACGAGGGGUUUUGAUAUCCAGUUCUACCCAUGCUACAUUGAGCUACAGCUGCUAACUAGAAAAGCUGUGUGAACGGUACUUGGAACUUCACUGGUUGGAUUGUAAUAUUGAGCUUGUUCAUGUCAAACGGGUUGCUUGAUGUAGUGCUAGUUUACUGCGAUCUUUGGGCUUGCUAACUAUUUAAAUCAAAUUAUGGAGUCUGAAACUCCGUCUAGAGAAUAUAGGCAGCCCAGCAUGCUUCAGCGAGUACUUUCUGCUUCUGUGCCAAUGCUGCCGAUUGCACUUGGGUAUGUUGUUCCUGGGAAAUGAGUUGCAAUGGUUGAUGGAGGAGUUUUUGGGUUUGAUUUGGUCAUGCUAGUACUCUUGUUCAAUUUUGCUGUCAUUCUGUGCCAGUAUCUGUCUGCUUGUAUAGCCUUAGUUACAGACCGAGAUCUUGUGCAGGUAGUGUUCUUUCAUUGGAAUUUAACUUUUGAUUGUGUAUCUAAGUAGUGAUGAAUCUUAGUAAAUCCAACAUGCAUGGACAUUGAUUCUCCUGCUCUUGUAUGUUUCAUCUAGAACACCCAUAGCAAGGACAGUUUUUUUUUUUUGGCUAACCUGGUGUUUGGGCCAGCUUGUGCACAUCUUGUAUUUUGUUUAACUGGGGAUGUAUAAUAACUUUGUUGUCCUUGAUGGUGUCAAAGAUUUGCAGUGAAGAAUAUGACAAAGUUACAUGCAUAUUCCUAGGAAUUCAAGCUGAGGUUUCGAUGACUGCUUUGGGACCUCACAAAAGUAAUUUCACUAUUUCAUUUUGUGUACACUCUGGCUUCAAAGAUUAUGACCUUUUCUAGCGCAUCAACAUACGACCACUUGAUUCUCAUAGGUUUUGGGCACUGCAGAUGUUGUGUGUGGAAUUGACCUGUUUAGCUGUGUUUUCCUGACUGCAACCAGUGCCAUUUUGUUUCCACUGCUUGCUUAUCUCUUUGUAAGUCUUACUACUAAGUACUAACUAUCCUUGUGGACUUUCUGUUAUUGGCAUCUUGAAUUAUCUCAGAUUCUUGUCAUGUAGUCCUAGUCUCUCAUAAAUAAUAAUGAUUUCAAAAUUCUAUAUCUAGGACAAUGGCAGUUCAAAAUUGUUAUGUAUUGGCUGGGCAAGCUCUGUACUGCUCUCUUAUGUUUUUGGAGUGGUCAUAACGUAAUCUGAAACUCCAUUCUCCAUUGGUAGUAUGCUGAAUAAGUUUAGUGGAGAUAGUGCAUUUGCACUGAUGAGUCUUCUUGGAGCAAGUAUUAUGCCUCAGAAUUUUUACCUCCAUUCUUCUAUUGUACAGGUGUCCUCUCUCUCUAUGUGUGUGUGUGUUUUUGCAUGUGUGCUCAUAAAUAUUGAUCUGUGCUUGCAGAACGGAGGCAGCCUGUAACUUAUAAAACAGUCUGUCACUGGACAGAUUGUUAAGAUAAUUAUUGGUAUGCUAGAUUGGGCCCUGAUAACUCAAGGCUAAAUGUUUGUUCAGUCUAUUUUGUUGUUCCAGCCAGUCAUGUGUGAAUACUUAUACUGCUUUCUUAUAUUCUGUAGCUCUUUAACUCUAGACUAUACAUAGUCAUGUGAGGUCCUUUCUAGAUAUAUUGGUUGUGGCUUGUUCCCAAGUCCUAACUUGUACCAUGUAAUGGGCCUAGCUUAUCUACUUAUAUACUCUUUGCAUCUUCUAGAUGCCACUAAUAAAACAACUUACUUGAUCAAAAAAAAAGGUUGGCCUGAUAAAUCUUUUACACGACAAACUAGCAGACACUAGCCUAGCCCCUUAGUAACCAAUAUUGGCUUGUAUGCUUUGUUUUUCAUGAUGUUGAUCGUAUGACUUCUGUAUUUGCUUCUAUCUUUUGAUUCCUGAACUAACUGCUCAUCCCUGGGACUUAAGUUGGCUUGACCCUGAUCAGCUAAGUUGCUUAGGUUGACUCUUUUAAGAGAUAAAAUCUGUUGAAAAAAGCAGAUUGGGUUGAUAAAUAUAUAUAAAAAUUAUGAUUUUUAAAUAUUUAGCUUACCAAGGGUAUAGGUCCAACAAAUUUUGGAUCCAACAGUUCCAAGGUCACCUUCAAGAAGAUCAAAACCUUGUACAUGCAAAGGGGACAUAGUAGGUUUAUUAAUUUCUUUUAGAUACAUUAUAUUUAAGUGGAUUCUAAUAGACAAAUAUUGAUACAUACACAAAUCUCCUCGCAUUAUUCCCUUUUUUAUUUUUCACUCUCCUGUCUUACUCGCGUAUGUGGUACUCCAAAUACAUACAAAUCAUUCUAUAAUUAUAUAUCUAAUGUGAUUAGCACAUGUUUAGGAUACAUAGACAAAUUUCGCCCAUCUCACUCCUGUUCUCGCUCACAUCUCUCCUUAUUUCAGUGAACCUGGUAUCUAAAAACGUAACAUGUGUCUAGGUUAUUUGACUUAAAAUUUAAUAUAAAAUUAUUAAUUAGUUAGAUAAAAUAUAAUUAUUUCAAACAAUUGGAAGAAUCGUGAAUAUGAACUACUGAGAUAAAGGUCAUUUGUUUGAUUAAAUAAGUUAUCAAUUGUUAUUUCUGUUAUAAAAGGUAAUUUUAGAUUUAAAACCCGCAUAAAAUAUUCUUUUAUUAAAUAAAAAAAUAUUUUUGAACUAUUUAUGGUACAUUCAGUAUAAUACAUUACGCUUUGCUUGGACGAUUGACAUUGUUACCCGUUGCAUUGUAUCUUAAUAAUAUAUUUAUUUUGAUUGCUACUUAAAUUUCAUUGUAUUGUUAGAUAAAUAUAAUAAUCAAUUUUUGUGUGCUUAUGUCGUUACGUAAAUAUAUUUUUAGUUUUAAUUUUAUUUAUUAUUUAAUAAUUAAAUUUCAUCUUUUAUUCUACUUUCUCAUAAUAGCUCUACCUCAUACCUUACUUUUUUUCGUAGACCUAUCAUGUAAAUUAUAUAUAUGUAUCAUUAUGCAAUGAAAAUGUUACAAUCUAAAUAUUAUAUUUAUCAAAAUACUACAGUAUAAAAAUAAUAUAAUAUAUUACCAAAUAAUACGUAAUACAAGCCAAAAGAAGUAAGCUAUCAACAUCAAAAUCCACAGAAGAUAAAGAAAUAGAUUUGUCUGAUUAACAAAAUAACUUUUAAAUAUUUUCUUUGGGUUAUGAAAGUCAAAGCAAGAACAGAUCAAGCAAGAUAUAUAUGUUUAUUCAUUCAUUUCUUUAAUCAAACAAUAAUUUUUUUUUGUCUACUCAUUGAUGUUUCCACUUUAAUCAUGGAUAAGAUUAUAAAUACUUUUGAUUAAAUUGUAUAAUGAUUAUAUUAGGUAUAAUAAUGCAAAAAUGUUAGUUGAAUUCCCAUUAAUGAAAAUUGGACGGUAUAUAGAAAUAAGUAUUAUUUUGGUAAAAUAAAUAGACCAUUUUAAAAUAAGUGUAAUUUUAAAUUUUUAGGACAAAUAGUGGUAAUUAUUUUGAACUACUACUUAACAAUGUUGGAUUCUAAAUAAAUAUGGAUAAAUUAUAUUUUUUUUUUCAUUUCGAUUUGUUUGUCCUAUUUUAUUUUAUUUAGUUCGUCCUUAAAAUGAUUGUCUCUUUCAUUUUUCUUGGAAACUUUUAAUUCUAACUUUUUUAUAUAACAUGUUUAAGAUCACAAAUCAAAAUAAAGUUUAAUAUAUUUAAAAUCAUAAAAUUAAAAAAAAAUACUUUUUUAAAUUUUAUGUCAAAAUAAAAUAUAAAAAAUAAAAUAAAACGAAAAAUAUUAUUUUAUAUUUUUUUAUUUUAAUGAAUAUAUAAUAAAUAAAAAUGAUAUUUAUUUUGAGACGACUAAAUAAUGAUUCUUUCAUGGUGUCUAUGUCACCCAGAUCUUGUAUAAAAUUUAUUAUCUGAAAUAUCAUCGGUGACAUCAUGACAACUAAUUCUCAAGUAUGAACUACUCAAUGUAAGUAAAAUCUGAAUAUUUAAUAUUUUGGGAAAUAUUAGUUAAGGCAUUUGAUCAUGAAAAUAUAACAUAUAUAUUUUAUUUAAAAUAAAAAAGUUCAAAGUCACAAGCAAAAAUAAUAAGUUGUUCGUUUUUUAUUUGAUUGAAACACAUUUUUUUUUAAAAAAAAUAAUAAGUUGUUCAUUUUAUUAUUUUGUUGAAAAACAUUUUUUGUUUUAAACUAAUCGUAAAUAAUUUUGUUUUCUAAUACAAUAAUUCAAUUGUUAUAGUCAUCAACAUCAUAUAUUUAUUGCUAAGUCACCAUACCACGUCUCAACAAAUCUAAGCUGUCACCAUUAUUAAUAUUUUAUUUAUAUUCAUAAAUAUUCAACUUGGAGAUAAUAAUUUUAUGCCCCAAAGUUCAACUAUAUAAAGACUUCCGUUUAUAAUUCAUUAUUCAUCAAAAAAUUUCAAUAAUACUUCUAUUUCUAUAUUUGAGAACAAUUUUAUUAUAUUUUCUUUUGAAAAAUGGGUUUAAAAGGAAAGUUGAUUUCCGAAAUAGAAAUAAAAGGUUGUAAGGAUUUAUUUCAUGAAAUAUUUUGUGAAAAACCACACCAUCUUCCAAAUAUUGUACCACAAACUAUUCAAGCUGUUGAUUUACAUGAAGGUGAUUGGGGUACUGUUGGCUCCGUUGUAAAUUGGAAUUAUACUAUCGGUAAUAUUUUCAUUUUGAUUAACGAUUAUUUAUAACAGUUUUUCUCUAUUUAUAAUCGAAAAAUAAGACUCUAAAUAAAGCGUUAAACAUAAAGGAUUAUUUGUGUACCAAACAACAAAUUUACUUUUCAUUGAGCCAAUAAUAAUAUUUAUUUGUAUUCUUGAUUAUGUUCAUUUAUAAAUAGAAAAUCUCAAAAAAUAUACAUUAUAUUUGGAGAAAAAUAUUACAUUUAAUGUAUCAUUUUUUUUUUAUAAAUAUGUAACUUUCCAUCUCUUUUUUUUUUCACAAAAAAUAGAGGGGCAGGAAAAAGUUGUAAAGGUGGUUGUUGAUGACAUAAACAAGGAAAAAAGGUUAGUGACAUUCAAGGCAUUUGAAGGUCAUUUGAUAGAGGAAUACAAGGCCUUCAAAGCAACUCUUCAUAUUGAGAAUGAAGGAGAUAACAACUUGGUUAUAUGGACUAUUGAAUAUGAAAAGCAAAAUGAAGAAAUUCAAGAACCCUUCUCUUAUUUGCAAUUAGCCACUAAUCUAACCAAAGAUGUUGACACUCAUCAUGUCAAUCAGUAAUAUCUAUGUUGUUCAGACUCUUUAAAUAUGUGGACGAGUGUUUCAAUAGUAAUGUAAUUCAUCAUAAGUGUGGUUUGGUAUGUGUUUGAAGAAUCACAAAAGUAAUAUGUUGUGAAUAAUGGAUUUCCAUGUUCUCUUUGAAAGAGGUGGUUGCUUGUUGAUGUUUGUGGUUCCCAUAAAGAUGUAGUUUUCUUUGUUGUAUUAUCAUGAAAUAAAUUGUACUAUUUCGUUUCUUCAAGAACAAAUUUUAUUUAUUUGAUUUGACUUUGUGAUUGAAGUGAGUUGAAACUCUAGGUUUCUCUGUUUUGAUAAGAUUUUAUGUUAUCGGAAAUUUCAAAAAUGCUUAAGAGUAAAAAUAUAAUAAGGUUUCUUUGUUAUAGUUUGCUUAAUAACGAUUUGUAACUACAUGUUAGAGUCAGGGUCAACUAGCUCCAUACAUAACGUCUUUAACAAACGUUCAUGAAAAAUUUGGACAAAAAAAAACGUUGAAAUUUUGGUAUACCUACUUUGGGGUUCGUUUGACCUUAAAAAUGAGUCGUUUUGACCGUCAAGGCCAAGUGGCUCAAUAUCUAACGUCUCAACAGACGUCCACAAAAAAUUUAGGCGAAAAAAACGUCAGAAUUCCGAAUCAUAAAAAAUCCAUGGACUAUAGCACAAGAAAAUCGAUAAAAUGAGGGGUUUACCUGCUUUGGGGCUCGUUUCACCUUCAGUAUGGAUCAUUUUGGCCGUCAGGGCUAUCUAACUCCAUAGCUAACGUCUUAAUGGACGUCCACAAAAUAUUUGGUCAAAAGAGACGUCGAAAUUCUAGAUCUCCAAAAAAGAUCGUGGACUAUAGCACACGAAAAUCGAUAAAAUAAGGGGUUUUGUAGCUCUGGGGCUUGUUUGACUUUCAAAAUGGUCCGUUGUGUCCGUCAGUGCCAACUAGCUCCAUUAAUAACUUCUUAACGGAUGUUCAUUAAGAAUUUGGGCAAAAAAGACAUCGGAAUUCCACAUCACCAAAAAUGCAUAGACUAUAGUACAUGAAAAUCGGCAAAAUGAGUUAUACUUGCUUCAUGGUAAUGUGAUGGACCUAAAAUCACGUUGAGGGGACUUGUCUCAACAGGCUUACGAGCUAUCAAAACUGAUGUGGACUCUGCCAAGUGAAGCACAAAUGGGAAGAAUAUAAUUCAUAUAGGCCAUUCCAGCGAUUAAAGUCAUUCCAAAAGUUCUUUUUUUGGGUCUUGAAGAAACCUUACCCCAGAACACGAACCAGGUUCGUGUAAAUUGCUUUUACGUAAAGACAGAGUAAAGACACAAACAUUUACUGAAUUAAAAACCUUCCUCACUCAAGGAAGGAAAAACCUUGUUUUAUUAAUUCAACUAUAAGAUUUUGUGAUUACAACUCAAUAAUCAAAAAGUCUUAUCUCUAAUACUCCCUCGAUUGACUCCAAUCGAUCUCUCCAAAAAGGCCAAACCCACCUUUUGUUACAACUCUUACUAACACUCAACCCUACAAAGAGCCAAACCCACCCUUUGUAAAACUCUCAAGACUCAACCCCCAAGAAGUCAAACCCACUUCUUGUUACAAAUCUAGGAAUUAUUACAACUCAAUAAUAAACCUAGAACAAAUCAACAAAGACUAAUAACCUUAGACUUUAAUUGAUCAAACUUCAAUAUCCAAUAGUUCUGAGUAGAACAGGUUUCGUGAACCUGGUCUUUAUUUUGCUGUGAUGAAGGUGAACCUGGUCCUUGCGUUUCUGUGACGAAGGCCUGCGUUUUUUCUCCAGAAAAUACUGCUCUCAAGAUGAUAUAUUUCGUGAAUAUGCAAUACCUAUUGUUCUGGCUUUGCUGGAAAAAUUCUCUAUCGAUCUUGAAGACUUUUUAAACUUAGCAAAUCUAUCGAUCUUGAAGACUUCUAUUCGAUGAAUAAAUCUCUCUUUUCUCUCUGCGUGAAGUCGUCUCUUUCUUCAUCAUCGUCUUCUUCUUCUUAUAGAGUUCCUUUUUCCUUCAGUCCUUAUCAGAUAAGGUAAGGAAGUUAUUAUUAAACAAGAAUUUCCUUUUAAAGUACAAUCCUUAUUAUAUACAACUUCCUUCCUUAAUAAUAUAUUUAAGGUUUUCCUUAAUAAUAUCAUAUAAGGUAAGGAAGUUAUUAUUAAACAAGGAUUCCCUUUUAAAGUACAAUCCUUAUUAUAUACAACUUCCUUCCUUAAUAAUAUAUUUAAGGUUUUCAUUAUUUGUAUCAACUUAUACCUUUAAUAUAUUAUUUUUGGCUUUGACAAAUAACUCUAUUUUCUUGAUUACUUGGCUGACCCAUUUUACUCGAUCUUGGACUCGAUUUUGGCUUCUUUUGCUGCGUACAUUUGCUAUUGAUUAUUUGUGCUUCUUGUCUAUCAUCAAAACAUGAAUUAUCGAUUCCAUCAUAUUCUAUCAGGUCUGAAUUCUGAUUAAAGUGCAUUCUAUGCAGAACAAGAAAAUAUACCUCCCUAAUUAUUCUUUUGGACUGCUAAUUUUCUUCUUCACUGUUUCAAUACUAAUAUUUAUUUUUCACUCUUUACUCAUCAUUUGUGGUAAAAGAUGCUUCUUUCAAAGUGGAACAUGAACUGAACUGAACUCCUCUCCUCCAGAGUCCGUCGUUCCUCAACUCUUCGCUUCCACAGAAUGGGUUCAAUCAUGACAACCAAAGCUGUUUAAGAGACCAUUCAGACAAAUAACAAAAAUGUGCAUCCUCUGGAGAAAAUGCAAAUACAUUAACAAACCCAAAUAAAUAAAUUCAUUUGUUACAUAAUCUUCAACGAAAGACAACAUAUGCAAAUACUAAGUAAGCAGUGAAGUAGGUGAGAUGAAGCUCUCUGCAUAAACAAUUCCUCGCUUAAUAGUAUCACAUUCAGGGCAUAAAUCAAAUGGUCUUCCACUUGUCGUGAAAUUAGAACUAAAAUAUGCAAAGCAUUGGAAGUGUAGUAACACUUCACAAUCCGCAAACAUAUACAUUGGUCGGGCUGAAAGAAAAAGAUCGAUAUCUUGUAUUUUAAUAAAGUUAGUCCAAGAUUACCUCACACCAUAGUCCUUCAUUACCCACAACUUAAAAAUGCCAUUAGUGCUCCUCGAUAUAUUGUUAUAUGUAGAAUAAAAGCAAAGCAUUCCUCUCAAUACUGAAACACCAUGAUCGACGAAGAAGUACAGGGGACAUAGAUCAUACAUUUGCUUCAAUAACGAUACCUCUCUAUACACCUCAUUUGAAAUAUUUAAUGAAACGGUAGUAUAAUUUCCAGAAGUUGACUUACCAAGCCAAUGAAAUGCUCCAUGUAGAAAAGCCAAAUUAUUCGUACCACAAUCCCUAAAACCACGAACCCGCUGAAUGUCAGUAGGAUAAUCAAUUCUUCUCCAGGAACUGUUCCUUUUUAUAGAGAGAAAUUCAAUCGAAAUAUUGAUACUUUUUUUUCCAUUGAGGUUAACUGCAAGGAUCUUAUGGCCUUCACUAGUUGCAUCAUAUUCCAAUCCAAAUACAUAAUUCAUUAUUCGAUAUUCUGGAUGGGGAAGUAGUAUUGAUUCUCUUGUGGACGGGUUCCACAACAAAAGUUCUUCAUAGAAUAUUCUGGAACAAACACGAGUAAGAACCAAUCCAUCUCAAGAACAAAAUAUUCUGGCAUCCACUGGAUUGCAGCUUGUAGGCCAAUCAAGCUUUUGUUUAUCCUCAACCAUCGAUAAAGAGGAAGUAUAGAAGCUAAAGGUAUCAUCCUUGUUAAGUAACCUUUCGGCAAUAAGAAAUUUUUUGGAAUUUUGGUUAUCCCUGUUAUGAAUAUAAUUUGUCCUCUUAAAGUAAGGAUCGUCAAUUAAUGAAUAUAAUGUGUCCUCUUAAAGUAAGGAUCGUCAAUUAAUGAAUCUCCAUCUGGUAAUUUGAAGGGCUCUUCCCUGAAAGAAAUUCAUCAAAACACACACAUGGCAGAAAGAAAGAAAGAAAGAAAUUCAUCAAAACACACACAUGGCAGAAAGAAAGAAAGAAAGAAAGAAAGAAAUCGGGGAUACCUUUGCAAAUUUGAUUCUUCUUCUUCUUCUUGUGUUGGCAUCUGGAAAGAUUGAAUUUUUUGAUAGCUUCUUCUUCUCCAUUGCUAAACUUUAGUGUGUUGGUAAUAACAAGAUUAGCUUUUAUUCUCUUAAGAAUGGAUUUCUUCGCUUUUCUGCUUGCUAAAUUUACAUGGGCAUGGCGACGAUGGGAGCACGUACACUUCUCCAUCUUCAUGAACAUUGUCAUCGUCUCAACUGCUAGCAGCUAGGGUUUAAGGUUUCUCUUUUUAUUUUUCUAUAUAUGAUAAAUAUUAGGAGGGAUAUAUUGGUCAUUUUUCAGUCAUUGUUAUUCCUCACAUCACUGGAAGAUAAAUCUACCAAGACUUUAAAGGUCGGAUUGGGGAACCUCUUCCUUCAAUCUAUGAACAUGACAUUUACCAGUGGAUGAAUUUGUUUUUGGAUAUUGAAAUUAGAAAUUUCCAUCUUUCAUGUUAUUUGUAUGGUUGAGCUUAGAAAUAAUUUGCUACUUGUGUUGGUGACAUCAAUACUAGACUGUAUCGUCUUUACCUCUCUCUAUAUAAGUUCUUUUCUGCAGCAAGGUAAGGAAUCAACAGAGCUUUCAAGGGGUCAAGACCUUUUUUUUGCCAUUGUUUUCAUUUUCGUGGUCUAACAUGAAUUAAGCAGCCAAUGUGUCUUAUAGUACUGGCCUUUUGUUGCUGACAUUUCCGGACACAUUGUCAUUGCUCAAUCAGUUUAGAUUAGAACAGCAAAAGAUGGUUCUGUCUAAGCUAGGGCCUCUUUGAACUAGAGAUAUUAAUGCUUUUCAUAAAUGAUUGACGCAGGUGUUCAGAAGCUCAGUAGCACCAUUCACCAUAAUGCUGGUUACAUUUAUUUCCAAUCAAGUUACACCACUAACUCAGUAGCAGCUUUUUAGUUACCAUGGCCACAGCAGAAGCGAAGUCCAACAAACUGGAUAUAAUCACUCUUGAAUUUUGAAAAGGACCAUCAAUUGGCUACUAUUGAUGAGGGUAAAUCUGAAAAAACACACUCAGCUCCUGUUGUUGGUCAUCCUGAGGUAUCUGUAUCAGCAGGAGCAGGUUCCGGUGUGAAAAGUGUUUGUUAUGAGGUGUCUAGUGUUGUAUCUGUGGGUACCAGUGUCUUCAAUACUGAAUCUGUGGAUGUCGUAGAGAAGAUUCAUGGGAGGAGCCUGAAGAGGCAAUCAGAGAGAACACUCAAUCUUUUAUUUCUGAUGGUCCAGGGUCAUAUAAAAGUCUAAGUGGAAAAUUAGAGGACACGGGGAUUGGUACGGGAAGUCUAUCAAGAUUAGCAGGUCUUGAUAGGUAGUUAUCACAAGUUCUAAAUGAGUUUUGCUGGCAGCUUUUUGGUUACCAUGGCCACAGCAGAAUCAAAGUCCAAGAAACUGGAUAUAAUACUUGGUCUGGACUCAAAGGUGAAUCCAAAACCUGCCCAAGUGGAUGUGGAAAGAGCAGAGUCAUUGCACUCAUCGAUGGCAACAAUAUUCGGAACAACAUUGCUCUAGUGCCAUAACAACCUUGCCUCUUUGCCACCACCAUCUAUGAAAACAUCACGUAUCAGCAACCGAAGCUGAUAUAACCAAAGGACAAACGCCUACAAGUUCAUAUCUGAUGGAUACAAAACAAGAGUUCAAUUGUCCGGUGGACAAAAGCAAAGAAUCGACAUUGCUCUUGAUUUCCUAACGAAAGCUGAUAGAUGAAGCAACAAGUGCACGCAGAAGCUGUGAAUAUGGAAACAGGAUCAACGUCUCCCAAGUAAGAUCAAGAUUGAGAAAAAAGAAAUGUGAAUUAAAGCUCAAUUUGAAAAAACCACCAGAAAGUAUACCUCCCUUAUUAUUCUUUUGGACUGCUAAAUUUCUUCUUCACUGUUUCAAUACUAAUAUUUAUCACUCUUUACACAUCAUUUGUGGUAAAAGAUGGUUCUUUCAAAGUGGAACAUGAAAUGAACUGAACUCCUCUCCUCCAGAGUCUGUUGCUGUUCAAGAGACCAUUGAGACAAAUAACAAAAAAGUGCAUCCUUUGGAAACAAUGCUAAUAGAGAAAGAGCUAAGGGGGAGAAAAUGCUAAUAAAGAAAGACCAAUUUAUCCUAUAAAAUGAUACAGGACCAGCUCACAUAAAUCAAGCAAGCUACGAGUCAUAUCAUUCCACUCAUCUACAGCUGAAGAAUCAACAGUGUACUAAUCGUAAUAUCUAUGAACGAUUACAUAAAUAACAAUAGGUAAUCAAUCAAUCAGUUUUUAGCAAAUAAAUCUGAGGAGUCAUGAAAUAAAUAAACUGACAACAGCUUUCAUAAAUACAUUAAGAAACCCAAAUAAAUAAAUUCAUUUGUUACAUAAUCUUCAACGAAAGAAAACAUAUGCAAAUACUAAGUAAGCAGUGAAGUAGGUGAGAUGAAGCUCUCUGCAUAAACAAUUCCUCGCUUAAUAGUAUCACAUUCAGGGCAUAAAUCAAAUGGUCUUCCACUUGUCGUGAAAUUAGAACUAAAAUAUGCAAAACGUUGGAAGUGUAGUAACACUUCACAAUCCGCAAACAUAUACAUUGGUCGGGCUGAAAGAAAAAGAUCGAUAUCUUGUAUUUUAAUAAAGAUAAUCCAAGAUUCCCUCACACCAUAGUCCUUCAUUACCCACAACUUAAAAAUGCCAUUAGUGCUCCUCGAUAUAUUGUUAUAUGUAGAAUAAAAGCAAAGCAUUCCUCUCAAUACUGAAACACCAUGAUCGACGAAGAAGUACAGGGGACAUAGAUCAUACAUUUGCUUCAAUAACGAUACCUCUCCAUACACCUCAUUUGAAAUAUUUAAUGAAACGGUAGUAUAAUUUCCAGAAGCUGACUUACCAAGCCAAUGAAAUGCUCCAUGUAGAAAAGCCAAAUUAUUCGUACCACAAUCCCUAAAACCUCGAAUCCGCUCAAUGUCAGUAGGAUAAUCAAUUCUUCUCCAGGAACUGUUCCUUUUUAGAGAGAGAAUUUCAAUCGAAGUAUUGAUACUUGCUUUUACGUUCAGGUUAACUGCAAGGAUCUUAUAGCAUUCACUAGUUGCAUCAUAUUCCAUGCCAAAUACAUAAUGCUUUGUUCGAAAUUCUAGAUGGGGAAGUAGUAUUGAUUCUCUUGUGGACGGGUUCCACAAAAAAAGUUCUUCAUAGCCCAUUUCAGAACAAACACGAAUAAGAACCAAUCCAUCACAAGAACAAAAUAUUCUAGUAUCCAUUGGAUUACAGCUCGUAGGCCAAUCAAGCUUUUGUUUAUCCUCAACCAUCGAUAAAGAGGAAGUAUAGAAGCUAAAGGUAUCAUCCUUGGUAAGUAACGAUUCGGCAAUAAGAACUUUUUUGGAAUUUUGGUUAUCCCUGUUAUGAAUAUAAUGUGUCCUCUUAAAGUAAGGAUCGUCAAUUAAUGAUUUCCAAAAUUUUGAAACACAUUUGAAGCGAAGAAUAGAGCGCAUAGGUAACCUGCGGAGGAUGUCCAUCAUUAUUUCCUCUUGGAAAUGAAUUGUUGGGACCUAGAUUGGACAAUACAUGGGAGUAUAGGAGUAUAUCAAAAUGAAGAACAAAUAUUUAAAAACAAACAGAAUGGUGGUUUUUUAUGUUCAAAUUGUAUGUACAAAUAAAAGUAUGUGAUAUAAGAAUUGAAGUUAGAAGUGACCUGAUGAAUCUCCAUCUGGUCAUUUGAAGGGCUCUUCCCUGAAAGAAAUUCAUCAAAACACACACCUGACAGAAAGAAAGAAAAAAAAGAAAUAGGGGAUACCUUUGCAAAUUUGAUUCUUCUUCUUCUUCUUGUGUUGGCAUCUGGAAAGAUUGAAUUUUUUGAUAGCUUCUUCUUCUCCAUUGCUUAACUUUUGUGUGUUGGUAAUAGCAAGAUUAGCUUUUAUUCUCUUAAGAAUGGAUUUCUUCGCUCUUCUGCUUGCUAAAUUUACAUGGGCAUGGCGACGAUGGGAGCAUGUACACUUCUCCAUCUUCAUGAACAUUGUCAUCGUCUCAAAUGCUAGCAGCAGCUAGGGUUUCAGGUUUCUCUUUUUAUUUUUCUAUAUAUAAUAAAUAUCAGGAGGGGUAUAUUGGUCAUUUUAGUCAUUGUUAUUCCUCACAUCACUGGAAAGAAGAUAAAUCUACCAAGACUUCGAAGGUCGGAUUGGGGAACCUCUUCCUUCAAUCUAUGAACAUGACAUUUACCAGUGGGUUUGUUUUUGGAUAUUGAAAUUAGAAAUUUCCAUAUUUCAUGUUAUUUGUAUGGUUUCGAUUAGAAAUAAUUUGCUACUUGUGUUGGUGACAUCAAUACUUGUAUCGUCUUUACCUCUCUCUAUACAAAUUCUUUUCUGCAGCAAGGUAAGGAAUCAACAGAGCUUUCAAGGGGUCAAGACAAUUUUUUUGCCAUUGUUUUCAUUGGUGGUAUGCUGAAUAAGUUUAGUGGAGAGAGUGCAUUUGCACUGAUCAGUCUUCUUGGAGCAAGUAUUAUGCCUCACAAUUUUUACCUCCAUUCUUCUAUUGUACAGGUGUCCUCACAAUUCUGUAUUUGCUUCUAUCUUUUGAUUGUCACUUAUGAUUCCUGAACUACUGCUUAUCCUUGUGACUUAAGUUGGCUUGACCAUGAUCAGCAAAGUUGCUUAGGUCGACUCUUUAAAGAGAUAAAAUCUGUUGAAGCAAUCCGUGUUUCUGAAGCCUCUAUUGUUGUUAUGAUUUUCAUUCUAGAGAUCAUAAUUUUUGUGGUGGAUGAGUUUAUUUCUUCAGGAAAAAGGAAACCAAACUACAACAAAAAGAGUGUUUUCUCACUUUUUCCCCUUUUAAGGUGGUGGGGUGUGGGGGGAGUGAGAAGGUUAAAGAGCAUGUCGAAAAUGACCUUGUGUUGCCUUUGCUUUUUCACCUGCACUGAGUCUAUCUGUAUUAUAUAAUAUAGUUAUGUGUAUCCCAGAGCCGUAAGAGCCAAUAUUCACAGGGCAAGGGUACUUAGGCAUGAUUCCAACAGUCUAAAAGUGUAAAAUAUGUUCAGACAUGCUCAAAUCAUCAAUGAUGUGUCUUCAACAUCCCUUGUGAAAAAAAUGAUGCGUCUUUGACAUUACCAGUGGAUGUGGUUUUUUUUGUGUCUUUGACAUGAUGUUGUUGAGACUAUCUUGUUGGAAGUACAUCAGAUUUACCAUUUGGCUUGUCCUGCUUCUCCAGUUCACUACAAGUAUAAUCCUGUCAAAACUAUUAUAUCCUCUCUUUUUUUUAUACUUAAAACAUCAUUUCUUGUAUAUGUUAUGCCUACAUGAUACUUUAGUUCAAUCUUACUGACUUGAUUGCUAUGUUGCUCGGACUCUCCAAAAAUGCAGCUGCAUCUAUGCCGGAUCCUCUAAAAAGACACUAUUUUUUAUGGAUCCGACACGCACGCAGAGGCAUAUUUGAAGAGUCUGACCAAUAUUGUAAAUGAAUGUUUGUUGAUUUGCUUAUUUAGUUUGUAUAAUCCUGUUAGAACUGUUAUGUCAUUUUCUAGAUCAUGUCUUGGCUAAUUGUAGUUAAAUUUAUUGGCUUUAUGUAUGCAUACCUCUUUUGGUUUCGUUAGUUAAUGCUAUGGAAAUGAGAGUUCUUUGACUAGUUUGUUGGAUUUCGAUUCAUUUGAGAUCCUUAACUGUGAUUACAAGACAAAUGUGAUGGGCACCCUUAACAUGUUGGGGCUAGCCAGGAGAGUUGGUGCUAAGUUCUUGCUUACCAGUACAAGUGAGGUUUAUGGCGAUCCGCUUGAGCAUCCUCAAAAGGAAACAUAUUGGGGUCAUGUGAAUCCAAUAGGUGUGCAACAACUAAGAAUCCUGUUGUUUUCUUUUUUGCUUUUUGAAACAAGAAAAAUAUUUUUUUGAGUUUAUUUUAAUGAUUUUGAGCGUCUUGAAGCACCUAGGUGUUAGUAGCUGCUAUGACGAGGGAAAGCGGACUGCGGAAACCUUGACUAUGGAUUACCAUCGUGGUGCAAAUGUCGAGGAAAUGAAGAUUUCACUUUUUAGAAAUAAGUUUAACAUGUGAUGGAGCUGAGUGCUUCUGUGCAAAAUUAUCUGCUUAGUUGUGUGCUGUAAAAACUAAAUGCAGCCUCCUUUGCCUAAAAUGCAGUUAAAUUCGCAAGGGAAUUCAAAGAAUUAACAGCUAAGAAGAGAAAAGGAAUAGCGAAGAAGCAAAUAGCUAAUGCUUUUUUCCUUCAUACUUUUCCCGAACAGCUACUAGCCUACUAUACCCAAAGACUGAAAGACUUAAAUGCAACUAAAUAAAGUCAUAACAAAACUAUAAGGGACUAAACAACAAUCCCCUCUACACAGUAAUAAUAACUAACUCAACAACCUCUGUACUACUCUGCGAGUCCACUGUACAACUCUAGUAAACGUGUAUGCAUCAGUAACAGAAGAUAAAUUUUAUGGUGUAAAGUUUUUCUAUGAUGAAUGGUACUUCUUUAAAUGAAAACUUUAAGUUGGAGGGAAGUAAUACAUACAGGUAAAAUGGCUUAUUCUAAAACUAGGUCCUAGGAAGUUGCCUACACGUACAUCAGAAUCGUAUAUUAACAUGUGAUAUGCUUGCUAGCAUUUAUGAUCCAAAAUGAAGUUGUGUAGCUAUCCGUCCAAAUUAAUUGUAGUGUUUCUAUAGGAAAAUUUGGAAAGUUCAACUUGAAACCUAUUUUUUUGCUAGUUCUUGAUUAUGAGAAGUUGAACAAACUGCAGAAUAUUAUGAUGAUGAGAGGGCAUGGAAUAUAGGCAGCAAAGUAGCAAGUCAUUUCUUUCUUUUCAAUAAGAUUUAGUCUGAGUUCAAAUUAUGUAUUUUGCUCUGCCCCUUUCCACUUGUAAAAGUCAAACAGAGUCUUAAGUUGUAUAGUAAGUGGUAAUGUCAACUUCCAUGUUUCUCAUGGAUUACCUUGAACUUUACAGCUCCAAAUCUUUGUAUGCAAGUUCGUAUCACUCGGAUUUUCAAUACAAACGGACCUUGUAUGUGUCUAGAUGAUGGACGUGUUGUCAGCAACUUUGUUGCCCAGGUUUGUUCUAUUAGCCCGUGAUAUCAUUUAGUUUAACUUGAGCUGGUUUUGGUAUUUAUUGUUAUUCUAAAACCAUGUUUGCAGGCCAUCUGCAAGCAACGAAUGACAGUAUAUGGUGAUGGAAAGCAAACUUGAAGUUUUCAAUUUGUCUCUGAUCUGGUACUUCAUCUUAAUGAAUUCUCUUCUCCCAUUCCCUGUCUCUACCUUAGCAUGUUACUUUUACCUAUAUAUAUAUAUAUGGACGUCAGAUGGCAGCAUAUUUUAUUGGUUGAAGUUGGUCAAUGGUAGCUAUAGCCUUUAGCAGGUGUUAGUUUUCCUGAAGUGAUUUAUUCACUGUUAGUAUGGAUGGCAGUGAAAUUAGCCUUGAGUUCUUUGGGACCUAAAUAUAUAUUGCCUGUGUUUUGAACUUCAUAUGAAAAUCCUUCCGAUCGUUUAGAUGACAAAUAACUGUAGAAGUUUUAACUCAUGUUAUGGGCAACUGGCUAUGCUCUCCUGGAUGGAACCUACGUCCUGUUCUAGCUCUGUUAAGUUUGCAUCACAAUAUUGUGAAGUAAAAUUCUAAUACUGGGCAAGAGGUUCAUUGAAUAGAGAAAAUGUUUUGCUAGAUUUAAAAGAUGUAUUGUUCUCCCUAUCAAUAAACUUCAAAAUUAUAGUGGUUAAUGCACCUCAAAAUCUUAGUGACCUAGUGGUUAAUGAAGCACCAUGAGGUCUCAAAUUCCAUCUAAAGUACACUGUAGAGAAUAUACAAGAUAGAAUAAUGUAAGUUCAGCUCUAGGAAAAUUAAAGGUGAAGUGAGAUAUAUGAGAUUUUGGUGCCUUAAUGUAGAUGAUUGGAUAUCCAGGCACAGUGAUCCCAGAAAAUGGCACGAUAUUUGCAUAUUUAACAGACUACCAAAUAAUAGGCCAGUGAUGUUACGGGAGUGAAAUGUCAAGCUUAAGAACAAUGUUAUAUUAGAGCAAAUAUUGAACCUCUAAACUUCCAACAUUUCUACAAGAUAAAUGUCAUAUGUUAAGAUAAAAAUGCAGUUCAAGAUUGGAUGAGAUUUGAAAUAAUCACACUCCACAUUGGGUGAGAGUUGCAUACAUGAAUGAUAAAAUGAACGAAGUUCGCCUGAGAAGGUUUGGUUCGCUCGGUCAUUAGAUAUGACUAUAUGAUAGUUGGAGGCAGCAAAAUGGGAAUGUGAUGGACCUAAAAUCGCGUUGAGGGGACUUGUCUCAACAGGCUUACGAGCUAUCAAAACUAAUGUGGAAUCUGCCAAGUGAAGCACAAAUUGGAAGAAAAUAAUUCAUAUAGGCAAGUCCAGCUAGUUUUGAGAUUAAAGUCAUUCUUACUCCUUACAUAACUCGAAUGUUCAUCAAAAGUUGCUUAGGUUGACUCUUUAAAGAGAUAAAAUCUGUUGAAGCAAUCCGUGUAUUUUCAUGCUAGGGAUCAUAAUUUUUGUCGUGGAUGAGUUUAUUUCUUCAGGAAAAAGGAAACCAAACUACAACAAAAGGAGUGUUUUCUCACUUUUUCCCCUUUUAAGGGUGUGGGGUGGGGUGGGGGUGGGGGGAGUGAGAAGGUUAAAGAGCAUGUUGAAAAUGACCCUUGUGUUUCCUUUACUUUUUCACCUGUACUGAGUCUAUCUGUAUUAUAUAAUAUAGUUGUGUAUCCCAGAGCCGUAAGAGCCAAUAUUCACAGGGCAAGGGUACUUAGGCAUGAUUCCAACAGUCUAAAAGUGUAAAAUAUGUACAGACAUGCUCAAAUCAUCAAUGAUGUGUCUUCAACAUUCCUUGUGAAAAAAAUGAUGCAUCUUUGACGUUACCAGUGGAUGUGGUUUGACAUUACCAGUGGAUGUGGUUUGUGUAUUUCCAUGUUUCUGAUGCAUUUGUUUUUGAAUUUUUAGAAAUUUCUAUGUUUCAUGUUAUUUGUAUGGUUUCGAUUAGUCUCAUUAAUUAUCAGAGCUUAGAAAUAAUUUGCUACUUGUGUUGGUGAGUUCAAUACUAGACUGUAUCGUCUUUACCUCUCUCUAUAUAAAUUCUUUUUUGCAGCAAGGUAAGGAAUCAACAGAGCUUUCAAGGGGAGCUCUGUGUCAGGACCAUUUUUUUGCCAUUGUUUUCAUAUUCAGCAGCCAAUGUGUCUUAUAGUACUGGCCUUUUGUUGCUGACAUUUCCGGACACAUUGUCAUUGCUCGAUCAGGUUAGAUUAGAACAGCAAAAGAUGGUUCUGUCUAAGCUAGGGCCUCUGUGAACUAGAGAUAUUAAUGCUUUUCAUGAAUUAUUGACGCAGGUGUUUAGAAGCUCAGUAGCACCAUUCACCAUAAUGCUGGUUACAUUUAUUUCCAAUCAAGUUACACCACUAACUUGGGAUCUUGGUAGACAAGCAGUUGUGCAUUAUUUGGAAUGGCAUCCCAGGCUGGUUUCAUUAUGUGACGAUCAGAGUUAUUUCCAUUGUCCCAGCCAUUUAUUGUGUAUGGAAUUCAGGAGCUGAAGGCCUAUAUCAGUUGCUAAUAUUAACACAGGUUGUGGUGGCGCUAGUGCUUCCAUCUUCUGUCAUACCCCUGUUCAGAGUUGCUUCUUCAGAGAUUAACUAUGGGUAUUCACAAAAUUUCUCAGUUAAUGGAGUUCUUAUCUCUUGGCACAUUUAUCGGCUUAUUUGUCAUAGAGAUGAUAUUUGGAAAUAGUGAUUGGGUUAAUAAUUUUAAGUGGAGUAUUGGGGGAGUAGUGUGUCUACUCCAUAUGUUUUUCUCCUCAUUGCAGCCUCUUUGAUCUCUUUGUCUCAUGCUGUGGUUAGCAGUUACUCCACUGAAAUCUGCAAGUUCCAGGUUCGAUGCUCAGGCAUUCUGCAAACGCCUAUGCCUGAGCCAUAUUUGGAGUGUAAUCAACUUGGUUUGGUCUAGUAGAAGGGUCCUCCCAAAAGCAAGAAGGUGCAUUUCAUGUGGAAAAAUCCUUGGUAAGCCAUCCAUAUUUAUCAACUAAAGAUCCUGAUCAACUCUUGCCAGAAUCACUCUUGAAUUUUGAAAAGGUCCAUCAUUUGGCUACUAUUGAUGAGGGUAAAUCUGAAACAACAUACUCAGCUCCUGCUGUUGGUCAUCCUGAGGUAUCUGUAUCAGCAGGAGCAAGUUCCGGUGUGAAAAGUGUUUGUAAUGAGGUGUCUGGUGUUGUAUCUGUGGAUACCAGUGUCUUCAAUACUGAAUCUGUGGAUGUCGUAGAGAUAACUCUUAGCAAAUGACAGGGAUGAUGGAGAUUCGUGGGAGGAGCCUGAAGAGGCAAUCAGAGAGAACACUCAAUCUUUUAUUUCUGAUGGUCCAGGGUCAUACAAAAGUCUAAGUGAAAAACUAGAGGACACGGGGAUUGUUACGGGAAGUCUACCAAGAUUAGCAGGUCUUGAUAGGUAGUUAUCAGAAGUUCUAAAUGAGUUUUGGUGGCAGCUUUUUGGUUACCAUGGUAUGCAUGGCCACAGCAGAAGCGAAGUCCAAAAAACUGGAUAUAAUACUUGGUCUGGACUCAUUGGUGAAUCCAAAACCUGCCCGUCCAUCACUAAAAGUGGAAAGCAGUGGGUAUAUUCCAUCGGGGAGUGCAAGGAUACCAGAGUUUCUGAUCAACUUGCUUAUGUACUCCCCCAAGUAGCAAUUUGCAUCAAGCAUUGUGGACUCAUCUUCGACAUCUUCUAUAUGGUCUAACCAUAUGAAACUAGUAGGUGCGUACGUGCAAAGUUCCAACUGCAACAUACUUGACUCAUGGGAGAGGCGCUAUUCUAGUAUGCGGAUUCCAGCGACUUCUGCUGGCUAUGAUCAGCAGCCUGCCACUGUGCAUGGAUAUCAGAUUACUGCUUACCUUAAUCAACUUGCAAUAGAAAGAGGAUCUGAUUAUUUUAAUGGGCAACUGGAGUCACCAUCUCCUCGUUCUGUAUCAUCACUGACGUCAAACUAUGCCGAGCCAUUGUCUCGUGCUUCGGGGCAAAAACCUCAUAGUGGAGUCAGUAGUCCGGCACCACCUGGUUUGGAAAUGUCCCUGUAGCCCGAAAUAAUUUGAUGCAGCCCAAUAACACUUCUGUCGACCUUAGCUCUACUGAAACUGCUGAAAGCGUGGCUGGCUCAGCCAACUCUAAGAAGUACUACAGCUUGCCUGAUAUCUCAGGGCGCGAUGUUCCUCGCGAAGAUUCUUAGUCUUAGAUGGGAGAGCUCAAUGGUACAAUUCCAUGGGAUUUGGACAAUCUGGUGGUCGAUCUACAUACGAGCAAGCCUAUAUGUGUGGUUCACUUAGGGCAGGUGGUCCUCAGAGGUAUGAACAGUCUCCUAAAGUCUGCAGAGAUGCGUUCUCCUUGCAGUACAGCUCCAAUUCAGGGACUGGAUCGCUGUGUUCUAGACAGCCUUUUGAGCAAUUUGGUGUAGCUGGUAAGCUAGAUGUUGGUAGCGGCGAUCAUGGAACUGUGCAGAGUUCAUCUGCUCAAGAGAGUACAUCUACGGUUGACUUGGAAGCUAAGCUGCUUGAGUCUUUCAGAAGUUGUAUUGUGAAAAUGCACGACUGCAGCAAUGCUCUUAGAGAUGAUCAAAGAUACGGAGACGGCAAUUUCCUGUCGAAAGGGAUGAAUGGGCACUGCAGCAGGAGAUUUAGCCUUUCCUAAAGGAAAAGAGAACCUGGCAUCCGUCCUCAAGCGCUAUAAACGUCGACUAUCCAAUAAGCCAGUAGGAAACCAGGAGUUGGCUGGAAUUAGUGGACUACGCAAACUAAUGUUGUCGGCCUCAUCACCCCUUUCGUCUUGUAAUGCUCUUUUCUCAGUUCAUAGCAAAUGACUGGUGAGAUCACCAUUGUUCUUAGUUUCUGUGAAUUAAUUCCCUCCCCAACUACAUCCCUUGUACCUCAUGUGUAUUUGAAUCUUUGCAGCUUAUUCACCCCACCUCUUGUACCUCAAUCUGUAUAAAUAGGAUAAAAUGUUGUAACGAGGUUACUGUAAAACUGCAAUGGUGGAAUGAAAAGAUGUUAUUAUAAGACAUGCAGUUCUCUUCCUUUUUCUUUCCAUAGUGCUAUCUAUGUUGAACCAAUGGAAACAACAUCUAGCUCUGAAUUACUUUUAAUAUCAAAAGGCCGUUGUCUAUUACUACUGAGUUACUUUUAAUAUCAAAAGGUUGUAUUUCCUAGGAUCUAUUGAAAAUCAUGUAACCUUUAUGUGGGGUUAUGUGUUUUUGUAUUGUAUAUUACUACUUCCUUUUUAUGUGGUGGGACUGUUAGUUGUAGUUUGCACUUGGCUGCCGUAUAAGUUAAAACUUUACGAACUCUACCUUCUUUUUUUUUCGUGGUCUCAUGAUUCGCAUCGUGCAAGGUCAAAUAUAAAAGGAAAAGUGUUACCUAACAGGUGUUUUUUUACAUAAGAUUUGAACUCGUUACAUUUGGUGAAGAGAUUUUAGUCAUUCGAUCAUAACUCUUUAUUGGUUAAUAGAGGAGAAUUACACAACAAUAUUUCCCUCCAUUCUAUUUUUGUGUCAUAGAUCAUUGAAACUGUGUUCUUAAAACUAAUUUUUUGUUUUUUUUUAGCUCUAUGACCUAAUUGCAUUAAAAAUGAUUAUAAAGAUCAAAGAGGAUGAAUGUGAAUGGCUAGAAGAGGACAAUCAUAUUCCUAUAAAGAAUUUUCUUAUCCUCAUCGCUUUAGUUGAAAUUAUUGUCAUCAUUAUAGGUUCAAUAAAAACUUAAUUGUUUUUAAAAUAUAUAUAUAUAUAUAUAUAUAUAUAUAUAUAUAAAUCAUCUAUUUUGGAAAAUUAGUAAAUUAUUCUAUUUUAUAUUUCAAAUUUUAUAUAUUUAAAUUCUAAAUUUACUUCUAUCUACACUACUUAAUAUCUAAGAGUAGGAUUUAAUCAUCAUAAAUUAUUAUUGUGUGAUUUGAUAUUUAGGACAUCAAAAUAUUAGACCACAAUCGAAGAUGAGAUAAUAACAAUGUAAUUUGGUGGUUGAUAGUUCACCCGCAAUUCUUAAUCAAAGACUUUUAAAAAAAAAAUUAUUAAAAUUUGAUUAAUCGAAUCGAUGAAUUAUUUUUAAAAAAGUUAAAUAUUGUAUUGUGGUCUGACAUUAGAAUUAAAAUUCAUUUCAAUUAAGUCAUGAAGCCAUUAGCAAUGCCUUGCUCAUUCUUUCGUCCCGAAAAUUCGGGGAAAUUCUGAAGUUUGAAGCCAUUAGCAAUGCCUUGUUCACCUUUCGUCCCAAAAAUUCUGGGAAUUCUGAAGGUCAAAAUUUGAAGCCAUUAACAAUGCCUUGCUCAUUCUUUCGUCCUGAAAAUUCUGAGAAAUUCUGAAGUUUGAAGCCAUUAGCAAUACCUUACUCACCCUUUCGUCCCAAAAAUUCUGGGAAAUCUCAAGCCGAUUUAGUCAAAUUUUGAAGUCAUUAGCAAUGGCUUGCGAACUUUGUAAAUCACUGGAUGUGUAGCUCUUUGUAUUUUUGAAAAAUAUUAUGUAGCAGAAUCACUCGAUACAAUGGUCAGUCAUUACGGGUAUAACAUGUUGAAAGAAGUAGUAACAAAAAAACAUGCGAGUGACCCUUGGAUUUGGAGCUUUGGAUACGUAUCAGAAUAGUAGAUAUUGAAAAAACUAAUUUCUUAUUUCAUAUUCGAUUACUCGUACUAAAAUUUAAUUAAUCAUGAUAUCAAUUAAUAUCACAUAAGAUUCUAUUGAGAAAAGAAAAGUAUUCUUAUUAAAAAAAUUCUAAACCCGAUAGUGUUCUUAUAUAUGGACGGAGAAUGUUAGACAUAAAUUCUUUUUUCUGGAAUGUUCCUUAGUAAAAAAAAAGGUUCCCUCUAUAGGUUCAUACCUUCCUUUCGUUCCAAACUGUUCAUACAUUCCUUUCGUCCCAAAAAUUCUGGGGAAAUUCUGAAUCCGAUUAAGUAAAAUUCUGAAGCCAUUAGAAAUGCCUCCAUGCGAACUUUGAGCAUUGUAAAACUCCUUGUAUCUUUGGAAAAUAUUUUGUACCAGAAACAAUCGAGUUGAUGGUUAAUCAUUACGGCUAUGAGUUGUUGAAAGAAGUAUUAGAACAAACACAUGAGAGUGACCCUAUGCAUUUGCAGCUUUGUGUCACGGACUUAGAGUAUUUGCUAAAACCCCAUGCGGCACUUGACAACUUACUCACGAUUCUUUCACGAUCUCCCUUUAAACUCGGAACGCUAAGAUAAUAUGAAGAAAGACAAAGAAAGACUUUGGAAGAGAGGACUUGUAUUAGCGAGAACUUUGCUUACAACUUUGGUUGGUUUGUUGGAUGAUUACAAAUGAGAGGCCCUUCUAUUUAUACUACUCCCUAAGGGCCUAAGAGUAAAUAAAUAUUGUUCUACAAGUCCCUAAGUAAUUACACUUUAGUAUAUGUUCUAGAGAAUUCUACCCUCUCUAGAAUAUGUCUCUAGCUCUUCCAAAAGGCUCUAAAACGUUCUAGAGAAUUCUAGGGAAUUCUCUAGUCUUCUCCAAGGAUCUAGAAGGGUCUAGAGUCUUCUACAAACCUCUUCAAGGCUCUAGGUCCUUCUGCCCCGUUCGGAUGCUGCAAAAUGGCCAGAAUUAUGGCGGGCUAUCACACUCUCCCCCACCUAAUGAUGCGGCGACCGCUACGCAUUACUGCAAGAAUUUGGACUUUGUCCUUGAAUUGCCACAAGUCUUCGUACUUCUCCCAAGUGGCUUCUUCAGGAGUUUGUCCCUUCCAAUGUAUAAGGAACAUGGCGCUGGCUUGUUGUCCUCGUUUCUGUUUGGCUUGAUAAUCUAUGAUGGCUCCUAUUUCUCGGUCGUGUGAGGUAGUGAUAGUGAUAGGGGCCCGUUGCGAUUCGUUCCGGCUAGGAUCAUCCUUAUCUUCAUGAUACGGCUUAAGGACACUUGCAUGAAAGACCGGGUGGAUCUUCAAGUGUGGAGGUAACUCCAACUUGUAUGAGAUUUUGCCAACCUUGGCAACAAUCUUGAAUGGACCCUCAUAUUUACGCACUAAGUUGUGAUGAACGCCUCUUAGUUCCUUAAACUGCCUCGGAUUGAAUUUUAUCAAAACCAUGUCGCCUUCUUUGUAGUCAGUGGGACGACGCUUGCGAUCGGCGAACUUUUUCAUCCUCUUUACUGCCUUGUCCAAGUAAGACUUGGCAGUGUCAAGUUGUUCUUCCCAUCCCUUGGCAAGAUGGUAAGCGCCCAAACUCUUCCCCUCAAACGUGGUUGGUAGUGAAUGCGGAGUUUGGGGUUGCUGACAUGUUGCCAACUCGAAUGGUGUGCGCUCUGUGGAUUCACUCCUCUGCAAAUUAUAAGAAAAUUGCGCCAUGUCCAGGAGCUUAGCCCAAUUUUUUCUGGUGCGCACUGACAUAGUGCCUAAGAUUGCACUCUAACAAGGCGUUGACGCGUUCAGUCUGGCCGUCAGUUUGCGGGUGGAAACUUGUGGAAAAGUGAAGUCUUGUGCCAAGAAUUUCGAAGAGUUCAUUCCAAAAUUUCCCAGUGAAACGAGGAUCUCAAUCGCUGAUGAUGUACCUCGGCAACCCCCAAUAUUUCACUACAUUUUUGAAGAACAAUUGAGCGGCUUCCUUGGCUGUGUAACCGGCUGUGGCAGGUAUGAAUGUAGCAUAUUUGGAAAAUCUGUCUACCACGACCAUAAUCGUGCCAAACCCGUUUGACUUCGGCAAAGAAGUGAUGAAGUCCAUAGUUACGCUCUCCCAUGGACGAUCUGCUACGGGUAGUGGCUCUAACAGCCCUCCUAGUUGCCUCUGCUCUACCUUGUCUCGUUGGCACACAAGACAAGUCUGCACAUAACGCUCAAUAUCGUCCCGCAUACAUGGCCAGAAGUAAAGAGCCUCAAUCAGCGCCCUCGUUCUUCGCUGCCCUGGAUGCCCAGCCCACAGUGUGUCGUGGCUUUCUUUUAUGAUACGCCGCCUAAUAGCUCCGAACUUGGGUACAUAAACUCUCCAUUCGGUGGUAAGCAAGAACCCGUCUUCUACCUAAAACCGCCUGGUUUGGUCUUGCGCAGCCAGCUCCAUUAUCUUCUUGGCUUCCGGAUCGUGCUGCAUACCAUCUUUGAUUGCGUCUUGAAUGUCACAACGAGCUGUGGUGAUGGCAGCUAGCUCAGCCUUCCUGCUCAAUGCAUCGGCCACUACAUUUCCUCUUCCUGGUUUGUACUCCAAGACGUAGUCGAAUUCCGCCAAGAAGUCUUGCCAUCUAGCCUGCUUUGAAGUGAUUCUUCUGUGACUGAAAAUAGCUAGUGGCAACAUUGUCGGUUUUCACCACGAAUUUGGAGCCUAAUAGAUAAUGUCUCCAUGUGCGUAGGCAAUGUACGAUGGCCGCCAUCUCCUUUUCUUGCACUGUGUACCGUCGUUCAGCGUGCAAAAGGUGUCUUAAAAAUAAUUUGCUACUUGUGUUGGUGACAUUAAUACUAGACUGUCUCGUCUUUACCUCUCUCUAUAUAAAUUCUUUUCUGCAGUAAAGUAAGAAAUCAACAGAGUUUUCAAGGUGUGAGGACCAUUUUUUUGCCAUUGUUUUCAUAUUCAGUGGCAUUUUCCUGGUCUAACAUGAAUUCAGCAGCCAAUGUGUCUUAUAGUACUGGCCUUUUGAUGCUGACAUUUCAGGACAUAAUGUCAUUACUAGAUCAGGUUAGAUUAGAACAGCAAAAGAUGGUUCUGUCUAAUUGACUGAUGUUUUCGUAUUUAACUCAAUUCAGAAAUCAGAAUCGGUAAUCGGUUUAUUGACGGAUGCAAAGGUGUUAAUGUAGUGAUUGGUUGGAGUUGGUGGAUUUAACAAUUCGAAAAGUCUUCCAUCUUUAUAAGGCGCACUUGUCAGAUUUCUUGUUCUGAGUUGGUUGAUUUUAGCAGACUCUUAAUAAAAUUCUUUCAUGUCCAUUAUUUUUGGGUGCCAGAGGGCUUUGAUAUCCAGUUCUACCCAUGCUACAUAGAAAACUUGGAACAUGUCUCCUGCUCUGUUCUUCUUACAAUAACUUGUAUUUAUGAAGUUAAUGAACAGAAACAGAAACAAGAUGAAGCAGAAAAAAAAUUUAAAAUAGAAUAAUUAAUCCGAGUCCACAGAAACUACUGUGUGUCCUUAAGAAAUUUAAUCCCCUCACUGUACCCAAGGUUAUGGAUUAAUUUCUCCCAAGAUAAAACGGAUUAAACCUGUUAAAGAAAUAGUGGUACCUCAAACUUCUUUAACUUCAACGAACUGAAGAACAGUAACAAGUCACACAGACUCAGUCGAUCGACACUUUGAUUUUAUUUGAGAGAAAAAUAAAUGCAGAGAAAGAAAUUUUUUUUUCAGUUCUUAAAAAAUCAAAAAUUGACUUCCUUUUAUAGCCAUUUUCAGCAAGGAACAUAUCUGUUCAGUGAAAUCUAUUCAGACCCAUUUUAUCCAGAAAGUUGUGUCUUUUGGAAAAAAUAACAACUUUUCGAAAAAUUGUGUCUGUUCGGAAAAUAACUACUUUUUGGAAAGUAACGACUUUUCGGAAAGAGUAACAACUUUUCGAAAUGUUACCGUUACCUGCAAAUUUAUAAGAAAUGACUUUUCAUUUGCACUUUGCAAAUGACUUUUCAUUUUCUCUCCAAAGUAGUUCUCUCACUUUUGAUAUUUUCUCUUUUCUUUUCCCAUUCACACUUACUAAAACCCAACAAUCCCCCACAUGAAUGGGGAAGGCUAUUGUUAAAACAUAUGCAUGAAAAAAAACUUGUGUGUCUUGUAGGUAAAGGUUAAUCGCAUCUGGAUAAGUAGGUUUCUCUUUAAACUUUCCGUAGUGAACAUAUAUCGGAUAUACUCGGUCAAUCGGUAGAUUUGAUAUCUUUGAACCGUCGAGCUUUGGUGUAUACCUAGACAACAUAUGUCACACAAUCAACCCUUGAACUGUCCUUAGUUCUCAUUGUUUUGUUCGUUUCAGCCAUGAACACAUCUUGGAUAGUAAGUGCUUAAAGAACUGGCCUUACCGGAUUCUCCUUGAAGCGGCUUACACUUCACACUUACAUAGGUGAUUUCUAAAUGUGUUAUCCCAUAGAUACACCAUUUGAUAUUCCUUGUAUCAAACUUAGAAACCAUUAAAAAGUCCUUAUGUCUUUAUCCUAGUUACUAAACAUUGUCUCAUCAUGAGAAUGAACCAUAAAAUAAUAAUAAUAUUUUAUUUUAUUUUUCCUUUGACAAUAUUGAAUCGUCAUCAAUGACUUUGUUUUAUCUCCUUGAACCUAGAUCUUGGGAUCUCCAGUCUUCUAGGUAGAGUUACCGCCACGAUGACUUGUUCUCGGCCAUAGUCCCAUUCCCGUCGAUGAUUUCUCAACUCCCUCUCUAUUUAGGACUUUUGUAAGUGGAUCCGACACAUUAUCUUUUGACUUCACAUAGUCAAUUGUGAUAAUUCCACUAGAGAGUAGUUGUCUCACAGAGUUAUGUCUUCGUCUUAUGUGACGAGACUUGCCGUUAUACAUAAUGCUUUCAGCCCUUCCUAUUGCAGCUUGACUAUCACAAUGUAUGCAUAUAGGGGUCAUUGGUUUGGGCCAAAAUGGAAUAUCUUCUAAGAAAUUCCGGAGUCAUUCAGCUUCUUCACCUUCCUUGUCUAAAGCAAUGAAUUCAGACUCCAUUGUAGAGCGAGCUAUACAUGUUUGUUUGGAUGAUUUCCAAGAUAUUGCUCCUCCGCCAAUAGUAAAAACGUAUCCACUUGUGGAUUUUGUUUCAGUUGACCCAGUAAUCCAAUUUGCAUCACUAUAUCCUUCAAGAACGGCUGGAUAUCUGUUGUAAUGUAAAGCAUAGUUUUGAGUGUCAUCUAAGUAUCCCAAAACUCUCUUCAUUGCUAACCAAUGAUUAUGAUUAGGAUUACUUGUGUAUCGACUCAGUUUACUGAUAGCGCAAGCUAUGUCUGGUCGUGUACAAUUCAUGACAUACAUUAAGCUUCCCAAUACGCUAGCAUAGUCCAAUUGAGACUGACUUUCGCCUUUAUUCUUUGCAAGAUGAAGAUUUACAUCAGUUGGAGUCUUUGCCCUUUUAAAAUUCAAAAAUUUGAAUUUUUCAAGUAUCUUUUGAAUAUAAUGAGUUUGAGACAAUGCUAGACCAUUAGGAGUUUUAAGAAUUUUAAUUCCUAAUAUCACAUCAGCAACUCCUAAAUCUUUCAUAUCAAACUUACUAGCAAGCAUACGCUUUGUAGCUUUUAUAUUAGCAAUGUCUUUGCUCAUUAUAAGCAUAUCAUCUACAUAUAGGCAUAAAAUAACUUCCUGAUUUGGAGUAUCUUUAAUGUAAACACAUUUAUCACAUUCAUUGAUCUUAAAUCCAUUUGCCAACAUGGUUUGAUCAAACUUUGCAUGCCAUUGUUUUGGUGCUUGUUUUAGCCCAUAAAGUGACUUAAUAAGUUUGCACACUUUCUUUUCUUUACCAGGAACUACAAAACCCUCAAGUUGUUCUAUGUAAAUUUCCUCUUCAAGCUCUCCAUUUAAGAAGGCUGUUUUCACAUCCAUUUGAUGAAUUUCAAGACCGUAUACUGCAGCUAGUGCAAUUAACAUCCGAAUUGAUGUAAUCCUAGUCACUGGCGAAUAUGUGUCAAAAUAAUCAAGACCUUCUUUUUGUCUAAAACCUUUGACAACAAGUCUUGCUUUAUAUUUGUCAAUAGUUCCAUCGUCUUUCAUCUUCCUUUUAAAGAUCCAUUUUGAACCCAACGGUUUGUUCCCUGGAGGAAGAUCAACCAACUCCCAAGUAUGAUUGCUUAAGAUUGAUUCAAUUUCACUAUUAACAGCCUCCUUCCAAGAGGUUGAGUCGCUAGACAACAUUGCUUCCUUGAAUGUUUGAGGCUCACUUUCAAGAAGAAAUGUUACAAAAUCUGAUCCAAAUGAAGUAGAUGUCUUUUGACGUUUACUGCGUCUUGGACUUUCUUCAUUUUGUUCAUUCUCUUUUGGUUCUUCUCUGGGUUGUUUAGAUCCCCCACUAGAUUACUCAAGUCUAGUUUUAUAUGGAUAGAUAUGUUCAAAAAAUUCAGCACUAUCUGAUUCCAUUACCGUAUUAUCAUGAAUAUCCGGAUGUUCUGACUUAUGAACCAAAAAACGACAUGCCUUACUGUUUGUGACAUAUCCAAUGAAUACACAAUCCACAGUCUUAGGUCCUAUUUUUACCCUCUUAGGUAUAGGAACUUGGACUUUGGCUAGACACCCCCACACUUUGAAAUAUUUCAAAUUGGGUUUUCUACCUUUCCAUUUCUCAUAUGGAAUUACAUUUGUCUUUGAGUGAGACACUCUAUUAAGUAUCUGAUUUGAUGUAAGGAUAGCUUCCCCCCACAAGUUCUGUGGUAAACCUGAACUUAUAAGUAAUGCACUCAUCAUUUCUUUUAAAGUUCGAUUUUUUCUUUCUGCAAUUCCAUUAGACUGAGGAGUGUAGGGAGCAGUAGUUUGAUGAAUUAUUCCAUUUUCUAAACAUAUUUCUGCAAAUGGAGAUUCAUAUUCUCCACCUCUAUCACUUCUGAUCAUUUUGAUCUUUUUAUCUAACUGAUUUUCAACUUCAGUUUUAUAUUGCCUAAAUGCAUCUAUUGCUUCAUCCUUACUAUUUAGCAAAUAGACAUAACAAUAUCUAGUGCAAUGGUCAAUAAAAGUUAUGAAAUACUUUUUCCCACCACGUGAUGGUGUUGACUUCAUGUCACAAAUAUCAGUGUGAAUCAAUUCUAAAGGAUUUGAAUUUCUUUCAACAGAUUUAUAAGAAUGCUUAGCAUACUUAGAUUCAACACAAAUUUGAUAUUUUGAUUUAUUGCACUCAAAUUUUGGCAAAAUAUUUAAGUUAAUCAGUUUUCGCAAGGUUUUGUUAUUAACGUGUCCCAAACGUUCAUGCCAUAAACAUUUAGACUCAAGCAAGUAAGAAGAAGCAAAAUCUUUAUUCAUAUCAACUGCAAUUACAUUGAGUUUGAAAAGGCCAUCACUAAGGUAGCCUUUUCCUACAUACAUAUCAUUUUUGCUUACUCCUACUUUAUCAGAAACAAAUACACAUUUAAAUCCAUUCUUGGUCAGAACUGGAAUUGAAACUAAAUUCUUUCUCAAUUCUGGAACAUAUGAGACCCUAUUCAAAGUCACCACCUUGCCUGAUGUCAUCUUUAAUAGGACUUUGUCAGUUCCUUCCACCUUUGCAACAGCGGAGUUUGCCAUAAACAAUUUUUCAUCUGUAAGUGCUGGAGUAUAUGAUGAAAAUAAUUCUUUGUUGGCACAAACAUGGCAUGAGGCACCAGAAUCUAUCCACCAUUCUCUUGGAUUUCCAACCAAGUUACAUUCUGAAAGCAUUGCACAGAGAUCAUCCAUUUCUACUUUGGAUUCAACCAAGUUUGCUUGAUCCUUCUUUUUCUUGUCCUUCUUAGGACCCCGGCAUUCAUUAGCCCUAUGACCAUGUUUACCACAAUUAAAGCAGUUUCCAUUGAAUUUCUUCUUAAGAGGAUUGCUUUUUGGACCAGACGCUUUCUUUCUUUUCUUUAAUUUUGUGGAAUCUUCUUCAACAAAAUUUACUCCAGAUAUUGUUGAAUUACCACGUGACCUCUUUUCUGCAGCCUUAUUAUCCUCUUCGAUUCUCAACCUUACUAUGAGAUCUUCAACAGUCAUCUCCUUGCGUUUGUGUUUCAAGUAGUUUUUAAAGUCCUUCCACAAUGGAGGUAACUUUUCAAUAAUUGCAGCCACUUGAAAAGCAUCAUUCACAAUCAAUCCUACAUUAAAGGUUAUGUGAGUAUUAAGGGAAAACUUAAUAUUUCUAACAUAGGCAUUAAAUAAAUUUAUACCUUCUGCAAGGAGAUCAUGGAUUAUGACCUGCAAUUCUUGAACUUGGGUGACGACAGUCUUACUGUCUAUCAUCUUAUAGUCCAGAAAUUUUGCCACAAUGAAUUUCUUCAUUCCGGCAUCUUCUGUUUUGUACUUCUUUUCUAAAGCAUCCCAGAGUUCUUUUGAGGUUUUGGCAUUGCUGUACACAUUGUACAGAUCAUCUUGCAGACCACUCAAAAUAUAAUUUUUACAAAAAAAAUCUGAGUGUGUCCAUGCUUCUGUUACAAAGAAUCGUUCAUCAGCCGGAGUUUCAUCUGACAUAAAAGGAACAUUCUCAUUGAUGAACUUCUGCAGACUCAACGUAGUGAGAUAGAAGAACAUCUUUUGCUGCCAUCUCUUAAAGUCGACUCCAGAAAACUUUGCAGGUUUCUCAGCCGGUGCUAAGGCAGCAUUUGAACGAUUAUGUGCAACCGUUGUUGUUGCAGCACUUACUGUUCCAGCAUUUGUUUGACUUGAAUUAGUCAUUUUUUUUCUGUCACAAAUGGCAGAUAAAUUAAGUAUUUAAAAUACUAACAGUAAAGAACAAAUCUUUACACAAACUGUUUCUGAUUUAACGAUAAAGUUUUUAUGUUCUUUUAAUCGUUAAUCGAAUGAAUUUUAAAAAUUCAAGCAGAGUAGAAAAUCAUAAAGGUUUUAAUCUCCAGAAACCUCAAAUACAGAAACUGCUAAAUUUCUUAAGAUUGUUCUUCUUACAAUAACUUGUAUUUAUGAAGUUAAUGAACAGAAACAGAAACAAGAUGAAGCAGAAAAAAAAAUUUAAAAUAGAAGAAUUAAUCCGAGUCCACAGAAACUACUGUGUGUCCUUAAGAAAUUUAAUCCCCUCACUGUACCCAAGGUUAUGGAUUAAUUUCUCCCAAGAUAAAACGGAUUAAACCUGUUAAAGAAAUAGUGGUACCUCAAACUUCUUUAACUUCAACGAACUGAAGAACAGUAACAAGUCACACAGACUCAGUCGAUCGACACUUUGAUUUUAUUUGAGAGAAAAAUAAAUGCAGAGAAAGAAAUUUUUUUUUCAGUUCUUAAAAAAUCAAAAAUUGACUUCCUUUUAUAGCCAUUUUCAGCAAGGAACAUAUCUGUUCAGUGAAAUCUGUUCAGACCCAUUUUAUCCAGAAAGUUGUGUCUUUUGGAAAAAAUAACAACUUUUCGAAAAAUUGUGUCUGUUUGGAAAAUAACUACUUUUUGGAAAGUAAAGACUUUUCGGAAAGAGUAACAACUUUUCGAAAUGUUACCGUUACCUGCAAAUUUAUAAGAAAUGACUUUUCAUUUGCACUUUGCAAAUGACUUUUCAUUUUCUCUCCAAAGUAGUUCUCUCACUUUUGAUAUUUUCUCUUUUCUUUUCCCAUUCACACUUACUAAAACCCAACAUGCUCUUGUAUGUUUCAUUUACAACACUGGACAGUUCUCUUUUUUUUGGCUAACCUGGUGUUUAAUGUGCACAUCUUGUAUUUUGUUUAACUGGUGAUGUAUAAUAACUUUGCUGUGUCAAAGUUACAUGUAUAUUCCUAGGAAUUGAUUGCUUUGGACCUCACAAUGGUAAUUUCACUAUUUCAUUUUGUGUACACUCUGGCUUCCGAGAUUAUGAGCGCAUCAACUUGAUUCUGAUAGGUUUUGGGCACUGCAACCGGUGCCAUUUGUUUCCACUGCUGGCUUAUCUCUUUGUAAGUCUUACUACUAACUAUCCUUGUGUUAUUGGCAUCUUGAAUAAUCUCAUAUUCUUGUCGUAUAGUCCUAGUCUCUCAUAAAAUAUGUUCAGACAUGCUCAAAAUUUCUCAGUUCUCAUCUCUUGGCACAUUUAUCGGCUUAUUUGUCAUACAGAUGAUAUUUGAAAACAGUGAAUGGGUUGAUCCAGGUGUAUAUAUAUAUUACUCUUACCUCCCUAGAUGCGUCAAAGAUCUUAAAAGAGUUUAUGAGUUGUACGCAUAGUUGACAAGGCAAGCAAGUGUAAAUAUAUUUAGCACAUUGAGACAUGCAAAUUACCAUUUGUACAUGAGUUUGGUCCUAACUCUCAAUGAUUCACAUCAUAUAGGUUGUGUUUACAAAUUUAUAGGGAGGAAUCAAGGGUUCGCAAUAGUCUUGCUCUUUACAUAUAUACCUGGCUUUAGCACAUUGAGACAUGCAAAUUACCAUUUGUACAUGAGUUUGGUCCUAACUCAAGUUCAUGCCCCACAGUGAUUCACAUUAUAAAUAGGUUUAGUGUUUACAAAUUUCUAGGGAUGAAUCAAGGGUUGGCAUACAAGUAAUAGGAAUUAAAUGAUUGCUUGUAAGAUUUUCCUAGUUUUUUUCUUUCCCCAAGAUCAGACAAGUACUCAUGAGUGGAUAAUAUUCUUGUUCUUUAGGCACUUGCAUAAAUACCUGCCUUUGCUGGCUGCAACCACACAUCACGCGCUACGCUCUUACCGUUGGACCAAAGCCUUGUGGGCUCUCUAUUAUUCCAAUGGCUUGACCACUCUAUUUGUUUUUCCCCUUCCUAAUUGCUAUGUAGGAGAAUAGAGAUGUAGCUUUAUAGGUUGCUUGCCCUUCUUGGGAGAUACUUGUAAAUUUAUCCAAUUUAAUACAUAUUUGGAUUUCAAAUUUAUCUUUCUG